AGAGCUCCAUGUGAGUGGAGGAGGAGGUGUUGAUGGUAGCAAAGCAUGUGGGCAGUGGGCUUGAAUCUCUUAAAAACUUGGAACUCCUCCAAGCGUAAGUAUCCGUAUACUGGGAAAUGUGUUAGAUGUGGAUGAGGCUAAGAGAUUAGAGCUUGACAAAAUGAAAUACCUCUUUCGUUGAGACUUAAAUUUGAUGGGGAAGAAGAAAAAGAAGAGGGAAGGAGGAAGAAUGAGGAUAAUCAACUUGUUCUUGAAGCCUUGCAACCACCUCUGAAUUUGAAGGAAUUAGAGAUUUGGUCAUACAGAGGCAACAUUGCUUCCCCCAGGAUGAUGCAAAAAUUGAAGGAAUUUACCAAUCUAAGGAGUUUGAUACUGUAAAAACUGCAAAAACUUGAGAGCAGUUGCCUCCUUUGGGAAAAUUGUGAUCCUUUGAAAAUCUCAGCAUAUUGUACAUGGAGAGUGUGAGAACAGUGGGUAAUGAAUUUCUGGGAAUAGAAAGUGAUCUUCAUGACUCAUCUUCAUCUUCAUCAGUUAUUAUUGCCUUCCCCAAAUUGAAAUCACUUUCAGUUGAGGGAUUGAUGGAAUUGGAGGAGUGGGAUUAUGGGAUUAAAAGAACAGGAAACACCUUCACCAACAUUAUGCCACGUCUUUCUUCCUUGGAAAUUAGUGUGGGGUUAUGGGAUCGCACAACGACGUUGAAGGUAUUGCAGAUUGUGGCAUGUGGUACUCUAAGAAGACGUUACAGACAGGGUAGAGCAGAAGACUGGCCUAAGUUCUCUCACAUUCCAGACAUCAUGAUUGUGUGAAAAGAUGCCCUUGACAAAAUUCUCUAGGCGGCUACAUGGAGUACAAUCAUAAAAUGCUAAUGUGGCCACCCUGGUUCUUAAUUAAGGUUGUGAAAUAUUAUUGUAAAAGAUGAUUAAUUCAAUUUGAGUCAUUCGUUUGCUUUGAUAAUGAUAGUAAUUUUAUAUUUUGACAAUUUGCAAGGUGAGAAUGGUGCUGAUUGGUGAUACAGGAUAUGGUUCAAACACCAUUGAAUAAAGCUACGGACAUGGUGGCUCAACUUAGCUAGACUGCUGUCAAAAUUGGUAAGUUGGCUUGUCAAUGUAUUGAUGCUUUUGUUUUCUCUCAACCCUAAUUACCUUACCUUCAUUUAGUUUGGCUUUGGAGUUGAGUAAUAACUUUCAAGGUUCUCAAACAGAGCAGGACAACCGAAAAAAAAUAGCUUAAUUUGCUGCAGAUCACGUGUUACCAAUUAUUUAAGGUAAUUCUCGUUUACUUGCUUCUACACUAUAGAGUACGUGUUCUGGCUGGUUUAUCUAAUUCAUCAAAUGUUAUUUCCUUAUUGUUCCAUUGAUAUAUUUGUUAGAAAAUGAAACCAUUUCCAGGCAGCAGUUGGCAGUGAAUUCAUGCAAAUGUUGAUGCCAUUCAUAGAUAUUGAAGAUAAUGAUGAGCCAAAGGUGAUAAAUCAUUAAUGCAUAGUUACCAAAACCUCCAUCCUUCUCUCAUUGUAAUUUGAUUUGAAAUGAAUAAUUGCUAGGUAAUUGAAGCCAAUAUUGUUAGAAACGGUGUUGAGCUACCCAAGCUAAGAAGUUAGCUGCCAAAAAAUGCAGGGGAUCAAAAGAAGCAUUGCAGUGCUACAAUGCUGCUACUGGGAAAUUUAAAUCCCAUAUUAGACUUUCCUCACAUCAGAAGCUGUGGAUCUUCGGACAUCAGGUUUUUUCACAGUUCUUAAACUCUCAGGAUUAAACUCUAUUAAAGUUGUUGUAGUUGUCUACGUUCUCAGGUCAAGGAUUCUAAGCUGCCGAUUAAGGCAAAAUAUCAGAAUUCCCCUAUUAUUAUUUUUUUUCAUGUAAAUUUAUGUUGUUGUCUUCGCCCAUGAAUCUUAGCAAAAUUCUGAACCAAUUGUUUGCUAUUAUAAAUUUCAUUGUUAAAUAUUAAUUGUGAUGUUGGUGUUGAGUUUCUUUUAAAGUCACAGAAGCCUGACGAUUGAGUUCCGUGGGACUCUGAGAAGCAGUAAUAUUUUGAACAAGUGAAGGUUCUUCGUUUUUAAUUAUGUUCUGCACUUUUACAGUAUGUGCAGAUGUCUAAGAGGCAGGAUUUUAAUUUCUGUAAUGCUAAAUUUCGCAAAACAAUAAAAAAAAUAAAUGCAUGACAGUGACUUCAAGAAUUUAGAUUAUUGAAUUUGGCCAUUUCAAAAUUGAACCAGAGCUCAGAAAUGUAGAAUAUAAAUAUUGGAGAUUUGAACUUCAAUCAUUAGAUUUGAAGCUAAAGAGGUAAGCCAUUAAUUACAUCAAAUGAUUUGGAAAAUGGAGGAAUUGGAAAAAGGAAACUUUUUCUUUGUCCGAUUCAAGGGGAACGUCACAGAGAGGGGUAAAGAGAAGAGUAGCCUAAGAUAUUAAAGACAAUGUUGAGGCAAAGGAAACAUAAAUCCCAACCAUUGCAUGUGAGCAUGAUCACAAUAAAUCCCAACCAUCCAAACCAUUUUUUUGAGAAUUUUCAAUUGAAAGUGAAACCUUUUGACAUUUACCUAAUAAAGUAAGUUAAACGAGAGAAAUAAAGGGGGGAAAAAAAGUUGACUCAAGUCAAUACAGAAUUAUUAGUUCAACCUGGAGAAACUAAAACAGAGACACUAUAUUUUCAAAAAUAUCUGCAUUCAUCACCUUCUCCAACAGCUAAUGAGCUACACACGAAUCAUUUCCUUUUAGCAUUUUUGCAGCAUCAAUUUAUCCCCUCGUUUGUCAUCAGUUUCUCCCUUCGUUUCACCAAUACCAUGGCUGAUGCAAUCCUUUCCCCUCUCUUGGAGCAGCUGAUUAUCUUCGCUGCUGAAGAGAUGAGACAACAGGGGAAGCUGGUGAGUGUUGGAUGAGCGGAUCACAGCAUGCGCCAAAUUGCAAAUUGAGAGCGGCAUUGAUGACAAUGCUCUUGGUGCUCCUUAUCUGAAGAAGAAGGUAUAUUCCUGCUUUCCUGCUUCUUGCUUUGGUUUCAAACAAGUCUUUCACUGUCAUAACAUUUAUUGUAAUUUCAUUUGGAGAUAUGUAAUAUCUGUUGUCCAGAUAUAUUUCAUACACCAGCUGCUAAUAAUUCUGCUUGAAGAGAACUUGCAAAGGAGCUGUGUGAUGUAAUAGAAGACUAUAGUCUGGUCAAUUUUUUCAACCUUAGAUAUUAGGAAGUUAUGUAUUUCAUUAUCAGUUAUCAUUAUGAUUCUUAUCUUCAAAAAGAUAAAUGGAUGGCUUUGAAUGGCUUGUGUUUGAGGAUUUUAGUUGGACUUAUUUUGAUUGAAGUACUUUUUGACAAUAGAAUUCCUUCAUGAUUUAAACAUUCUUUUUAAAAUCAAAUAAUCAAAAAAAUUAAAUAAAUAAAUAGAGUAACUAACAAAUAUGAUUUUAUUUUGUUAGUGUUUUUCUCAUCAAAUAUACAUAAGAGUACUGUAAUUAAUUGCAACCAAUUUUUCACUAAAUACGCCUACAACAAACUAUUAAUAAUAAAGUGAUAGAAAAAUGCCUAAUUUUUCAUACUUUCUAAUUUCUUUUGGCCCUAAAAUAUAGGUAUUUAUGUCAUAAUAAGCCCAUGUGGAUCUCAAUGCCGAAAGUUCGAUAAAUGGCUUUCAAGGAUUACUUAUUAAGGUGGCGUUUGUUUUUUAACUUAAUGACUUAAAGUGACUUAACUUAAUUAAUUAAGUUAAUUAGAGGUGUUUGUUUUUAUAACUUAAUGAAACUUUUUAGAUAAUUUUGACUUAAUAAAAUAAGCUAAUUUUUUUGGCUUUUUACUUAAUUGAGAAAUAUGAAUUAAGUCAAUUACUUGCUAAUGUCAAAAAUAUCCCUGUUUUAUAAUUUAUUUUUCAUGUCUAUCCCAAAACUCACCCAUAGAUAAUUACCCCACAUAAAAAUAUCCCUAUUUUUUCUUUUUUAUAUUAUAUACGAUAAAAUUUAAAAUUUAUGGUAUUUUAUAUAUUAAAAUUCCAAAAUAAUUAUGUAUUCACUUGAAUAUAGUUUUACUUAUAAAUGUUAAAAUAUUGUGGUAUUUAAUAUAUUAUUUAUUUAACAUUCAAAUUUAAUAAGGAUACAAAUGUAAAAGUACAUAUUUUCAGCUUUUUAAGCUGAAAAAACAAACAACUUAAUACUUAUUUUUCGAGAUUCAGACGAAAAAACAAACAUAUUAUUCAGAUUCAGAUAUUCAGACCUAUUCAGAAUUCAGACUAAUUCAGGUCUACUCAGAUUUCAGAUAAACAAAACAAAUGCCACCUAAGUAAAAAAUAAUUCAAAGGACAAAAUGGUAAAACUAGAAGGGUGGAGUAAUAUGGCUACCUUGGGUUACAUAGUAAGUUGACUACAUUCAAAGUAUAAAAUAUUAGAAACUGAACGGUGGAGUAAUCGUCGUUUAGAUGAAUGAUAUGUCUAAGACGUUGCAUGCAUCAAGAAAAUUGCAGAUGAUUAAACCUUGCCAUCUAUGCGUUGUAUGAGGUUAUAGCAACUAUCUAUCUGGUCACCGUUUUCAAGUCUCAAUUGGUAGUCCAAAGAAAAGAAUGAUUUUGCAAUAGCAUUAAGUGUUAAUUGGACACAAAAGGAAGUGUUUUAACCACUUUAAGGAAAGUAAAUGUAAUUUUCUGUCCUAAAGAAAAGGUAAAUGUAUGCACUUUCAAUUAAUCUUUGGUCGACCAGCAACAUCAUAAUUUCGUUUAGGUUCAUUUUUGUUUCUUAGAGUUUGUAAAAAGAAUGGAAAGAUUUUAAAAUAUAAAUUUCAUAUCUGUUUAUUACUGUUGUUUGGUCUAAUUUCUUAUGUAGAAUUUUCAGAAUCUGUAGGACAUUAGUUUAUAAUUUUGAGAUUUUGCAGCCAUAAAUGUAUUUUUCUUUUUUUGUUGCCAUUUUAUUUUGCUCCUUUAUCUAUGUGCAUGUUGACUGGCUGCAGUGAGUGAAAAUUUACCUAUAUAUGCUGGCUAUUCUUGGACAAUAUUAGAGAAAAUAAUCAUAUUAUUUCGCGUGAUGUGAACUUCCAUAACUUAUCAAUUGAAUUGCUGUAAAAUAUUAAAUAGUUUUAUUUUUCUUUUAUCGUGUAACUUGGACCAAAAAAGGAAAUGAGUUUAACAUGACCCUCAUUCCGGCACUAUGCCUGUUUUUCUUGUAUUGAUGACAGUGCUCUUGGUGCUUCUCAUCUGCUUCUUGCUUUGGUUUCAAACGAGUCUUUCUCCGUCAAGACAUUUAUUGUAAUUUCAUUUGGAGACAUCUAUCGUUCAAUAUAUUUCAUAUGCAAGCUGUUAAUAAUUCUGCUUGCAGAAAGCCUACAAAGCAGCUGUGUGAUUUAAUAGAAGACCAUAGUCUCGUCAAUUUUUCAACAUUAGAUAUUCAGUGUCAUAUUUGGCUGCAUCUAGAAGCCACUGCAUCUAGAAGCCUUGAAUAAGCAAAGUUGGCUUUGACAGCCGGCCAAAGAAAAUGUUGAAGAAUUUGGCAGCAGCAAAUUUGGAAUGAAGAAAAAGAAGAAAGAAGAAAAUAGAAGAAUGAAGACGGUGGUAAAAAUAAUAAUUUAAUAGCCAUUUUUUUGGCUAUAAAAGGCAGAGCUCCUCAUUUCAUUUUGUAUCCAAUUCCAUUCAGAGAGCAAUUUAGGGAGUUGAGAGAGAGUUUGAGAGCUUGCAUUUAUAAGCUCUUGUUACAGUGAUUGAGAGAGUUUGGGUGUAUUGGGGUUUUAGGGAAGUGAGCUAAAAUACUACAAUACUUGUAACUCCUUUUCACUAGUAAAAUAUUUCCUUCUGUCUUCGCCCGUGGAUGUAGGCUAAAAGCCGAACCACGUAAUUUCUGGUGUCCUCUAUUGUGCUGGUUCUUUAUUUUUUCUUCCAAUUUCAUUUUAGCUGCGGUCCUACUUCACCCACCAAUUUCCUAACAGUGGUAUCAGAGCCAGGUUGUAUUUUUUGGAGUCGGGAACUGUUCCGGUCCUACUUCACCCACCAAUUUCCUAACAGUGGUAUCAGAGCCAGGUUGUAUUUUUUGGAGUCGGGAACUGUUCACGUAAGGGGUACUAUUCACGUAUACGGCACCGUACACGUAUAUGAAACUAUUCACGUAUACGGUACUGUUCAUAUAUACGGUGUUGUUUACAUAGACUGUACUAUUCACGUAUAUGGUACUAUUCACGUGAAGCGGUGGAAGCGAUCCAAGAAUUUUACGGUGCAACUAUUCAAGGUGGUACACUAACUUGUGUGCAGUAUUUAUCAACAAAAUGGCGGCAAAGUAUGAAAUUGAGAAAUUUAACAACUAUUCAAGGUGGUACACUAACUUGUGUGCAGUAUUUAUCAACAAAAUGGCGGCAAAGUAUGAAAUUGAGAAAUUUAACGGAAAUAAUUUUUCGUUGUGGAAAAUGAAGAUGAAAGCUGUAUUGAGGAAAAAUAAUUGUUUGGCAGCAAUUGGAGAAAGGCCCAUGGAGAUAACUGAUGACAAGUGGAACGAGGUAGACGGCAAUGCCAUUUCUGAUCUACACUUGGCAGUUGCGGAUGGAGUAUUAUCCAGUGUGGCAGAGAAAAAUACGGCGAAGGAAAUAUGGGAUACUCUCACAAAAUUGUAUGAGGCCAAGUCACUACACAACAAAAUUUUCUUGAAGAGAAAACUCUAUAUUCUUCGAAUGACGGAAUCUACAAUGGUGACCGACCACAUCAACACAUUGAAGACUCUAUUUUCACAACUCACAACGUUGGGUCAUAAUAUAGAGGAAAAUGAACGUGCACAGCUUCUACUUCAAAGUCUACCAGAUUCGUAUGAUCAACUCAUCAUCAACUUGACGAACAACAAUCCAGUGGAGAGUCUAGUUUUCGAUGAUGUUGCAGCCUCCGUAUUAAAUGAGGAGAGCAGGCGGAAAAAUAAGGAAAACAGACAAGCAAGUUCGCAGUAAGCAGAAGCGCUAUCGGUGACGAGAGGGAGUUCAACGGAACGUGGCCCCAGUGGGAGUCAAAAUCAGGGUAGAUCAAAAUCCAGAAGUAAGAAGAAUGUUAAAUGCUACAACUGUGGCAAGAAAGGGCAUGUCAAGAAAGAGUGUUGGAGUAACCAGAAGAGAAGAGAGGGCAAAGAACCUGAGUCAUCAAAUGCUCAGGGGUGUGUAGCAAGUACCUCAGAUGAUGGCGAAAUUCUCUACAGUGAGGCAACAACUAUUUCAGAAGGCAGAAAACGACUUUAUGAUGUCUGGCUUAUAGACUCAGGAGCUACCUAGCACAUGACCUCUAGGAGAGAAUGGUUCCACACAUAUGAACCUAUCUCAGGAGGAUCUGUAUAUAUGGGUAACGAUCAUGCCUUGGAGAUCGCUGGUAUUGGUACUAUCAAAAUAAAAAUGUUUGAUGGUACAAUUCGCACAAUUGGGGAGGUACGACAUGUCAACGGCCUGAAGAAAAAUCUAUUGUCUUUGAGACAAAUAGAUAGUCAUGGGUACAAAACUCAUGUGGAGAAUGGAAUUAUGAAGAUCGUUAAAGGCGCGCUUGUAUUGAUGAAGGCAGAAAAGAUCGGUGCUAAUCUAUACAUGCUUAAAGGAGAAACGCUACAGGAGGCAGAUGCGUGUGUCGCAUCAAAUGGAGAAGAGUCAACGAUGAUGUGGCAUCUCAAACUUGGCCACAUGUCAGAACAAGGUUUGAAGAUUCUCUCUGAGCGAAAAUUGCUUCCGGGGCUCAAAUCGGUAAGUUUACCAUUUUGCGAGCAUUGUGUUACAAGUAAGCAGCAUAGAUUAAAAUUCAGUAGAUCUAUUGCUAGAAGUAAAUGCAUUCUAGACUUGAUUCAUUCUGAUGUUUGGGAAUCACCGGAUAUAUCCAUGGGAGGUGCAAAGUACAUGGUGACUUUCAUUGAUGAUUAUUCCAGAAGAUGUUGGGUGUAUCCAAUUAAGAAAAAGUCAGAUGUAUUUCCAGUGUUUAAAGAAUACAAAGCGCGGGUGGAACUUGAAUCUAGUAAAAAGAUCAAGUGCUUAAGGACGGAUAAUGGUGGAGAGUAUACAGACGGCGAGUUUCUUGCUUUCUGUAAGCAAGAAGGUAUUCAGAGGCAGUUCACGGUGGCAUACACUCCUCAACAAAACGGAGUAGCGGAGCGGAUGAACAGAACUCUUACAGAAAGAAUAAGAGCUAUGUUGAGGACUGCUGGUCUACCCAAUUCAUUCUGGGUAGAAGCAGCAAAAACCGCCUGUUAUAUAGUAAAUCGGUCGCCAUCUACAGCUAUUGGGUUGAAGACAGCGAUGGAGAUGUGGACUGGAAAGCCAGCUGAUUAUUCCUACCUACAUGCAUUUGGAUGUCCUAUGUACGUGAUGUACAAUGCCCAAGAAAGAACAAAGCUGGAUGCAAAAUCUAGAAGAUGUAUCUUCUUGGGGUAUGCUGAUGGAGUAAAGGGGUAUCGUCUGUGGGACCCCACUGCCCACAAGAUCGUCAUCAGCAGAGAUGUUAUCUUUGUAGAAGAUCAACUACAAAGAAAAGAUGGAGAUGAUGGCACUGUAAAAGAAAAGUCAGAGACUGUACCAGUAUAUGUCGAAAAUAAUCUAGAAGAUUCAAAUUCUUCUGAAGUAGCACCAGAGCACGAUGAACAAGAACCAGUCGAGUCCGAGGCUCCAGAAGUUCGUCGGUCAACUCGUGAGAGACGACCGCCGGCGUGGCACUCGGAGUAUGUCACAGAGAUCAACGUUGCAUACUGUCUUCUAACAGAGGAUGAAGAGCCUUCAACUUUCCAUGAAGCUUUAAACAGCUCAGAUGUUGCUUUGUGGAUGACAGCAAUGCCGGAAGAAAUUGAAGCUCUACACAAGAACAAGACAUGGGAACUUGUACCACUACCACACGGAAGAAAAGCCAUUGGAAACAAAUGGGUCUACAAGAUCAAACGUGAUGGCAAUGAUCAAGUGGAGCGGUAUCGUGCGAGAUUGGUGGUGAAAGGAUAUGCUCAGAAAGAAGGUAUUGACUUCAACGAAAUAUUUUCUCCGGUGGUUCGACUCACAACAGUCAGAAUAGUCUUGGCGAUGUGUGCUACAUUUGAUCUACAUCUUGAGCAGUUUGAUGUGAAAACUGCAUUUCUUCAUGGAGAACUUGAAGAAGAAAUAUAUAUGCUCCAACCAGAAGGUUUUGCAGAAACAGGAAAUGAGAACUUGGUUUGCAGGUUGAACAAAUCUCUAUACGGUCUCAAACAGGCGCCGAGGUGUUGGUAUAAGAGAUUUGAUUCCUUCAUCAUGAGCCUUGGAUACAACAGACUCAGUUCAGACCAUUGUGCAUAUUACAAGAGGUUUGAAGAUAAUGAUUUCAUUAUUUUGCUAUUGUAUGUGGAUGACAUGUUGGUAGCAGGUCCCAACAAAGAUCGAAUCCAAGAAUUGAAGGCACAGUUGGCUAGGGAGUUUGAAAUGAAGGACUUGGGACCAGCAAACAAGAUUCUAGGGAUGCAAAUUCACCGAGACAGAAAUAAUAGGAAGAUUUGGCUUUCUCAGAAAAAUUACUUGAAGAAAAUCUUGCGGCGCUUCAACAUGCAAGAUUGUAAGUCAAUUUCUACCCCACUUCUUGUUAAUUUCAAAUUAUCCUCAAGUAUGUGUCCUAGCAAUAAAGUGGAGAGGAAGGAUAUGUCUCGAGUACCGUAUGCAUCAGCAGUGGGAAGUUUGAUGUUCGCUAUGAUAUGUACUAGACCAGACAUUGCACAAGCAGUGGGAGCAGUCAGUCGAUACAUGGCGAAUCCUGGUGGAGAGCAUUGGAUAGCUGUGAAGAGGAUUCUGAGAUACAUCAGAGGAACCUCAGAUGUUGCAUUAUGUUAUGGAGGAUCAGAGUUUACUGUCAGGGGCUAUGUGGAUUCAGAUUUUGCAGGAGAUCUUGAUAAAAGGAAAUCCACUACUGGUUAUGUGUUUACACUUGCGGGAGCAGCUGUAAGCUGGGUUUCGAAACUGCAGACCGUUGUGGCUUUAUCUACAACAGAAGCAGAGUACAUGGCAGCUACACAAGCUUGCAAGGAAGCUAUUUGGAUACAAAGAUUAUUGGAGGAGCUCGGGCACAAACAACAGAAAAUUUCUGUGUAUUGUGACAGUCAGAGUGCCUUGCACAUUGCAAGGAAUCCAGCCUUUCAUUCCAAGACAAAGCACAUAGGAGUUCAGUAUCACUUCAUUCGUGAAGUAGUGGAAGAUGGAAGUGUGGAUUUGCAGAAAAUCCAUAUGAAGGAGAACCUAGCAGAUGUUUUUACCAAGCCAAUAAAUGCUGACAAGUUUAUCUGGAGUAGAUCCUCUUGUGGCCUAGCAGCAACGUAGGCAACAUGAUUAUGGCGAAGCAUAAAGGAUGGUGUGGAGAUUGAUUGAUUCUCAAUCUAAUCUCCAAGUGGGAGAAUGUCAUAUUUGGCUGCAUCUAGAAGCCACUGCAUCUAGAAGCCUUGAAUAAGCAAAGUUGGCUUUGACAGCCGGCCAAAGAAAAUGUUGAAGAAUUUGGCAGCAGCAAAUUUGGAAUGAAGAAAAAGAAGAAAGAAGAAAAUAGAAGAAUGAAGACGGUGGUAAAAAUAAUAAUUUAAUAGCCAUUUUUUUGGCUAUAAAAGGCAGAGCUCCUCAUUUCAUUUUGUAUCCAAUUCCAUUCAGAGAGCAAUUUAGGGAGUUGAGAGAGAGUUUGAGAGCUUGCAUUUAUAAGCUCUUGUUACAAUGAUUGAGAGAGUUUGGGUGUAUUGGGGUUUUAGGGAAGUGAGCUAAAAUACUACAAUACUUGUAACUCCUUUUCACUAGUAAAAUAUUUCCUUCUGUCUUCGCCCGUGGAUGUAGGCUAAAAGCCGAACCACGUAAUUUCUGGUGUCCUCUAUUGUGCUUGUUCUUUAUUUUUCUCCCAAUUUUACUUUAGCUGCGUGUCUGCUUCACCCACCAAUUUCCUAACAUUCAGCUCAUCAGCUUCUCAUGAAUUCUUUCCUGAGUUUCUUUGAAUUAUUUGUGAUGCAAUAACUUGUGCAUUUGAGAAACUGUUCUCUGGAAUUCUUUCUUGAGUUUCUUUGAAUUAUUUGUGAAUAAGUUGUUAAUCGGCUGCUUCUCUUCAAGAUAAGGAAAGUGUUGCAAACUGGUGAAGCAGCUGAUAGAUAAAAGCAAUGCCAGUGUGGUUGAAUUCAGCAAGAUUGGCGUUCGUGAUGCAAACGAGAUUACAUAGUGGUUAAAAGCAAUAAUCAAUGUUUUAACCAUAAAAACUUCUUUCCACCUAUUUUCGGCCUUGUGAUUCUCAUAUCCAUAGAACUUUUUGGUAAUUUAAUCAUAUUUCAUCGUAUGCAUCUGCAUCUUCUAACCAGUGCGUUUGAGAAACUAAUUUUGCUGUUAGGCAGGUUUCAAGCUUGAUUAAUGUAUUUUUCAUAAAUGUACCAAAGUUAUGUAAACCAAAUAAUAAAAAAUAAAUAAAAGGAAAUGAGUUUAAUAUAACCUCCAUUCCAGCACUAUGCACGUUAAUUGUUCCCCAAGGACUCUCCUGAUUCUUAUUCCCAACCUCCAUGCUCUCAAGAGGAGUUUAGCACCCAUCAAUUUUUACUUUUGAAAACUCGUAAUGGUCUGAUAAAAUUAAACAACAUUAAAAAUGUUACCAGUCAUUAAAUAGUAAUUUAUUUAUUUACUUUGCCACCUAAAGGAAUCCUGCUGUAAAUAGAGGUUAAAAAUUUUAUUAGAUCUACUUACCUUUGUUCAUUCAGCAAACACAUACAAUUUACAACUAGUGAAUCUAUCCGUUGACAAUUGUGGAUUAAAAUUAUAACACCUGAAUUCAAACAUAUUUUACGAAGUUAUGAAUUUGUUCAUACUUCAAAUGAUUUUUUUUCCCCAAGCUAAUAAAGCUACCACAUUGAUCAAAUGACGACGUUGAAGGAAUUGCGUAUUUUUCAAUGUCCUUUUCCAGACACACGUUGGAGAGAGGGAAAGAAGAAGACUGGCUUAAUUAAGAUAUCUCACAAAGAUUAUUGAGUUAAAAUGUUAUUGUAAAAGAUGUUUAAUACGAUAAUAGUACUUCUUUUGCAUUGUUAUAAUAAGGUUGGUAGGUUUCCCCAGAGGAUGGAUCUGGCUCGCUAGUCUCCAUUUGGGAAGAUGCUAAUUAUCGGCCAUAAAAAAGUCAAGGGGUUGUGGCUCUUCUGUGGCCCAGAAAUUCCUAAUCUCAUAUCUCAAACUUGGGCAUUAUGUAAAUAUGUAUUUUUGAGAAUUAAACUAUUGCGUAGAAAAAUUUUGAGCCAUUGUAAUCAUUUUAUUUUGCUAAGAGAAAAUUUUACUUUGUGUUUCGAUUUGACUUUUGUUUUGUUUGUGAUAAUAAGAUUCAUACCAAUGUGAUUACACACCUAUCAUGCUUCUAUUUUCAUUUGCUUGUCAUGAUAGAUCAACAUGCUCAAAAAUAUUUAUUUAGGUUGGAAAUAUUUGAAUCCACUAAAAUACUAUACAAACCCAUUUUAAAAUUUUAAAAAAAAUGAUUAUCAUAAUACUCGUGAAGAUAACGCGAUAUCAUACAUAAAAUAAAAUAUUUCGCAAAAAAGAUAGGAUACAAAUCUUAAGUAAGUGGGUAUAAAAAAUAUUUUAGUGAGUUCAAGUAGCACUAAUGCCCCCUUAUCAAAAAAUAUAUAAAAAUAACUAGUCUGAUUGGGUAUACCGUUGGCUAAACUAAAGUUCUGAAGAUAUAUAUAUAUAUAUAUAUAUUGAUAAUUUAUAAUGUACAUUAUAGAGAAAGAUUUUGAAAGUAAUAUUUUUUUAGUAUUAUUAUAUAAUAUUUUGUAAAAAGUAGAGAGAGUGAGCAAAACCAAAUUAAUUUUCUAACCCCCCUCCUUUAGGAUUUAAACUCAUUUUUUAGUGUCGCCGGCCAUUCAAAUUUUCUAGUUGAAUAGGCUAAAUUGCAUGAAAUUGUGCUAGCUUAGCUUGAUUCUAGAAAUUUCCAGUACACUGUAACACAUUCCCACACUUGUACAUAGCUCGAAAUUCUCUAGAAUUUACUAUAGUAGCGUAACAUGUAGCUUGUACAUAGGUUUUUCUAUAACACUCCAGGCAUUACUAGGCAUGAGAGCUCUCACCAAGCUUUGAGAACUCUCUAGACAUAAAACAUUCUAGCGCAAGCCUACCCUAAAAAUAGGGCAUGAAGCUUGCCAUUCGAGCAUACAACAAGUAAGAACAAUUCAAGCAUACUUGUAAGCUCUCAAACUCUCUUAUACACACUCUUGUGAAUAAUAUAAUUUCCCUUUGGCUAUAUUGUUCUCUCUUCUCUCUAGUUUUUUCGAAAGCAUCAUAACUUAGCUAGUCGAAAAAUUCAAGGCUUACUUUGCAACUAUCUCGUAAAAGUUGUUUAAGUACCACAGGAGUUUGCUGUACAAAAUACUCAUCCCGUGACAUUAGUCAAAUAAAAUUGUUUGAAAGCCACUUACCCGGAUAUUAUUCUUUUAAUAUGCAAUCUUUUAAUAUAAACUUUUGUCUUAAUUUUCUAUCUCCUACGAUAAAUUUUAGAAUUUUAAAAAUUUUAAAAAUUAAUAACUAUUAGAUAGAGCAUUUACUGUUAAAAGAAAUCUAUAUAGAUAUAUAGAUACAUAGUAAUAUAAAAACUUACUACAAUAUAAUGUUUUUAGUUUCUUAUUUUUUCAAGAUAAAAUUCAAAGACACAAGUUAAAUGUUGUGGAAAAUCUUCCACCCAUACAAGAAAUCGUCACAGCUAAAUGCAAACCGAGCUAAAGUAUUAGUUGUUUUAUUACAAUCUCUAAAAAGAUGAGCGAUUCCAAAAUCUUUCUUUGUAACAAUAAGCACUACAGUUCAGCAACUAUCCAAGUCAAAAGCAACUCAAUGUGAGUGCUAAGCUAAAUCAAUUUCAUUAACAAAUUAGAUGCCAAAGAGCAAGGCUUCGUCCUCAAUUAUAUUGACAUUAUCUGAGUAAACUCUAAAUACCACAAUCAACCCCAAAAAACAUGACUAACUAUUGUGUUUAAAAUAAAUUUUUUUUUUUUUAGAUAUCCGUUGGUAGUAUCUCUUUAGAUGAAUAUAGGAGAUAAAAUAAAUAAAUAUUUAUUGUGUAAAUAAAAAUAAAUAAAUUUUUUUGAACGGAAAAAAUUCCCAAGAACUAAAUUGUUCAAACGUUUUUUAACAUCAUGUGUUUCUAAUAAUUUAGGGUUGGGCAUUCAGUUCGGUUUUUACCGAACUGAACAACUAAAUUAAAUUGAAAUUACCCUAUUCGGUUCAAUUGAAUAGACAAAAACUAGAGCUGGCAAAACGGGUCAUCGGGUCGUGUUCAUGUCGUGUCAGUUUCGUAUCGUGUCAAAUUUAGUUCAACCCAAACCCGACCCAUUUAAUAAUCAUGUCAAAAUAUUGAGACCCAAACCCGAUACGGAAAAAUAAUCGGGUCACCCAAUAACCCGCUGAAUAUCUAUAUAUUUAACAAAAGUUACAUCAAAUAUUUACACAUUAUCAUACAUGCGUAUGUACAUACAUAAUUUAUCGAUAUUAUAAAAUAUACAUAUCUACCAAAAUAUUACACAUUUACACUAUUGAGGUUUUAAUUAAUUAUAUAUAUAUAUAAUAUUAUAUAUUAAUAUUAUAAAAUAUACAUAUCUACCAAUAUUUUAUACAUUUACACUAUUGAAACUCUAAAUGUGUUUAAAAUUUUAUAAAUAAAAUAUUGUACUUAUAUUCAUCCUUUUAAAGAAUAUAAAUAAAAGAGAAAAUCAUCUCUAAUAUUUAAGUUUUGAUGACAAAAACCUACAAAUUAUUUUAAAAUAGAAAAUAUAAUCGGGUCAUUAGUCGGGUAAAUGGGUCAAUAAUUUUAACCCUAACCCGACACGGAAAAAAAUCGUGUCGACCCGAACCCGACCCAUUUAAUAAUCGUGUUAAAUUCAACGACCCAUACCCAUUUAUUUGUGUCGUGUUCGUAUCGAGUAAUCGGAUCGUGUCAAAUUUUGCCAGCUCUAACAAAAACCGAACAGUUUAUAUUUUUAUGAAUUGAAUGAUUUGUAUUUUAGUUUAGUUCGGUUCGGUUCUGGAUCUAAACCGAACCGAACCGUAAACCGUAAACUGCCCACCCUUAAAGUUUCCAUUAACCGCCGUUGCAUUGCUCAAAUCACAGUCUCUCGCUUUCAGCUCAGUCAGAGUUUCCAGGUCCAGAGACUUGCCGCUGACUGAGAGCUUUUUAGUAGCAGGUCUACAAAUAAUGGAAUAGAGCUGAUUUAAUGAUUAAUUUAUUUCCUUUUUCAAUUUCUUUUGAUUGCCAUGUAAUCUGGAUAAGUUAAACGUGAAUUGUUUAGUGCAGAUUAAAUGUUCGACGAAUUUCCCGCAAGAAUAUUAAGUUAAAGAGAAAAAAAGAAAACAAUUGAGCGUGAGCGAGAAUGGUGUUUGGCCAAGUGGUGAUUGGUCCGCUCGGCUCGGGAAAGCCCACUUACUGCAAUGGCAUGUCUUAGUUUCUCAGCCUUGUUGGCAGGUAACUUCGUUUCUUGAUUUCAAGCAGCUUUCUCUUUGAUGGCCAAAAAUAUUGAUUUGGGCUUUGCCCUUUAAAUUAAUGUAAGAGCGGUAGGGAAUAAUCGAGUUAUAGUCUUAGCUUUAAGUGAACAUUGAUGAUAACAUGCAUGUGAAGGUUGUAUGUGUUCAGCGGCAAGUUGUAUGCCAAUUUGGUCUAUAUGGUUUUUUUGUUGGUAACUUAUUAAUUUUUAUGCAGGAAGGUUACAGUCAUCAAUUUGGAUCCUGCUAGUGAUAGUUUGUCGUAUCCUUUGUCAGAACCUUUUUACAAAUGCUGUGGUUUGUUGUACUAUAAUUAGUUCAAUCGGAAACUUCCUUGAUGUUAAUAUAGAUAUGAGUGUGCUGUGAAUAUUGAGGACCUCAUUAGACUAAGUGAUGUGAUGAAGGAGCAUUCACUUGGUCCCGAUGGAGGUUAGUCAUCCUAUUGUUGUUUACUCUUUCUUGCUUUAUCACGCAAUGAUAUUCCUUUGCUUUACAAAAAAUUUCAUGAAAUUAACUUCAAUCAAGUGGCUACCUGUUGAGAUUUUAUGGAUAAUGAUUUGGUAGAGUUUAUAUGCCCUCUUCUUUCUUUUUGCAGUGAUAUGUUUGUAUUCAAUGUGCUUGUACUUAUUCUACGAUUUCUAACGUAGGUGUUUUUAUGAUAAACUAGGUCUUGUGUAUUGUAUGGACUAUCUAGAGAAGAUUAUUGACUGGUUGCAGUCGAAAUUGGAACCACUUUUGAAAGGUAAGAAGAGGCCAUUUUGCUUCAUUCUAAUGCCAAUAAUGCUGUCAUGAGACUCAUAAAAAUUGUUAAAACGUUAAUGUUUUUGGUAUUUUGCAGAUCAUUAUCUUCUGUUUGAUUUUCCUGGCCAAGUUGAAUUAUAUUUUCUUCAUUCCAAUGCCAAGAAUGUUAUAUGAGACUCAUAAAGAAGUUAAAUCUCAGGGUAUUGUUACAUCUUACAUAUAUGAAGGGACUCAAAGAGUUGAGAUGAAUUCAUCUUUGUUAUUUUGAUGCCAGAAUUGUGCAAUUCUCAGUUGGUUCCUUUCACAUGCAGUUGACUGCAGUGCAUCUAGUUGAUGCGCAUCUUUGCAGUUGUUUCUAAAGCUGGUACAUUUAAGAUACCUUAAUUUGUCUUUUCAGAAAAUAGUGAAACUACCGGAGACAUUAUGUGAGUUAUAUAAUCUAGAAAAGUUAGAUAUUACUCAUUGUGAGUAUCUUGAAGAAUUACCUGAAGGGAUUGGGAAGUUAAUAAACAUGAGGCAUUUACUAAAUAAAGGUACUAAUUCUUUAAGGUACAUGCCAGUAGGGAUUGGGAGAUUAACGGGUCUUAGGACCUUGGGUGAGUUCCAUGUGAGUGGAAGAGGAGGUGUUGAUGGUAGGAAAGCAUGUAGGCUUGAAUCUCUUAAAAGCUUGGAACACCUUCAAGUAUGUGGUAUAUGUAGACUGGGUGAUGUAUCAGAUGUGGGCGAGGCUAAGCGAUUAGAACUUGACAAAAAGAAAUACCUCUCUUGUUUGAGACUUCGAUUAGAACGAAGACAAUCAACUACUUCUUGAAGCCCUGCGACCACCUCUGGAUUUAAAGGAAUUAGAGAUACAGUUCUACCGAGGCAACACUGUUUUCCCCAGCUGGAUGACGUCAUUAACCAACUUAAAGAGUUUAGAUCUCUCUUUCUGCGAAAAUUGCUAGCAGCUGCCUCCUUUGGGAAAAUUGUCAUCCCUUGAACAGCUCUUCAUAUCGUACAUGUCGAGUGUGAAAAUAGUGGGUGAUGAAUUUUUGGGGGUAGAAAGUGAUCGUCAUGACUCAUUGUCAUCUUCAUCAGUGAUUAUUGCCUUCCCCAAAUUGAAAUCACUUAGUAUUGAGGGAUUGAUGGAAUUGGAGGAGUGGGAUUAUGGGAUUACAAGAACGGGAAACACCGUCAUCAACAUCAUGCCCCGUCUUUCUUCCUUGGUAAUUGAUAGUUGCGACGAAUUAAAGGCACUGCCCGAUCACAUUCAUCAAACGACAACAUUGAAGCGAUUGUGGAUUUUGAAUUGUGGGCCUCUGGGAGAACGUUACCGCAAGGGGGAAGGAGAAGACUGGCCUAAGAUAUCUCACAUUCCCAACACAGAUAUUCGAUAAAAAGGAUUCGCGCAUUCGAGAUUUGGCGUUGACAAGUAAUUUCUUCUCUUACUCUGAUUUGCUUUGUUGUUGUUUUUAAUCUAAUUGAGAAGCAUAAAUAGCAUUUUGAAUCAAGCUGUAUAUCAGAAAUCUGUAAUACAUAUUUUCUAUUAUUCCGAUUUUCAUAUCUUAAGAAUAUACGCUUUUAAUUUGUGAUUUGGGUAACGUUACUGUAAAACAUUAUUAAUGCAAUAACCUUUCGAGGUCGCGACUAUAAAAUGGUGAGAAUGGUGAGAAUGGUGCCCCUUGAAUAAACUUGUCGUGACUGAACUUUGGUUGGCAGUUGGCCGUGAAUGGAGCCCCUUGAAAAUAUUCCCAACCCAUUGCACUGCAAUUACGAUCGUAAGUACGAUUGCACUGCAAUUUCGAAGCUUCUUCUCCUGCAUUUUUGUUAUUUGCUAUGAAGUGAUAUUCGUAAGUAUGAUUGCAUUAAGCUGCUGCUGGGAGAUAUGAGGUUUUGAUGGCUGCCCAUGCUAUUGUUAGAAGCUGCGGUUCUUUUUCAUCAGCCUGAACCUGGACCUGUCGUUUCCACUGUUUUGAAACUCUUAAGAUUAAACUUUAGUAAAGUUGUUUUAGUUAUCGAUGUAAUCAGGCUGAGGAUACUUAGCUGCCUAUUUAGGCAAAUGUCAGAAUUUAGUUUGUUCGCUGGGAACUGGUGUGGUAACAGCGUCCUGGCAAAGGAUGAUGAGAUAGUUUUUUGAUUGAGUAAAUUUUGGAAGCUUGAGUGUAUUGGGAUUUGCAAUUACAAUCAUCCUCUGCCUCAGGUGAUUUCUUCUCCUGCCCUAUCGUUGUUUGUUCUUUAAUUCAAAGUUAUAAAAUAUUUCAAUCAAAUUUUAUGCCAGGAAUAUGCAAAAGUUUCUAAUAUUUUAUUUCCAUCUGUUUGCCUUGAUAACUUUGCGGCAUAUGUGCUAGUUAAAGAACAAAUCGAAACAGAGCUCAGUUAAAAGUUUCUUCUGCCGUCAUAUUUGAAAAAUGAAACCAUUUCCAAGAAGCAAUGGGUGUUAAGGAAGCUCACAUGAGCAGAGUAGUCAGUGGAGCAGAGGAUUGCAACACCUGCAGCUUGCUGUUACAGGUUGAUGACAUGGCUUGCCAGCUGGAGCCUGGUGGUUAUAUAGUCUCUUGCACACGUGAAGAUUAACAGAGUUUGUUAUAGUAUUUCUUGUGCUUGUAAUUCGGUUUUAAUUAGUUAUAACCAGCUGAUUAGCACUUGCAAUUAGUUGAGAAUUAGUUCUAAUUACUACUGAUGUAUAUAAACAGAAGUAUGUACAGAUUCAGUCAAUUAAUGACUUGAGAUAAUAAAAACGAAGAAAGAGUUUUAGAAUUCUCUUAUUUUCCUUUAAGUUUUCUCUGUUUCCAAACAUCAUUGAAUUGUUACUUGGUAUCAGAGCCAACCAAUAAUGGCGUCUGUUAAUCUUGCUUCUUCUUCCUCAAUUCCAACUCUUAAUCAUGCUACAAAUUCAACAACUGUUUCCUUUACCUUUAACACACCAGUCAAGCUUGAUUAGUCCAAUUGUCUCAUAUGGCGAUCUCAAGUCCUAGCCUCAAUUCGUGGAAACAGGCUCGAAAAGUUUAUUGAUGAUGCAGUCACUCCACCUCCAUCUCAUAUAGCUCAGAGAGUUGAUGAUGAACUCAGAUCUGUGGAGAAUCCAGAAUUCGCAACAUGGAGAUCUCAAGAUCAGGUGCUGCUUGGAUGGCUGCUCUCUUCGAUGAGUGAAGGAAUCAUCAGUCUAGUGUUUAACCUGGAAUCAUCACUUGAAGUGUGGAAAGCUAUUAAGGUACAAUUUGGCUCGCAAUCUAAAUCCAGACUUUUACAUCUGAGAUACAUGAUGAAUUCAACAAGGAAAGAUUAUAUGAAAAUCAUAGACUAUUUUAUUAAGAUGAAAAACAUAGCUGAUAAUAUGGCAGCAGCAGGAAGUGCUUUAAGUAGUGAUGAUAUGAUUUUACAUGUAUUAUCUGGCCUAGGACCAGAUUAUAAUUCAGUAGCUACUUACAUUACUGGUCAAGUAGGAGUUGGUAAAAUGAAUGUAAAUGAAGCCUAUGCUAUGCUGUUAACUCAAGAGGCUAGGAUUGAACAACAAUCACAAAUGCUUGCUGGUGUGGAUAUGAAAAACAAUUUUGAGGCAAAUUAUGCUCAAAACAGAGGAGUAAAGAAGGGAAACAUAUCAGGUGGAAGAGGUUUUGGUGGUUAUGGCUAUAACUCUGGGUUUGGAAAAGGUGGUUAUUACAAAGGAAACUUUGGCACUGAAUCUGCUGGUGGUGGUACUGGUUUUAAUAGUCAGUUCAAAGGUUAUCAAUCUGGUAAUCAAAGAGGAGGAGGAGGAGGAAACUGGAACAAUAACACUAGAAUUAACAAUUUUAACAAUGGGAAACCACCUAUGAACUCUAAACCUCAGUGGAAUACUUCUAAACCUACCUGCCAAAUCUUCCUCAAGCCUGGACAUACUGCAAACAUUUGUUGGAAGCUGGAAGAAUUCAUUGCUUCAGGCUCUUACAGAUCACCUCCAAAUAGAGGACCAAAGGCUGCCUAUUUAGCCAACAUGGAUGCUCCAGCUGAUACAAAUUGGUAUCUUGACAGUGGUGCUACACACCACCUCACUAAUGAUAUGAGCAAUAUGAAUAUGGCUGAACCUUUUACAGGUAUUUCUAAACUUGUCAUUGGUAAUGGUGUUGGUUUAUUCAUAACACAUACAGGUUCUGCUGUUUUGAGAAUGAAAAGCUCUAUAAAUCAUGUUGAUCUUAAGCUAAACAAUAUUCUUCUUGUGCCUAAAAUAACCAAAAACCUGAUAAGUAUAUCAAAACUAACCAGAGAUAGUGAUGUUGUGGUAGAAUUUACUAAUGAUUUCUGUUUUGUUAAGGACAAGGUGAGGAAUUUGAUCAUGCUGCAGGGCAAAGCUGAAAAAGGAUUAUACAGAUUGCUAUUAGUCUCCUCAAAUAAAACCUCUCCUUAUCUGUCAAACCAAGGUCUUUUUGCUCAUGUUCAGUCAGCUGUCUCAACUCAACCUAUUUCCAAGUUUUCUGUUGUUGAUUCUAAAUGUCAGAAUAAAAUUGCUUCUCAGUUACAAACUGAAGCACAAUGUAGUCAAAACUCAGAUUGUAUGUUGAGUACUAUGGUUUUACACCAAAGAUUAGGUCAUCCCAAUGCUAGAGUGUUAAAUCAUGUUAUCAAUUCUUGUCCAUCUUUUAAAACCAUCGAUGGUAAUAAAGGUUUUGAUUCUUGUGAUGCUUGUAAGUUGGGAAAAAUGCACAAACUUCAUUUUCCAGUAACUGAAACUAAAACCAAAAAUGCACUUGAAAUCUUACAUACAGAUCUAUGGGGGCCUGCUCCUACACUUUCUAUACAAGGAUAUAAAUAUUAUAUCAACUUUGUAGAUGAUUACACAAGAUUCACCUGGAAUUUUCCUUUAAAAACCAAAGCUGAAGCAUUUCCAGUGUUCAAAGUUUUCAAAGCUCAAGUAGAGAAACAAUUAGAUAAACCUAUCAAGUGUCUUCAAUCUGAUUGGGGUGGUGAGUAUAGAUCAUUUGUUCAUUUUCUUCAAACAGAGGGGAUUCAGUUUAGACACUCCUGUCCCUAUACCCACAAUCAAAAUGGACUUGUGGAAAGAAAACAUAGACACAUCACUGAGUUGGGUUUAACCUUGCUUGCACAAGCCAAGUUACCUAUAAAAUUUUGGUGGGAUUCUUUUCAUACAGCUACCCAUAUUAUAAACAAACUUCCAACUCCUGUUCUUUCCUUGAAAACCCCUUAUGAAUAUCUAUUCCAUCAAAAACCAGACUAUCCAUUUCUCAAAACUUUUGGUUGUGCUUGUUUUCCUUUCUUAAGAGAUUACAAUCAUCACAAGUUUCACUUCCAUACUUCUAAAUGUGUCUUCUUAGGAUACAUCCCUUUACACAAAGGCUACAAGUGUCUUCAUCCAUCAGGAAGAAUUUACAUAGCUAGUCAUGUUCUUUUUUAUGAAACUUCCUUUCCAUAUUCUACUGAUUCUACCUUCUUACAGUCUAUGCCAUCUAAAUCUUCUGACUUCUUUUAUAAUUCCUUACAAGUAUAUCACAUCUCAGUUCCUAAUAGCAAUCAGAAUCCUUUAGCAGCUGCUCCUGCAGAUACAGAUUCUCAUGCCUCCAGUUCUACUCACAACAUCAUCUCCCUUCCUAUUCCUACAUCACAAGUAAAUUCCACCUCACUGAUUUCACCAAAUAAUACUAUAUCUUCACCCAUUGUCCACACAACAUCACCAGCUGCUACCAUAAACACUAUACCAAACACUACAACUUUACCUGCAAUACUACAAAAUUCACCUUCCAGAUCACUUCCCUCAGCUGCAACCAUAAACACUCAUUUUAUGAUUACCAGAGCUAAAGCUGGCAUAUUCAAACCAAAGGCCUUCUUGACAGAUCAUAACAGCCUAGAACCUUCCAAUGCUGGAGAAGCCUUAUCUGAUACUAAGUGGAAGGCAGCAAUGCAAGAUGAAUAUAAUGCUCUCAUUAGAAACAAAACCUGGAGCUUAGUACCAAUGAAUCCAGAAUACAAGUUAGUAGGCUGCAAGUGGGUCUUUAGAACUAAAUACAAUACUGAUGGUUCAGUCUCUAAGUACAAAGCUCGCUUAGUUGCAAAAGGGUUUCACCAAACUGCUAGGAUAGAUUACUCAUAAACUUUUAGUCCUGUAGUGAAAUCUUCUACUGUCAGAGUUAUUCUUAGCUUGGCAGUCAUGCAAGGCUGGAAUGUUAGACAAAUUGAUGUCAAUAACGCAUUUCUUAAUGGGAAUCUCACUGAGGAUGUAUACAUGCAACAGCCAGAGGGUUUUGUUUCAGAGGGAGGAUACAUCUGUAAACUAAACAAAGCUCUUUAUGGCUUAAAACAAGCUCCAAGAGCCUGGUAUGAUAAGCUUAAGGGAUGUCUUACAAGCUGGAAAUUCACUAAUUCUAAGGCUGAUACUUCUCUGUUUAUCAGGCAUGAUGUCAAAGGCAUAAUUCUUGUCUUAAUAUAUGUGGAUGACAUUCUGAUCACUGGACCAGAUUCAGACUUGCUGGAAUCUUUUAUUGCUAAGCUCAGCAAAGUUUUUGCAUUAAAAGACUUGGGUCUAGUAACAUAUUUCCUUGGUGUAGAAGUCAGCUAUACAGAUCAUGGAAUGCAUCUCUCUCAGACUAAGUACAUCAAGGAUAUGCUGUCCAAAGCCUCAAUGCAAGACUGCAAAGGAACUGACACUCCUUUCAGCACAGGCUACAAGUUGGAAAGGUCAGCAAAAGGCCUAUUGGGUGCUGAAUUUGAGAAUCCAACCCUCUAUAGAAGCAUUGUUGGAGGUUUGCAAUACUUAAUCUUAACCAGACCAGACAUUGCAUAUUCAGUGCAUAAGCUUAGUCAGUACCUCAGUGCUCCUACACUUCAACACUAGUUAGCUUGUAAAAAAGUGCUCAGAUACCUUCAAGCUACUGUCACAUAUGGUCUCUAUAUUCAACAGGAGGGAACUCUGGAAACUAUAGGACUAACAGGAUAUUCAGAUACUGAUUAGGCAUGUGAUAUUGAUGACAGAAAAUCCAUUGGAGCAUAUUGCAUUUUCCUUGGUAAUAAUUUGGUUUCCUAGUCUUCAAAAAAGCAAGCCGUUGUAGCAAAAUCUAGUACUGAGAGUGAAUACAGAGCCUUGUCAGCAGCCAGCUCUAAACUUUCUUGGCUAUAAUCAUUAUUCUCUGAGCUCAACAUCACAAAAUUACCAACUUCUGUUCUAUGGUGUGAUAACCAGAGUGCUGGAGAUCUAGCUAGAAAUCCAGUUUUUCAUUCAAAAUCAAAACACAUAGAGCUAGACAUUCAUUAUAUUAGAGACAAGGUUCUUAACAAUGAAUUGGAAGUGAGGUACAUUCCCACUGAAGAGCAAGUUGCAGAUGUUCUUACUAAGCCCCUGUCAUUUCCUAAGUUUAGUUAUUUUCGUUCCAAACUCAAUGUGUUCAGUAGACCCUUGAGCUUGAGAGGGGAUGUUAAGGAAGCUCACAUGAGCAGAAUAGUCAGUGGAGCAGAGGAUUGCAACACCUGCAGCUUGCUGUUACAGGUUGAUGACAUGGCUUGCCAGCUGGAGCCUGGUGGUUAUAUAGUCUCUUGCGCCCGUGAAGAUUAGCAGAGUUUGUUAUAGUAUUUCUUGUGCUUGUAAUUCAGUUUUAAUUAGUUAUAACCAGCUGAUUAGCACUUGCAAUUAGUUGAGAAUUAGUUCUAAUUACUACUGAUGUAUAUAAACAGAAGUAUGUACAGAUUCAGUCAAUUAAUGACUUGAGAUAAUAAAACGAAGAAAGAGUUUUAGAAUUCUCUUAUUUUCCUUUAAGUUUUCUCUGUUUCCAAACAUCAUUGAAUUGUUACUAUGGGCAGCAAAUUCAUAUAAAGCGUAGACAAUGGUGAUCAAAAAGGUGAUUCACAAUUUCACUUUUUUUAAUGAAAUUAAUUGUUUGGUUGGAGCUGAUAUUGUUAGAAGGCCAUUGAGCUAACCUAUGUCACUACUUGCCUAGAUUACAGGGGGUCAAAACUCAAAAGAGGCAUUGAAUUUUAAAAGGCAUCCAAUAAUUCUUGUGGCCAUAUAUCAAUUCAUGUAAGUUUGAAUGUAAUUAUUGGUGAAGGGGUUUCACUUCCCGUCUCUAAAUAAAAAUACUGAUUCUUUAAGGUACAUGCCACUAGGGAUUGCGAGAUUAACGAGUCUUUGGACAUUGGAAGAGCUUCUUGUGAGUGGAGGAGGAGGUGUUCAUGUGUAGCAAAGCAUGUGGGCAGUGGGCUUGAAUCUCUUAAAAACUUGGAACUCCUCCAAGCGUAAGUAUACGUAUACUGGGAAAUGUGUUAGAUGUGGAUGAGGCUAAGAGAUUAGAGCUUGACAAAAUGAAAUACCUCUGUCAUUGAGACUUAAAUUUGAUGGGGAAGAAGAAAAAGAAUAGGGAAGGAGAAAGAAUGAGAAUAAUCAACUUGUUCUUGAAGCCUUGCAACCACCUCUGAAUUUGAAGGAAUUAGAGAUUUGGUCAUACAGAGGCAACAUUGUUUCCCCCCGGAUGAUGCAAAAGUUGAAGGAAUUUACCAAUCUAAGGAGUUUGACACUCUUUAAAACUGCAAAAAUUGAGAGCAGUUGCCUUCUUUGGGAAAAUUGUGAUCCUUUGAAAAUCUCAGCAUAUUGUACAUGGAGAGUGUGAAAACAGUGGGUAAUGAAUUUAUGGGAAUAGAAAGUGAUCUUCAUGACUCAUCUUCAUCUUCAUCAGUUAUUAUUGCCUUCCCCAAAUUGAAAUCACUUUCAGUUGAGGGAUUGAUGGAAUUGGAGGAGUGGGAUUAUGGGAUUAAAAGAACAGGAAACACCUUCACCAACAUUAUGCCACGUCUUUCUUCCUUGGAAAUUAGUGUGGGGUUAUGGGAUCGCACAACGACGUUGAAGGUAUUGCAGAUUGUGGCAUGUGGUACUCUAAGAAGACGUUACAGACAGGGGAGAGCAGAAGACUGGCCUAAAAUGCUAAUGUGGAGUACAAUCAUAAAAUGCUAAUGUGGCCACCCUGGUUCUUAAUUAAGGUUGUGCAUAUUAUUGUAAAAGAUGAUUAAUUCAAUUUGAGUCAUUCGUUUGCUUUGAUAAUGAUAGUAAUUUUAUAUUUUGACAAUUUGCAAGGUGAGAAUGGUGCUGAUUGGUGAUACAGGAUAUGGUUCAAACACCAUUGAAUAAAGCUACGGACAUGGUGGCUCAACUUAGCUAGAUUGCUGUCAAAAUUGGUAAGUUGGCUUGUCAAUGUAUUGAUGCUUUUGUUUUCUCUCAACCCUAAUUACCUUACCUUCAUUUAGUUUGGCUUUGGAGUUGAGUAAUAACUUUCAAGGUUCUCAAACAGAGCAGGACAACCGAAAAAAAAUAGCUUAAUUUGCUGCAGAUCACGUGUUACCAAUUAUUUAAGGUAAUUCUCGUUUACUUGCUUCUACACUAUAGAGUACGUGUUCUGGCUGGUUUAUGUAAUUCAUCAAAUGUUAUUUCCUUAUUGUUCCAUUGAUAUGUUUGUUAGAAAGUGAAACCAUUUCCAGGCAGCAGUUGGCAGUGAAUUCAUGCAAAUGUUGAUGCCAUUCAUAGAUAUUGAAGACAAUGAUGAGCCAAAGGUGAUAAAUCAUUAAUGCAUAGUUACCAAAACCUCCAUCCUUCUCUCAUUGUAAUUUGAUUUGAAAUGAAUAAUUGCUAGGUAAUUGAAGCCAAUAUUGUUAGAAACGGUGUUGAGCUACCCAAGCUAAGAAGUUAGCUGCCAAAAAAUGCAGGGGAUCAAAAGAAGCAUUGCAGUGCUACAAUGAAGCUACUGGGAAAUUUAAAUCCCAUAUUAGACUUUCCUCACAUCAGAAGCUGUGGAUCUUCGGACAUCAGGUUUUUUCACAGUUCUGAAACUCUCAGGAUUAAACUCUAUUAAAGUUGUUGUAGUUGUCUACGUUCUCAGGUCAAGGAUUCUAAGCUGCCUAUUAAGGCAAAAUGUCAGAAUUCCCCUAUUAUUUUUUUUUCAUGUAAAAUUAUGUUGUUGUCUUCGCCCAUGAAUCUUAGCUAAAUUCUGAACCAAUUGUUUGCUAUUAUAAAUUUCAUUGUUAAAUAUUAAUUGUGAUGUUGGUGUUGAGUUUCUUUUAAAGUCACAGAAGCCUGACGAUUGAGUUCCGUGAUUCUGAGAAGCAGUAAUAUUUUGAACAAGUGAAGGUUCUUCGUUUUUAAUUAUGUUCUGCACCUUUACAGUAUGAGUAAAUGUCUAAGAGGCGAGAUUUUAAUUUCUGUAAAUGCUAAAUUUCGCAAAACAAUAAAAAAAUAAAUGCAUGACAGUGACUUCAAGAAAUUAGAUUAUUGAAUUUGGCCAUUUUAAAAUUGAACCAGAGCUCAGAAAUGUAGAAUAUAAAUAUUGGAGAUUUGAACUUCAAUCAUUAGAUUUGAAGCUAAAGAGGUAAGCCAUUAAUUACAUCAAAUGAUUUGGAAAAUGGAGGAAUUGUAAAAAGGAAACUUUUUCUUUGUCCGAUUCAAGAGGAACAAGAGUAGCCUAAGAUAUUAAAGACAAUGUUGAGGCAAAGGAAACAUAAAUCCCAACCAUUGCAUGUGAACAUGAUCACAAUAAAUCCCAACCAUCCAAACCAUUUUUUUGAGAAUUUUCAAUUGAAAGUGAAACCUUUUGACAUUUACCUAAUAAAGUAAGUUAAACGAGAGAAAUAAAGGGGGGAAAAAAAAGUUGACUCAAGUCAAUACAGAAUUAUUAGUUCAACCUAGAGUAACUAAAACAGAGCCACUUGAGUUUCAAAAAUAUCUGCAUUCAUCACCUUCUCCAACAGCUUAUGAGCUACACACGAAUCAUUUCCUUUUAGCAUUUUUGCAGCAGCAAUUUCUCCCCUCGUUUGUCAUCAAUUUCUCCCUUCUCUUGGGGAAAAAAGGGCAGUUGUAAAUUACAUUAUUUGUAACUUUGGCGGACUCUUUAUAUAACACAAAUUCUAUCAUUUAAAGAAAUUAUAAUGAUGCAAUCGUUUCCCCUCUCUUGGAGCAGCUGAUUAUCUUUGCUGCUGAAGAGAUGAGACAACAGGGGAAGCUGGUGAGUGUUGGAUGAGCGGAUCACAGCAUGCGCCAAAUUGCAAAUUGAGAGCGGCAUUGAUGACAAUGCUCUUGGUGCUCCUUAUCUGAAGAAGAAGGUAUAUUCCUGCUUUCCUGCUUCUUGCUUUGGUUUCAAGCAAGUCUUUCACUGUCAUAACAUUUAUUGUAAUUUCAUUUGGAGAUAUGUAAUAUCUGUUGUACAGAUAUAUUUCAUACACCAGCUGUUAAUAAUUCUGCCUGCAGAGAACUUACAAAGGAGCUGUGUGAUGUAAUAGAAGACUAUGUAGUCUGGUCAAUUUUUUCAACCUUAGAUAUUAGGAAGUUAUGUAUUUCAUUAUCAGUUAUCAUUAUGAUUUUCAUCUUCAAAAAGAUAAAUGGAUGGCUUUGAAUGGCUUGUGUUUGAGGAUUUUAGUUUGACUUAUCUUGAUUGAAGUACUUUUUGACAAUAGAAUUCCUUCAUGAUUUAAACAUUCUUUUGAAAACCAAAUAAUAAAAAAAUAAAUAAACUAACAAAUAUUAUUUUAUUAGUGCUCUUUUCAUCAAAUAUACAUAAGAGUAUUGUAAUUUAUAGCAACUAAUUUUUCAUUAAAUACACCCAUAACAAACUAUUAAAAAUAAAGUGAUAGAAAAAUGCCUAAUUUUUCAUACUUUCUAAUUUCUUUUGGCCCUAAAAUAUGGGUAUUUAUGCCAUAAUAAGCCCAUGUAGAUCUCAAUGCCGAAAGUUCGAUAAAUGGCUUUCAAGGAUUGAUAAUUAUCUAUUAACAUUCUUAAUUAUAUUCAGUUAAAAUAUUAAUAUUAAAUACAUUCUUAAUAUUAAUAUUCUUGGAUGAAUUUCUUUGUGGAUUUAAGAAUAAAAUAUUAAAUAAUUUUAUUUUUCUUUUAUUCCGUAACUUAGACCAAAAAAGGAAAUGAGUUUCCCAAGGACUUCUCAUGUUUCCCAUCCUCCAUACUGUGCAGAGGAGUUUAGCACCCAUCAACUUUUAUUUUUUAAAACUCAUAAUGGCCAAUGAAUAAAGCUGUGGUGGCUGAACUUAGGUUGAUGUCAAAGAGGUAAUUGAAUUGGCCUGUUAAGAUGGAUGCUUUUUGUUGAUCAGGCGACAGAGCAGGACUAUGAAAAAGACAAGCUUAUUACCGGUAACUCAAGUUUACUUGCUUGUUAUAUAAUAUGCUUUUUGUCACCGAAUUUCAUUUCCAGUACGUCUCCAUCGGUAUCAAGAAGAAACAGAACUCAAAGAAAUAUUUUUUCAAUCUUCAUAUUUGUCUGAAUUCGUCCUUUCAUUAAGAAUAACCAUUUUCAGGCAGCAGUUGGCACUGAAUUCACGCAAAUCUUGAUGCCAUUCGUAGUCGCAGACAUUAAAGACAAUGAUGAGCCAAUGGUGAUUAAUCAUAAAUGCAUAAUUAACAAACUUCCGUCCUUCUCUCAUUGUAAUUUGAUUUGAAAUUAAUUAUUGCUAGGUAACAUUAAUUCCAACCAUUGCAAGAUUUUUCCCUUAACAUAAUUCGGUAACAUUUAAUUGCAUGUGAAAUUGAUCAUAAUACCGUGAAGGACCUACCAAAACUUUUUUUUGAGAAAUUUCGAUUGAAAGUGAAACCUUUUGACGUUUACCUAAUAAAUUUAGUAAAUCUGGAAAAAAAAAAAAGUUGACACAAGCCAAUGCAGAAUAAUUAAUUAAAUCUGGAGUGACCACAUUUUCAAAAAUAUCUGCAUUCAUCACCUUCUCCAACAGCUAGUCAGCCACACACUGUUGGGGAAAAAUUAGGUUUUUAAAUUUUAUAAAACCUUUUGAAGAUCGCUCUCAUAUAAUAUAUAAGAAUUUGUAUUCUAGAAAUCGUACCUUGAAAAUCCGAGUUGGCUUUUUCCGCUGAAGUGAUUUAGGCUCCUAGAUCACGAUCCGCCACCACCACUCCUGUUAGAUCACAAUCCGUCACCACCACGCUUGUUAGAUCACGAACUGUCUCCAAUGAUCUUCCAAGUUAUAACUCAGGUUCGAUCUACACUUGACGUGUGGGUGCCUUUAUCACUACCAAAGCAACUAGCACGAGAAAAUUUUUCUUCAAUAGAGAGAAAAAUCUUAUUCUCCGAUUUGUAUAAAGUGGCUUCUACCUUUUCUUUAGAGAAAAAUAAGCUUUUUAUAUCACCCUUUAGUGAAAACCCUAGGCUCCAAAUAAUGCCCAAAAUAAAACUCACGUUACUUUUCAUUUAAUAGGGGACCCACCAUGUAAAAUAACAUAAGGCCCUUUACACAUAAGCUAAUUAAAUGGAGCCUCUUACUAAAUGAUAUAUUUAGGCUUUUGACCCAAAUAACUAGUUAUCUUGCUUAUUAGUCCAGUAGUGGUGCAGUCAAUUAAAUGAGCUAACCCGGGGAUCAUUUGGGAACAUACAAUAAUGGCUACAAUAAUUAGGCCUGUAAUUAAACUAGCCCAAUUAUUUAAUUUCAAAUCUACUCCACUAAAAGAUUGGAACUGACUUCCAUAAUUGCAUGCUCGAAUAAUAAUUCGUCCCAAGCCACAUUGAUUUCUUUACUGCACAAUCCUUUGUACCACAUCGUUAAUUAAAUUGAUAUCUCAACUGUCCAAUCAAUUUAAUAACAUCUUAUUCCUUGAUCCUUACUGAUUUUUUCUAAUGAUCAUUUUCAACAUACUAAAUAUGUUGACACACUCUGGCCAGAGAAUUCUAUGAUCAAGUGCCGAAAAUCUAUCAAGAGAUGUGUUGUACAAAUUCUAUAUUGUCAAUCCAUAACUCCAAUACUCAUAAUUGCUCCCACCAAGAUACCGGGUAAUCUUGACCACAAGGAUGUGUCGUGCCCAUUGGUAACUCAAAUGGAAUAACAAUUACAAUCAUGAAAUCAUAAUUAACUCAAGAUUAAGAUUACAGUAAAAUCAACGCCUAUGAGAUUUAAUAAGUCUGACAGUUAUUACAAAGUUAAUUAAAUCUCAUAUGUGAUCCUGUUCAAUGUAGUCGUACUACAUCAAUAAAUUCAUACAUGAUUAAGACAAAUCAUUCAAUGAAUUUAUUACAGUCUAUACCUAAAUAAAGUGCCCAACUUUAUUUAUCAACUGCAAACAAAAUUUAUUUAAUCAUAAGAUAACUUGUAUUUAUGUCUUCUGUGAAUCCACAUGGUGAUCACAUAAAUACAUAUAAUAUGAUUAAAUGGACUUUAAUAAAAAUAUUAAUACAAUUAAGAUAUUUGAAUAAAAUACCUCAUUAAUUUUAUUAAUCAGAAAAAAUGUUUAUUACAAUUAAAUAAACACAUAUGCUUUUAAAGAGCAUAUUUUCCCAACAAUCUCCCACUAGCUCUCAAAGCAUAUCUGGCAUAUUGCACAUGCUUUCGGGCUCUAAGUGCAGGUUAUAAAGGUUUCCCACUAAUGGCCAUUGUAAUAAGAUCUGCCAUUUAGCAUCUAAUGCCAUUUAGGGUACUGUCAUAUAACCUUUCUACACUAUUCCCUUAUAAGAUGAUACUUCAUGUCAGUAUGUUUUGUUUCUUGUGGUUCCUUAGAUUGAGCUACUGCACCACCAUUAUCACAAAAUAGUUUAAGGGGUGUAGUUACAACAGGUACCACCUCAAGAUUUUGUAGGAACUUGCGGAGCCUAUAUAGCUUCUUUUGCAGCUUCAGAUGUAGCCACAUAUUCAGCUUCAGUUGUGGAGUCUGUGAUACAAGAUUGUUUCACACUCAUCCAACUAAUAGCUCCACUUCCUAAUGUAAACACAUAGCCGGAAGUUGAUUUUCUAAAAUCCUUAUCUGACAAAAAAUCAGAAUUAGUAUAACUCACUAGAAUAAGUUCAUCACCAGAAUACACAAGCAUAUAAUUUUUAGUUCUUUUCAGAUACUUUAUAAUAUGCUUGACUGCAGUCCAGUAUUGAGGUCCAUGAUUAAAUUGAUAUCUGCUAACCAUCCCUACCGAAAAACAGAUGUCUGGCCUAGUGCAAAGCAUGGCAUACAUGAGACUUCCCACAGCUUCUGCAUAGGGAACUCAUCUCAUUCUCUCUAUCUCUUCAGAUGUUUUAGGUGAUUGAUCCUUAGAGAAUGUAAUUCCAUGUCUGAAUGGUAAUAAACCAGUCUUGGAAUUUUCCAUGCUAAAUCUAGCCAAUAUCUUAUCGAUAUAGACCGCUUGAGACAAGGCUAAAGUUUUAUUCUUCCAGUCUCGUAGUAACUUGAUACCAAGAAUAUAACUUGCCUUUCCCAGGUCUUUCAUAUCAAAUUGUUUUGCUAACCAAAUCUUUAUUGUAGUCAAUACAUAUAAUAUGAUUAAAUGGACUUUAAUAAAAAUAUUAAUGCAAUUAAGAUAUUUGAAUAAAAUACCUCAUUAAUUUUAUUAAUCAGAAAAAAUAUUUAUUACAAUUAAAUAAACACAUAUGCUUUUAAAGAGCAUAUUUUCCCAACACACACGAAUCAUUUCCUUUUAGCAUUUUGCAGCAUCAAUUUCUCUCCUGUUAAUCUGGAGGAAUCCGUCAGACUUUGGCUGGAUCGGCUCAAGUACGCAUCCUACGACAUUGAAGAUGUGUUGGAUGAGUGGAUCACAACAAGAGCCAAAUUGUAAACAAGAGGUUGAUGACAAAUAUAUCUGUUGCUUCUCAUCUGAAGAAGAAUGUAUCUUCCUGCUUCCCUGCUUUUUGCUUUGGUAUCAAAUAAGUCUUUCUCCGUCAUAACAUUUAUUGUAAUUUCAUAUGAGAUAUUACAUAAUAUAUCUGUUGUUCAAAUAUAUUUUAUAUACAAGCUGUUAAUACUUAUGCUUGCAGAAAGCUUACAAAGGAGUUGUGUGAUGUAAUAGAAGACUACAGUCUGGUCAAUUUUCAACUUUAGAUAUUCAGGUCAUCAGUUUCUCUUGAAUUCUUUCUUGAGUUUCUUUGAAUUAUUUGUGAAUAAGAUCUUAGUUGGCUGCUCCUCUUCAGGAUAAGGAAAGUGUGGCAAAACUCGUGAAGCUGAUAGAUAAAAGCAAUGGGUAUAUCUUUGCUGGCAUGGAUGCCAGCGCAGUUGAAUUCAGCAAGGUUGCCAUUCGCGAUGUUGAUUGGGAUUACUUCAGAUAUCCCUCUUUUCACCUAUUUUCAAUCUUGUGAUUCUCAUUUUCAUAAAACAUUUUGGUUAUUUAAUUAUGGCUCAUUGUAUGCAUCUGCAUCCUCUAACUUGUUCGUUUGAGAAACAAAUUUUGCUGUUAGGUAGGCUUCAAGCUUGAUUCAUGCUUUUUCCAUAAAUGUACCAAAAUCAUGGAAACAUCUUUUUCCCAGAUAUUGUAUCCACACUUUUCCCAUCUAAAAGACAAGUUUUGCUUAACAAAGAAAUCUACAGUAGCUGAAGUGCAGGAGAAGUACAUUAAGGAUGAUGACGAUGUUAACUAAAAGGGAACGCGAAGAUAUGUGGUGUGCAAAUCGUAAGCAAGCUGUGAGUUGAAUGAAUAAAGUUUGGUUUCCAGAAACGACCACGUUUUGGAGCUGUAAAACCUUCAUUAGUCACGUGCUGCUGUUCUUAACUGAAAACGAUUUAGUCGAAACGACAUGGGUGGAGCGCGUUUUACAUAUCAGUUUAAGUUAACCACAUGAGGAAGCAUGUGAUGAAGGUUAUUCUGAGUUUGUUAAAGGUUGUUAACCACGUGUCAACGAGCUGUACAAUCUAGAAAUCAAGUUGGCUGCCUAAACAGAGUAUAAAGGCUAGGUUUUGGGGAAAUUCAGGAACGAAUUUCAUGAGUCUUGCUGUGAGGGUUUUGUGAGAGAGAAAGUAUUAACUUGUUCUUUGUAAAGUCUGGUGGAAGGCUCUGUAACAAUCUCCAUUGUUGAUUCAAUAAAGCUCAUCUUGAGGCUUCUCCAAUGGAUGUAAGCUGAGCAUUCCAUGCUCAACUGAACCACGUUAAAUCUUGGUUUCUGUGGGUUUCUUGUUUCUAGUUCUUGUUCUUUUUGUUAUUGAGUGAGUUUGUCUAAUUAGAUCUUGGGGUUGUGCAACUUGCAUUGACUAGAUCACUAGCAUCCUGGGCAGUGAUCAAUUUAGCUUGGUUUAAAGGCUUGCUGUUCACUACAAUUGGUACUAGAGCUUGGUGUUCUGUGAUCAAGUCCAAGUAUGGUGUCUUCUAAGGUCGAUGUAGAAAAAUUUACAGGCAAGAAUGACUUCAAUAUGUGGAAGAUGAAAAUGGAAGCCUUGCUGAUCAUUUAGGGUUUGGGAGAUGCAAUUGAGCCUGAAAUGAAGGAAGGUAAAGGGGUUUCUUCAUCAAAGACUCCAGAGGAAGUUGUUGAAAUCCACAAAAAGGUCAGAAGUACAAUAAUCCUGAGUCUUGGUGAUUCAGUCAUUAAAGAAGUGGCCAAAGAUAAGACAGUUGCUGGAUUAUAGAGCAAACUGGAAAGUCUUUAUAUGACCAAGUCACUUGCAAACAGACUCUACAUCAAGAAAAGGAUGUUUACACUAAAAAUGGUGGAAGGAGCUUCACUGGAAGAACACAUCGAUGAGUUUAACAAGGUAUGUGAUACCCUGGAAACCAUUUAUGCUACUCUGGAUGAUGAGGGGAAGACUCUCUUGCUAAUCAAUUCAUUACCAAAAUCCUAUGAAAAUUUGGUUGAUGCCCUGAUGUAAGGAAGACAAACCCUAACACUUGAUGAAGUUAAAUCUACCCUAAAUACAAGGGAACUUCAAACUAAACAAGGGCAUUUGGAGAAUAAUAGAAGUGAAUGACUGAUAAUAAAGGUGAAAACUGACAAGAAGAAGAAGAAAGGCAAAUCCAAGAACAAAGAAAGAGACCUAAAAUGCUUUCAGUCUCACAAAGAAGGCCAUUUUAAGAGGGAUUGCCUUGAAAAGAGAUUCAAGCCCAAAGAUUCAAGAAACCAAAGUGGAGAUGCAGCUGUAGUGGAAGAGGAAGGAUAUGAGUCUGCUGGUGUAUGUGUGGCAAUAGAAAACAGCCAAAAAGGUAAAUGGGUUCUGGACUCUGGAUGCACUUUUCACAUGUGCCCUUUUAGAAAUUACUUUAAUAAAUAUCAAGAUUUUGAUGGAGGUAGAGUAAUUAUGGGAAAUAACUCUAUUUGUAAAAUCAUUGGAAUUGGGGAUGUAAGCCUUAAGCUACAUGAUGGUUCAAUAAGAGUGCUUAGGCAAGUCAGGCAUGUGCCAGACUUGAAAAGAAAUCUAAUUUCUCUUGAGGUGUUGGACCAAAUAAGGUGUAGAAUUAAGCUUGAAUCUGGAGAAUUGAGUGUUUUGAAUGGUUCAAAUCUAGUCAUGAAAGGGACGAGGAAGAAUGGAGUUUACAUCUUAGAUGGUGAGGUGAUAUCUGGAGUAGCUGAUGUAUCCAUUAAGCAUGCUAAAGAUAAAACCAGGUUAUGGCAUCCAAGGUUAGGGCACAUGAGUGAGAGAGGAUUAAAAGAGUUAGAAAAACAAAGGUUGUUUGGUUCUGACAAGAUUGGUAAUCUAGAGUUUUGUGAAGAUUGUGUUCUAGGGAAGUCUUCAAGAGGCAGCUUCAAUAGAUCUAGUCAAAAAUCAAAUGAGAGGUUGGAUUAUGCACACUCAGACUUGUGGGGGCCUGCACAGUGUGUAUCUCUGCGAGGGAAUAAGUAUUUUUUAUCUAUCAUAGAUGACUUCUCUAGGAAAGUUUGGGUGUAUGUGUUAAAGAACAAGGAUCAGACUUUUGAGAGGUUUAAAGAGUGGAAACAGAUGGUAGAAAACCAAACUGGUAAGAGAUUAAAGAAGCUGAAAACUGAUAAUGGUCUUGAAUUUUGCAACCAGCCAUUUGACAACUUUUGUGCAAAUAAAGGUAUUGGUAGACAUAAGACAGUAAGGAUGACCCCAUAACAAAAUGGGUUAGCUGAGAGGAUGAAUAGGACUCUAUUGGAGAAAGUAAGAUGUAUGCUGAUUUAGUCCAAGCUCCUAAAAACAUUGUGGGCAAAAAUCUUACUCACAGCAUGCUACCUUGUCAACCUAAGCCCUUCUAUUGGAAUUAAUUUCAAAACACCUUUUGAAUGUGGUCACGGAAACCUGCUGACUAUGGAAUCCUUAAAGCCUUUGGCUGCCCAACCUAUGUUCAUGUCAGUCAAGGUAAGCUAGCAGCUAAAGCCUUGAAAAGUGUUUUCAUAGGCUAUCCAGAAGGAGUCAAAUGGUUUAAAGUUUUGUGCACUGAGCUUAAUCCACCAAAAUGUAUAGUGAGUAGGGAUGUGGUGUUUAAUGUGGGGAGUUUGAUGAAGGUGAAUCAUGAACCUGAUCUGGAAACUGAAAAUUCAAGACUAAUAGAGAAACUAGAGUUUGAGGUGGAGCCAUCUACUUCCAGAAACACAACUGAAGCUGCAGAUUCAGGUGGUGUUCCUGAAAACACUGAUGACACACAGGCACCUCAAGAUCAAUCAAGUUCUCAGGAGCAAAUCAGAGAAUACCAGCUCACCAGAGAUAGACAAAAAAGGCAGAUCAAACCAACAAGGAGAUAUGGCUAUGCAGAUUUAAUAGGUUUUGCUCUAACAGUUGCAAAAGAUAUAGAUGGUGAGGAACCAAAGAAUUUUAAGGAAGCAACCCAGAGCCUGUUCAAAGAAGAAUGGCAAAGAGCUAUAGAUGAUGAAAUGGCCUCCCUCUAUAAAAACAACACAUGGGAGCUGGUCAAGAAGCCUAGAAAUAGAAGAGUGGUUGGCUGCAAAUGGAUUUUCAAAAUUAAGGAGGGCAUAAAUGGAUCUGAACCAAGGAGAUUCAAGGCUAGACUUGUGGCCAAGGGUUAUAAACAAAAGGAAGGGAUAGAUUUUAAAGAAGUAUUUUCUCUAGUGGUUAGACAUGCCUCAAUUAGAGUUAUGUUAGCCAUAACAGCUGUGCAAGACAUGGAGCUUGAUCAACUCAAUGUCAAGACAACAUUUCUGCAUGGAAGACUUGAGGAAGAAAUACCGAUGUCCCAACCUGAAGGGUAUGAGUUCCCAGGUAAAGAAGACCAUGUGUGUCAACUAAAGAAGUCACUCUAUGGGCUUAAACAGUCUCCCAGACAGUGGUACCUAAGAUUUGAUAAAUUCAUGCAACUGCAUGAGUUCAUCAAAUGUAGCUAUGACUGCUGUGUUUACUACAAGACAAUCAAGGAUGGUCUGUACAUAUACCUCCUUCUAUAUGUAGAUGACAUGUUGGUUGCUUGCAAAGAUAAAGAGGAAAUUGAUAAGCUCAAGGUGCUGCUGAAUUCAGAAUUUGAAAUGAAGGACCUGGGGUAUGCAAUGAAGAUUCUAGGAAUGGAGAUCAGAAGGAAUAUAAGUAAAGGGAUCAUGUUUCUGUCACAAGAAAAAUACUUGAAAAAAGUGUUAGAAACAUUUGACAUGAGUAAGUCUAAACCUGUGCAACUACCAUUAGCUUCACAUUUCAGGUUAAGCAAUUUGCAGUAUCCUUAAACAGAAGCUCAAAAGCAAGAUAUGGCAAAUGUGCCCUAUGCAAAUGCAGUAGGCAGCCUUAUGUAUGCAAUGGUAUUGACCAGGCCAGACAUAACUCAUGAUGUCAGUGUAGUUAGUAGAUAUAUGGCACAACUUGGGGAAGACCAUUAGAAGGCUAUAAAAUAGAUACUCAUGCAUCUCAAAGGCACUGUAAAUUGUGGUCUGAUGUAUGGCAAGACAAAAGCAAAUGAUGAGGUUUUGGAAGGGUAUGUUGACUCAGAUUAUGCAGGGGAUUUGGAUAAAAGAACGUCUCUUACAGGUUACAUAUUGAUGUUAAAUGGUUGUACUGUAAAUUGGAAGGCAACUCUACAAAGUGUAGUGGCUCUUUCAACAACUGAAGCAGAGUAUACAGCUGCUACAGAAGUUGUAAAGGAAACACUUUGGCUCAAGGGGUUGGUGACAGAGUUGGGAUUAAAUAAGAAGUCAGUAUCAAUCUGCUGUGAAAAUGGUGAAGAUUCAUACUGAUGAGAAUUCUGCAGAUGCUGUUACUAAGGUGAUUCCUGUGGAUAAGUUCAGAGCUUGCCUGGACCUAGCUGGCUUGUGCAGUCAGUGAUAUGCAUAAGGUUUGGAGAAGGAUUUAGAGUGAGGGUAAACUUUGAUUCAAGUUGGAGAAUUGUGAGUUGAAUGAAUCAAGUUGGUUUGCAUAAACGAUCGCGUUUUGGAGCUGUAAAACCUUCAUUAGCUCACAUGCUGCUCAGCUGGUUCUUAACUAAAAACGAUUUAGUUGAAAUGACAUUGGUGGAGUGCGUUUUACAUAUCAGUUUAAGUAACCACGUGAGGAAGCAUGUGAUGAAGGUUAUUCUGAGUUCAUUAAAGGUUGUUAACCACGUGUCAACGAGCUGAACAAUCUGGAAAUCAAGCUAGUUGCCCAAACAGAGUAUAAAGGUUGGGUUUUGGGGAAAUUCAGGAACGAAUUUCAUGAGUCUUGCUGUGAGGGUUUUGUGAGACAGAAAGUAUUAACUUGUUCUCUGUAAAGUCUGGUGUAAGGCUCUAUAACAAUCUCCAUUGUUGAUUCAAUAAAGCUCAUCUUGAGGCUUCUCCCGUGGAAUGCUCAGCUGAACCACGUUAAAUCUUGGUUUCUGUGGGUUUCUUGUUUCUAGUUCUUGUUCUUUUUGUUAUUGAGUGAGUUUGUCUAAUUAGAUUUUGCGGUUGUGCAACUUGCAUUGACUAGAUCACUAGCAUCCUGGGCAGUGAUCAGUUUAGCUUGAUUUAGAGGCUUGCUGUUCACUGCACAUGCCUUUUGCCUUUGUGGAUGUUCAAGCUUGUGAUUCAUGUUUGUUAAUCUAUUAUGCUCUCUUGCAGGAUUUAUAAAGUUUUCGAUCAAUCAAGCAUUUGACUCAAGUUCUUAGCUCUUCACUGCUUGAAUGGGUCAGAUAGGACAAGCGCCGAUGAGGUGGUUUUAAUCAGACCCCUCCUAAUUAUGAUGUAUGGUCCGAAUCUUGGACUUUUUGUACAAAUGUAGCUAUUGAGGACAAUGAUGAGACAAAGGUGAUCAUUCAUUAAUGCGUAAUUACCGAAACCUCCAUCCUUCUCUCAUUGUAAUUUGAUUUGAAAUGAAUAAUUGCUAGGUAAUUGAAGUCAAUAUUGUUAAAAACCGUGUUGAGCUACCCAAGCAAAGAAGUUAGUCGCCAAAAAAUGCAGGGGAUCAAAAGAAGCAUUUCAUUUGAAAAGGCAUGAGAUUCUGUUUAAAUUUGUGCUACUACGGUGCGGUAAUGCUGCUACUGGGAAAUUUGAAAAGGCAUCAGAAGCUGUGGAUCUUGGGACAUCAGGAUUUUUCACAGUUCUCAAACUCUCAGGAUUAAACUCUAUUAAAGUUGUAGUUAUCUUGUUGUCAGAAUUCCCAUAUUAUUAUCUUUUUCAUGUAAAAUUAUCUUGUUGUCUUCACCCAUGAAUCUAAGCUAAAAUUUGAACCAAUUGUUUGCUAUUAUAAAUUUCAUUGUUAAAUGUUAAUUGUGAUGUUGGCGUUGAGUUUCUUUUAAAGUCAUAGAAGCCUGACGAUUGAGUUCCAUGGGAUUCUGAGAAGCAGUAAUAUUUUGAACAAGUGAAGGUUCUUCGUUUUUAAUUAUGUUCUGCACUUUUACAGUAUGUGCAGAUGUCUAAGAGGCAGGAUUUUAAUUUCUGUAAUGCUAAAUUUCGCAAAACAAUAAAAAAAUAAAUGCAUGACAGUGACUUCAAGAAUUUAGAUUAUUGAAUUUGGUCAUUUUAAAAUUGUUGGAAUGUUGAACUUACGUAAUUUUGAUAAACCAGAGCUCAGAAAUGUAGAAUAUAAAUAUUGGAUAUUUGGACUUCAAUCAUUAGAUUUGAAGCUAAAGAGGUAAGCCAUUAAUUACAUCCAAGGAUUUGGAAAAUGGAGGGAUUGGAAAAAGGAAACUUUUUCAUAAACUUCAAGCAUUGGGCAUUUUCAUUUGUCCGAUUCAAGAGGAACGUCAUAGAAAGGGGUAAAGAAAAGAGUAGCCUAAGAUAUUAAAGACAAUGUUGAGCCAAAGGAAACAUAAAUCCCAACCAUUGCAUGUGAACAUGAUCACAAUAAAUCCCAACCAUCCAAACCAUUUUUUUGAGAAUUUUCAAUUGAAAGUGAAACCUUUUGACAUUUACCUAAUAAAGUAAGUUAAACGAGAGAAAUAAAGGGGAAAAGAAAAGUUGACUCAAGUCAAUACAGAAUAAUUAGUUCAAUCUGGAGUAACUAAAACAGAGCCACUAUAUUUUCAACAGCUAAUGAGCUACACACGAAUCAUUUCCUUUUAGCAUUUUUGCAGCAUCAAUUUCUCUCCUCGUUUGUCAUCCAAAAUUAUUCACCAAUACCAUGGCUGAUGCAAUCGUUUCCCUGGUCUUGGAGCAGCUGAUUAUCUUUGCUGCUGAAGAGUUGAAACAACAGGGGAAGCUGGUGAGUGUUGGAUGAGUGGAUAACAGCAUGCGUCAAAUCGCAAAUUGAUCAAUGCUCUUGGUGCUCCUUAUCUGAAGAAGAAGGUGCAAAUUGAGAGCUGAAUUGCACUGUCAUAACAUUUAUUGUAAUUUCAUUUGGAGAUAUGUAAUAUCUGUUGUCCAGAUAUAUUUCAUACACCAGCUGCUAAUAAUUCUGCUUGCAGAGAACUUGCAAAGUGAUUCUGGGAUAUGUAAUAUCUGUUGUAAUAUCUGGAGAUAUGUAAUAUCUGUUGUCCUAGAAAUAUAGAUGUGUGGUUCGCAAAAUUUUCUUGAUCUUAAGAAAGAGUUAUCUUGAAUAGAAGAUAACAUGGAGAAUUCAGCAACUAUACAGUCAUAUUGAUGUCUGUCAACUUGGGUCAGAUGGUGUCGUUUGGAUGGAGAUGUUAGGUCCCAGAUGGUAUGCUUGUUAUCAAUUCCAGUCUAAUUCAUUCAUGCUUUGAUGACAUAUGCGGUGCAGCUUCUUAUCUAAGACCUGUAUAUGUUCAGUCAUCAUUCAGUUCUGUAUUUGGCUGCCAUUCUUUCAAUGAAUUCAAACCACUUUCUGAAUACUUGCAAAUUCAUCCAGUGUUGUCAUUGAGAUGCCAAUAUGUAAAGGAGCAAUAGUUGCCCUUGAUAGUAUGCUUAUUGAUUGCCUCUUGCCUCACUCAGCCUAAGGAAUCUGGUUGUAUGGUGUUCUUGUAAUUUCAUUUGGAGAUAAGUAAUAUCUGUUGUUCAAAUGUAUUUUAUAUACAAGCAGUUAAUAAUUCUGCUUGCAGAAAGCUUACAAAGGAGCUGUGUGAUGUAAUAGAAGACUACAGUCUGGUCAAUUUUUCAACCUUAGAUAUUCAGGUCAUCGGUUUCUCUUGAAUUCUUUCUUGAGUUUCUUUGAAUUAUUUGUGAAUAAGAUCUUAGUUGGCUGCUCCUCUUCAGGAUAAGGAAAGUGUGGCAAAACUCGUGAAGCUGAUAGAUAAAAGCAAUGGGUACAUCUUUGCUGGCAUGGAUGCCAGUGCAGUUGAAUUCAGCAAGAUUGCCGUUCGCGAUGUGGAUUGGGAUUAUUACAGAUAUCCUUCUUUUCACCUACUUUCAAUCUUGUGAUUCUCAUAUUCAUAAAACUUUUAUGGUUCAUUGUAUGCAUCUGCAUCUUCUAAUUUGUACGUUUGAGAAACUAAUUUUGCUGUUAGGUAGGUGUCAAAUUUGAUUCAUGCGUUUUUUAUAAAUUUACCAAAAUCAUGGAAACUUCUUCUUCCCAGAUAUUGUAUCCACACUUUUCCCAUGUAAUUCAGUCAGACAAGUUUUGCUUAACAAAGAUAUCUACAGUAGCUGAAGUGCAGGAAAAGUACAUUGAGGAUGAUGACGAUGUUAACUAAAAUGGGACACGAAGAUAUAUGGUGCGCAAACCGUAAGCAUGCCUCUUACUUUUGUGCAUGUUUACUUGCUUGUGAUUCAUGUUUGUUAAUCUAUUAUGCUCUUUUGUUGGAUUUAUAAAGUUUUCAAUCAAUCAAACAUUUGACUGGUUCAGACAGGACAAGCGCGGAAGAGGUGGUUUUAAUCAAACCACUACUAAUUAUGAUGUAUCUCGGACCUUUGUACAAUAUCAAGCGAUUUUUUUAGUUGAAUCAGCUAGUGUACACAAAUGUCGUUUAUUGAUUUUUCUCUAGUAUAGUUCGUAAUUUUGGUAACACAUCUACUCUAGUAUCGAUUGUAAUUACAAGAAACAAAGUAAUGAAAUUUAUCACUGCAUUCAUAGUUAUGCUUAAGCUCAAAGACCACUGUCAAGAUCAUUUUGGGGCCUCUAUUUGUUCUAUAACAUGAUGUUGACACAUGUCAAAUUAUGAAGCUUGUGAUUAAAAUACUUUUCACAUAUAUAUUUUAAGUACCACUAAUAAUUAAAUAUAUGAAUAAAUAUGGUCAAUGAGGAGGGGAUAAAAUAAAAUGGUUUUAUUUUUUGAAUUACUCAACUGCUUCAAACUUCUAAGAAGUAGAUUUACGAUGAGCGGAAUCUUAAAUUGAGUACGAGCUAGGGAUAACUUAUAAAAUUGGGAUACAAGCUUCAAAGAAAGUGUAUUACUAUUCAUAUGUAGAUUUCGAAUUAAGAAGAUAUGCCAACUAAUUGUAUAAAAAUGUAAAAAUUGAUCACUGACAUAAUCCCAAAUGAUAAAAUGAGCUACCUCGAUCAAAAGGUCAAGAACCUACCUUCUCUUAGGGAUAAGUGAAAGCUUCCCAAUUGAAGGAAAGUGAAGAGAAGAUUCUAUGCUCUCAUUAUUAUUAUUAUUUGUUAGAAUGAAGUGCGAAGUGAGCACAUCAUGCAAGCUCAGCAGAAGUGAUAAGGUGACUUGUAACUCAGCUGGCACUCAAGAGACAAAGUGUAGUGGAGAAAAGUUUCCCAAUUGAAGGAAAGUGAAGGGAAGAUUCUAUGCUCUAAUAAUUAUUAGUUGACAAUGAAUUGGCAAAUAAAAACAAAAUAGCAAGCCUGUAAAGUAAUGAAGUGGAGACAAUGACCAUGUGAUUGAUUGGUAAAUAAAAACAAAAGAGCAAGCCUGUAAAGUAAUGUAAACUAUAGUGUAUAUUCAAGUUAAAGUAAUGGAAACAGUGUAUAUUCACAAAAAAUUCUUUUAUCUCUCAUUGUCUUGUUCUUUUCUUUAUUUACGUUGUCCAGAAGUAAAGCCAUACAUGUGAUGAAGCAUAAAUAAGAAAGCUAUCGCCCGAAAUUCAUUUUCACAAACACUUCAAUAUCCUUUUGAUCACUUUUGCAAACAUCAAUUUGUCUCCUCUUGUAUUCACCAUGGUUGAUGCCAUCGUUUCCCCUCUCGUGGAGCAGCUGAUUUCCUUCGCUGCUGAAGAGAUAAAACAACAGGUGAUCGAAGUUACACCCCUCAUAUUACAAAUACUUACAAUGAUUUUAUUUGGUUUUGCUUUUAUCAAAAACAUUAUAAUUAUAAUUUUUGAAAUUUGAAUUGAAUUUAAUUAAAAGGUGAUAUAGUAACCACUCAUUUUUAUUUUAUUUCAUUUAUAUUCUCGAUAACUACCCAUAUUGUGGUAACUUGCUAUAACUCUCGUAUAUAAGAAAUGAUCAAAACCCAUAAUUUUAACUCUGUAUAAAUAUUCAAUGUUGAGCUAAGGUUUUGUAGAACAUUCAAGUUUAUCAAACAGUCAUUAAUUUAAUGCUUAGUAAAAUCUCAACUCUGCACUGAAUCCCAUAACUAUUACUUAGACUCUAUGAAAAAUUUCAUAGUUUUCUUACAUUCUUUGAGUUUGGUAAGUGAUUUCAUAUAAUUUAUUUUCAAGUUAAAUUUUAAUUUGGUUUCUGAUAUAGUCUCUUUGCCGAAUUGUCUCUUUUAUGAUUCUUGGAUUUUGGGCUUCAACUUUUUAGGAUUUGAUAGUCACAUUUUAUGCCGUGCUCAGAUUGAUUUUCAUGAUUAUUAGUAGCCGUUAAGUGACUUACAAUUUGACGAAAGUUUGAAAGGAAAAAUGUUUCAGGAUUAUGUUUUAAUUGACCUUUUAGUGGAAAUAGGAUGCUUAUAACUUAAUGUGGAUGGUUCGUAAAAUCAUGAAAUUUGGAUAGGAUUCACUAGAAAUAUGUUCAAGACUCUCCAUAAAGUUUCAUAAUUUUUCAUUGGGUCUGGGCUGUUACAGGUGAUGCUUGUGACUGGUGUCGAGAAGGAAGUGAAAAGCCUUACGAACCACCUUCAUGCCAUUCAAGCUGUGCUCGAUGAUGCAGAGGAAAAGAAAGUGAAGAACAAAGCUGUUAGUCUUUGGCUGGGUAGGCUCAAGUAUGCAUCCUACGACAUUGAAGAUGUGUUGGAUGCGUGGAUCACAACAAGACGUAAAUUGCAAAUUGAGGGUGGCGUUGAUGACAAUGCUCUUGCUGCUCCUCAAAAGAAAAAGAAGGUGUGUUUCUGCUUUCCUGCCUCUUGUUUUGGAUUCAAACAAGAAGAAUUUGGUUUCAAACAAGUCUUUCUACGUUAUGACAUUGCCAACAAGAUCAAAGAAAUGAAUGAAGAGCUACAUGAUAUUGCCACUCAAAAAGACAUGUUUAAUCUUAAAAGUGGUGAAAGACCAAGGCGUGUACAGAGUACCUCCUUGAUUGAUGAGGAAGAGAUUUGUGGUAGAGUUGGUGAGAAGAAUGAACUCAUAAGCAAGCUGUUGCGUGAGAGUAGCGAGCAACAAAAAGGCCUCCAUAUCAUCUCAAUUGUUGGUAUGGGAGGCAUAGGGAAAACUACUCUUGCACAACUAGCUUGUAAUCAUGACGAGGUGAAGAGAAAGUUUGACAAAAUUCUGUGGGUGUGUGUAUCAGAAACUUUUGAGGAGUUUAGGGUAGCCAAAGCGAUCGUUGAAGCUUUGGAUAGUCGUGAAUCUCAUUUAGGUGAAUUUCAAUCUCUUCUUAAAUAUAUUUAUGAAUCAAUUGCAGGGAAGAGCUUUCUUCUUGUCUUAGAUGACGUGUGGGAUGGAAAUUACUUGAAAUGGGAACCAUUCUACCGUUGUCUAAAGAAUGGUCUCCAUGGAAGUAAAAUUUUAGUUACCACACGUAAAGGGUCAGUCGCAUCCAUGAUGGGAUCCAUAACUAUUAUCUCCGUUAAGGAGUUAGCUGAAGAGGAAUGUUGGUUGUUGUUUAAAAAGAUAGCAUUUUUUGAUCGGUCCAUCGAGGAACGUGAAAAAUUAGAACAAAUUGGGCAAAGAAUUGCAGGCAAGUGCAAAGGUUUACCUCUUGCAGCAAAGACAAUAGGGCAUCUCAUGCGUUCUAAACAAACUGAAGAAGAGUGGAAAAGAAUUUUAAAUAGUGAUUUAUGGAAAGUAGAAAAGAUUGAGAAAGAUGUUUUGUCCUCUUUAUUGUUGAGUUAUAAUGAUUUGCCAUCUAGAGUAAAAAGAUGUUUUUCAUAUUGUGCUGUCUUUCCAAAAGAUUAUAAUAUAAGAAAAGACAAACUAAUCUCAGUAUGGGUGGCUCAAGGUUAUCUUAGUGCAGAAGCAGCAGAACAAAAUGAGGAGUUGGAGACUAUAGGUGAAGAGUAUUUUAGCAUCUUAGCUUCUCGCUCUUUCUUUCAAGAGUUUAAGAAAAGUUAUGAUAAUUGGAUUAUAGAGUGUAAGAUGCAUGAUAUGGUACAUGAUUUUGCCCGAUUUGUAAGUCAAAAUGAAUGUUUUUCCAUGGCAAUUAAUGGUAGUGAAGAAUCAAACGCCACAAACUCUCUUGAUGAGAAGGUCCGUCAUUUAAUGUUAAUCUUUAGUAAAGGGGCUUCAUUACCUGUUUCCACUCUUAGAGUUAAAAGAAUGCGUAGCCUCUUUAUUAACGAUAGUGAAUCUGAUCAUUCAUCAUUAAAUGGUGAGAUCCUAGAAGAAUUAUUUAGGGAAUUGACAAGUUUAAGGGCAUUAGAUUUUGGCAAAUCGUGUAACUCAAGUUGGUCUUCGACUCUGGAGUAGGGAUGGCAAAAAUCCCCACGGGGACGGGUACCCUCGGGGAUUUUCCCCAUUCGGGGAGGGUAUGGGGAUAAUUUCAUACCCAAUUUCUUAUUCGGGGAGGGGACGGGGAAAUUUUUUUACCCAAUUUCUUAUUCGGGGAGGGGACGGGGAUGAGGUGGAAUCCCCAUCCCCUACCCAUUUCCCCAUUUUAAUUUUUAAUUUAAUUUUAAUUUUUUAAAAUUACUAGUAAAUAAAUUAUAAAAUUUAAAUUAUAAAAUUAUAAAUAUUGGUAAAAAUAAAAAAUAUCAAAAUAUUUAUAUUAUUAAACUUUUAGGCCUAAUUAGCUAAUUAAAGUUCUAAAUUUUUAUUUAGGACAUUAAAAAGACUGAGUAGAUUCUAUUAGCCAAAUUUUUUUUUAAUUUUGAUAUUCUUUAAAUAUUUUAAACUUAAAUCUAUUUUUUAUUUAAUUUUAGAUGUUAUAAUUGCCCACAGCGAAUCACAAUUUUAAUAUCUAAUCUAAUCUAAUCUAAUAUUUACUUUUGAUUUGCUCCGAUUUAACUAUUGUGUUGUAAAGGGAAUAGUCCACAUUUAUAAAGUGCCCACGCCACCAUUGAAAAAGUUAAUUUUGAAUCUAAAUUUGAUUUUAUUUGUAACAAUUUUGUAUUAGACUAUUAAUUUGUUCAUGAUAGUUUGUAAAAUAAGUUUGUAUCUCUUGUAUGUUGCGUUACUUACUAAUUUAAUGUAUGUGACUUUUGUAAUAGAUAUUAAUGUAAGAUAUAUUUCGAACUUUACUUUUAUUUGAAUUUUUUAUUUUAAUAUGAUUAACUCAAAAUCGAAAAAAAAAUGUAUUAGUUAAUCGGGGAUCGGGGACCCUCGGGGAUCCCCUGUUAUUAUCUUCNNNNNNNNNNNNNNNNNNNNNNNNNNNNNNNNNNNNNNNNNNNNNNNNNNNNNNNNNNNNNNNNNNNNNNNNNNNNNNNNNNNNNNNNNNNNNNNNNNNNACCUUAUUUGUGUUUUCAGAAAAUAGUGAAACUACCGGAGACAUUAUGCGAGUUGUAUAAUCUAGGAAAGUUAGAUAUUAGUUGUUGUUAUAGUCUUAAAGAAUUACCUGAAGGGAUUGGGAAGUUAAUAAACAUGAAGCAUUUACUAAAUAGAGAUACUCAUUCUUUAAGGUACAUGCCAGUAGGGAUUGGGAGAUUAACGGGUCUUAGGACCUUGGAUGAGUUCCACGUGAGUGCAGGAGGAGGUGUUGAUGAUAGGAAAGCAUGUAGGCUUGAAUCUCUAAAAAAAUUGGAACACCUUCAAGUAUGUGGUAUACGUAGACUGGGUGAUGUAUCAGAUGUGGGCGAGGCUAAGCGAUUAGAACUUGACAAAAAGAAAUACCUCUUCAGUUUGACCCUUGAGUUUGAUAAGAAGGAAAGAGGAAGAGAAAGGAGGAAGAACGAGGACGAUCAACUUCUUCUUGAAGCCCUGCGACCACCCCUGGAUUUUAAGGAAUUAGAGAUACGGUUCUACCGAGGCAACACUGUUUUCCCCAGCUGGAUGACGUCAUUAACCAACUUAAAGAGUUUAGAUCUCUGUAACUGCGAAAAUUGCGAGCAGCUGCCUCCUUUGGGAAAAUUGCCGUCCCUUGAAAAACUCAGCAUAAUGUUUAUGCCUGUGAAAAGAGUGGGUGAUGAAUUUUUGGGGAUAGAAAGUGGUCAUCGUGACUCAUCUUCAUCUUCAUCGGUUAUUAUUGCCUUCCCCAAAUUGAAAUCACUUUCAAUUGAGUCUCUGGACGAAUUGGAGGAGUGGGAUUAUGGGAUUACAGGAACGGGAAACACCUUCAUCAACAUCAUGCCACGUCUUUCUUCUUUGGAAAUUAAUUACUGCCCCAAAUUAAAGGCACUGCCCGACCACAUUCAUCAAACGACAACAUUGAAGGAAUUGCGCAUUUGGGGGUGUGACCUUCUGGAAGAACGUUACCGCAAGGGAGAAGGAGAAGACUGGCCUAAGAUAUCACACAUUCCCAACCUCCAUAUUGGGCUUUGACAAGUAAUUUCUUCUCUUACUCUGAUUUGCUUUGUUGUUGUUUUUAAUCUAAUUAAGAAGCGUAAAUAGCAUUUUGAAUCAAACUCUAUAUCAGAAAUCUGCAAUACUUACUUUCUAAUAUUCUGAUUUUCAUAUCCUAUGAAUAUACGAUUUUUAAUUUGUGAGAUGGGUAACGUUACUGUAAAAGAUUAUUAAUGCAAUAUGAGUAAUUCUUUUGCAGGACAAGUGACCUACAUUUAGUUUGGCUUUGGAGUUGAAUAAUAACCUUUCGGGAACUGGUGUGGACUGGCAAAGGAUGAUGAGAUAGUUUUUUGAGUGAGUAAAUUUUGGGAGCUUGAGUGUAUUGGGAUUUGCAAUUACAAUCAUCCUCUGCUUCAGGUGAUUUCUUCUCUUGCUCUGUCAUUGUUUGUUCUCUAAUUCAAAAGCAUGAAAUAUUUCAAUCAAUUUUUAUACCAGGAAUAUGCAAAAGUUUCUAAUAUUUUAUUUCCAUCUGUUACAAGAUCAAACUGAAGCAGAACUCAAACAAAAGUAUGCUACUUCUUGCGGAAAUCUUGCCUUUGUUCAGAUUAUGAAACCAUUUCCAUGCAGCAAAUUCAUCCAAAAGUUUGAAUAAGUUUCAUGGUCGGACACUGUUGGCUUCUUUUUCUUCUGGGGUGCAUUUAGGUGCUAUCAAGUGACAGCUGUAAGUAUGAUUGCACUAAGCUGCUGCUGGGAAAUUUGAGGUUUUGAUGGCUGCCCAUGUUAUUUUCAAGAAACUAUUGAUGUAAGAAGCCGUGGUUCUUUUCAUCAGCUUGAACCUGAAACUGUCGCUAUGGAUAACUCAGGUUUUUGUUAUCAACUAUAUCAUCUUUUUCACUAUUUUGAAACUCUUAAGAUUAAACGUUAGUAAAGUUGUUUCAGCUAUUCAAAUGAAAAACUCAUUGAUUUGAGACUUCCUUCAUUAUUGUUUCUAAUUACAAUGCUAACGAUCCAGAUAAAAUAAUAUUUAAUCGGCGAAGGUGUCCCUUGGAAGUACAUCCUUCUUUUUCUUUUAUUAUAUAAAUUCUUGCAAUGAGCUUAGUGAAGCUGUUGUGCUAUCAUGCCACUGCAUAAUUUGGCCCCUAAUGUGGGUACUCUGUUUCAUUGUUCUGCAAAUUCUCCAGCAGUUAAAAUCAAUAAAUUUUCUAUUAGCUCUAGUGCUUUGACCUAAAUGCUAUUCUAUAUUCUGAUUACAAUGUUUUAACCUUUAAAUUAACUACUCCUAGAUGUUGGAUUUUCUAGAACUUCAAAAUGAUUAAUGGAGAAAGAUCCCAUUAUCGUUAUUGCUAUAAGAAAUUGAUUUAUGCAUCCAAAGAUACAUUAUAUAUUUCUGUGUCUCUAUUUAUAGAUGACAUUUAAGCAUCCAUAAACCGUCAGACAGAGGAAGGGGGUUCAGUGCAAAGAUUCUGUUGACCUAGGGUUGACUGCAUAAUGUCACUUGUUCGCAAUCUAUUAUUUAUUUUAUAUUUUGAAGAAUUUAAUGGGUAAUCCUAAUUGUUUGUUUUGGCAGGUAUGUGUUGUUAUCUCCUUCUAUCUUACAGUCAUACCUAAAUAGCAUAGUUUCAUCUGUGUUACCAUGUGAUGUACAUAAUUUCACAUUUGCCUCAGAUUAAGCUUAAUUUCCCACAAAAUAGAGCUGUCGCGACUGGACUUAGGUUGAUGUCCAAAGAGGUAAAUUAUUGGCAUGCCUAGAUAAUUUGGCCAUUUCCUAAUUCAUAAGUCUACGUUAAUUUUGAUUUUGAGUUGACUGAUUUCUUUUCAAGGUCUGCUUCCUUAACGGAGUGACCAAUGUUUUUCAACUAAAUUUAUCAUAUGAUGCAGGAAGCAGGGCAGGAUAUGAAAUGAGAAGCUCAUUGGUGGAAGUAUUGCCAGUAGCAGAACCCAAUGAAAAUGAAACUAUUUCAAGGCAGCAGUUGGCAGUUGCAAGUGAAUGGAGGCCCUUGACAAAAUUCUCAAGCGGUUGCAAUGCAAUUACGAUCAUCCUCAGCCUCAGGUAAUUUCUUCUCCUGCUUUGUAUUUAUUUGUUAUCUAAUUAGGAAGCGUAAAGUAUCUUGAAUCAUUUUCUGUAUCUGGAAUAUAUGCAAGAGUUUCUAAAAUUUUGAUAUGAGUGUAAUGAUGGUAAUUUCUGUUUUCUGUCUGUCAUCAAAUGUUAGAAAACUUUCAUUGAGACCCUUGAACCGAGUCAUUUUUGACAAGUGAAGGACAAUUGCUGAAGAGUGGGAAUGGUGCUAGAUUGGGGAAUAAAGACAAAGGAGGUAAAUUAUUUGCAGUUUAUUCAGCAUUAUUUGCUUUGGACCAGCGCCUGAUUCACAAGUCUCCAUAAUUUGGCUUUUGACCAGUUAAUAAAUUUUUAAUUCCAUUGGUGCUAAAUGUACACGUGAAGCAGGCAGAGCAGGACUGUGGAAAUGAGAAGGUUUUUAGUGAAAGCUUAAACUCAGGUAAUUCUAAAAAGUACAUGUUUUUGCUGAUUUAUCUAAAUCAGGAAAUUUUAUUUCCAUCUGUUACAAGAUAAAACAGAAACAGUCAAACAGAACACACAGAAAAAUAUUCUACUUCUUGUGGCAAUCUUGCCUUCAUUCAGACAAUGAAACCAUUUCCUUUCACCAAUUUCUUCCAAAAGUUUGAAUAAGUUUCAUGGUUGGACAUAGUUAGCUUCUUUUUCUUUUGGUGCAUUUAGGUCCUAUCAAGUGACAGCCAUAAGUAUGAUUGCAUUAUUGGAAAAUUUUAGGUUUGGAUGGUUCCCCAUGUUAUUGCCAAGAAAGUCCUCAUGUCAGAAGCUGCGGUUCUUUUCAUCAGCCUGAACCCGAACCUGUCGUUAUGGAUAACUCAGGUUUUUGUCGUCAACUAUAUCAUCUUUUUUACUGUUUUGAAACUCUUAAGAUUAAACUUCAGUAAAGUUGUUUCAGUUAUCCAUGUAAUCCGGCUAAGGAUAUUUAGCAGCUUAUUUAGGCAACUGCCAGAAUUCAGUUUGUUUGCUCGAAACUUGUAUGGUGACAAGGAUACUGGCAAGGAUAGUGAGAUAGUUUUUUGUGUGAGUGAAAUUUGAAAGCUUGGGUGUUCUGGGAUUUGCAAUUGCAAUCAUCCUCUGAGUCAGGUGAUUUCUUCUCCUGCUCUGUCUUGAUUUUCUCUCUAAUUGAAAGCAUAAAGUAUUUCAAUCAAAUUCUGUACCAGGAAUACGUAAAAGUUACUAAUAUUUUAUUUCCAUCUGUUUGCAUUGAUAACUCGGCCGCAUAUGUUCUAGUUAAAGAACAAACAGAAACAGAGUUCAGGAAAAAGUUUCUUCGGCCACCAUAUUUGAAAAUGAAACCAUUUCCAGGAAGCAGUUGGCAGCAAAUUCAUAUGGAGUGUAGACAAUGAUGAGCGAAAAGGUGAUUCGCAAUUUCUUUUUUUUUUUUAAGUGAAAUUAUUUGUUAGAUUGAAGCUGAUAUUGUAAGAAGGCCAUUGAGCUAACCUAUGUCGCCACUUGCCUAGAUUGCAGGGGGUCAAGACUCAAAAGAAGCACUGAAAUUUAAAAAGCAUGCAAUAGUUCUUUUGCCAUGUGUCAAUUAAUGCAAGUUUGAAUAAGUUUAUUGGCUGAACGAUGUUAGCUUCUUUUCCUUUCGUGCACUUUGGUAUGCUAUCAAGUGACAGCCGUAUGUAUGGCUUGCAUAUAGCUGCUGCUGGGAAAAUUGACGAUUUCAUGGCUGGCCGUGUUAUUGUCUUAAAUUAGUUGUGAUAAGCUGUUGCUUGGAGAUUCUGUUGCCAAGACUUUGCUCACAUCAGAAGCUGUGGAAUCUGAACCCUUCGUUAUGUAUCAUCUUUUUCAUUGUUUUAAAACUCUCAGGAUUAAACUUGAGCGAAUUUGUUCGGUUGUCUAUAUAAUCAUGUAUUGAGUAAACUCUCAGGAAACUGAACAUGCAAAUGUUAUAACUCGGGUUGUUAGCCAAAAACUUGUUGAAUAGGGAUUUGGAUUUGUUAGGAAGUUAUCAUUUUUUAUUUUUUAUUUUGUUUUAUUUUUUUAUUUUUUUAUUUUUAUCUUCUGGUGGUGCUAUAUUUUCAAACGACAGUCCGAUUCAAAACUUGAUAUUCCAAUUAUAUUCAUAAGCUUCUAUAGUUAUCUUCAAAAAGACAAAUGGAAGGCUUUGAACGGCUUGGGUCUGAGUAUUGUAGUUUGAUUUAUUUUGAUGAAAGAACCUUUUGACAUUAAGAUUCUUUCAUGAGUUAAACAUUCUUUUUAAAACCAACUUAUUAAAAAAAAGUAACGAACAUAUAUUAUUUUGUUAGUGCUUUUUAAAUCAAAUAUAAAAAAGAGAACUGUAAUUCUUAGCAACCAAUUUUUCACUGAGUACAGCUACAACAAACUAUUAAAAAAUAAAGUGAUAGAAAAUGCCUGAUUUUUCGUACUUUCUAAUUACUUUUGGUCCUAAAAUAUGGCGAUUUGUGUAAUAAUAAGUCCAUGUAUAUCUUUAUGCCAUUAGUUUGAUAAAUAGCUAUCAAGGAUAACUUAUUAAGCUAAAAAUAUUUGAAGGAUAAAAUGAUAAAACUAAAAGGGUGGAGUAAUAUAGUUAUUUAGGAUUACAUAGUAAGUCAACUAUAUUCAAGGGAUAAAAUAUUAAAACUUGAAUAGUGAUAUUAAAAAUAUCUCGGUUAUUAUACUAUUAAAUCAUAUGCCGUAAUAGUAUUUUUUUUCAAACUUUAAAAAAUUCAGGAUUUUAAAUUAAAACAUGGAUUUCUUUAAGAUGCUAUAUAUGUUUUUUAUAGUAUUGAUAUUGGGAUUAGUGUGGACCCUUAGAUGAAAGAGUUUUAAUCUGAAUCAUUCAUUUAAUAUAAUAGAUAAUUAAAUAAUUAAUUAAAAUAUAGCAGGUAACUUAUAGGUUGUAGGUAAAAAAUUAAUUUUUUAAUUUUAAAUUAAAAUUAAUUUGGAAAAAUACCAUCCACACCCCUAAAGUUUACUUAAAUGAUCAUAUAAAUCCCUUUAGUUUCUACAUAGUUAUACAGAGCCUCUUAAUUUCAUAAAUUAUUAUUAUACUUUUAAUUAAAACAACCUAAAUGAAUAUAAAUAUAGUAAUAGGAUAGAAAUAAUAAAUAAAUAUCAGAUGAAACAAAUAAAAUAUUACAAUAAAUACAAUUAAUUAAAUAAUAUGUAUGAUGAAAAUUUUAUUCAUAUUAAGUUAUUAUUAGUCUAUCCCGAUGGAUUUACUCAAAUCAAUUAAUCCAAAAUUUAAUUUUAAGAUUGAUAUUAAUAUGGACAUAAUUAAAUAAGAUGUUGUAAUAUAUACUACUUUGAAUGUUAAGUAUAAUUAUCUAAUAUUAUUAGUAUGUGAAAUAGAUUUUAAUAUUAUUAAAAGAAUAUGACAAUAUAUAAUUUUGAAAUAAAUUUUUUAGUAUUCAUAAUAUUUUAUAAAUUUUAUCUUAUUUUAUAUAUUAUAUUUUUUUAUUUUAAUGUAUUAUAUAUGAUCAUUUAAGCAAAUUUUGGAGGUGCGGUGGUCUUUUCCCUAUUAAUUUUAUAGCAUAUUUAAAGUGUUAUAUCAUACAUCAUACAUCGCACUUUUGUUAAAGUGUUAUGUUAUUAAAAAUUAAACUUUGCAUUUAUAAUAUACUACCAUUUUAAUGUAAAGGUAAUAGAAAAUAUGAAGAUAUUUUUAAGUAGUCAAUUGUAGUUUUCUUUUACAAAAUAGCAGUAUAGAAAUACACACACACACACACACACAUAUCAAGUACUUGUAUGUUCCCCUAACUUUUAUUAAUAGGAAGGAAAUUAAAUUCAUAAUUUUCCCGGUGAAUUAUGAAUUGAUAAAUGAAAUAUAAAUAUUAGAAAAAAUUAAUUUGUCGACUAAAGAAGUAAACCAUAUUUUAUGGGCAUUUAAUACAUUAAUUUAAGGUCAAAUGAGAUAUAUCACAUGAUAUUUGAUAUAGUAGUCCAAUUUUCAACAUUUGCAUAUAGUUUCUAAGCUAGUAAUCUAAUAAAAUAUACCAAAUGAGAAAUUGAAGGCUAUUAUUUAUAUUUCACCAUUGGACAAACACCAUACAUUAGAAUAAAAAAAUCUCACAGUAGAGACGGCAUCUGUUUGCAUGUUUUGAAAAUAGAUUUUGAAAUUAGUUUAAUUACAUGAUAAUUAAAUUAUAUUAUAAAAUUAAGAAUAUGAUUUAAGUACUAUUUUAGCAAUUUUGAGUCUCACAUUGAGUAUUGAAGUUAAUUAAAUGUUGAAACUCUUUUCUAUUUGGCUUGAAAUCACUACUUAAUAAAAUUACAAAAAGUCAAUAAUGAAUGAUGUAGGACACAUAUGUAAAAUAAAUUUUAAAGUGUAAUUAAACAUUCCUAUCAAUAUUAGUUUUGUAUACAUAUUCAUAUAUUUUACUGAAACCAUAUAUAAUUAAAUUUUGUGUAAUUAAGUAAAAUAUAUUAUUCAAGUGAAUUUAUGAGAAUAUGUAAAAUUGUAGGGGUGGUCACUGAAAUUUGCCAAACUUGAGCCAACCGUGCAUGAUCCAAACAGUUUAUUUUAAUAAUUCUCAAUAUGUUAGUCUGUUUGACUGUUGGCAAAAUGAAUUCCUAUCAGCAAUGCAACACAAUUCAAAAUCAUAUCUGCAUACAACGAACAAUAUCUCAUCAAAGAUCAAAUUAUACAUUUUUUACACCAAAGCAUAAAUAUCUAAAUUGUCCCUCUUCAACUCACCAAGCUCAUACCUAACAACAGCAAGAUUAAAUGUCAUUUGAUCCAUCUUUUUUAUUAAGCUUUAUCAAUUCUUCUCAUGGUUGCAAUUUUGAAAGCUCGCUUCGCUAUUUCCAUUUGCUUUUAUGCUUUGUUUGAGCUCCAUCUACAUUUUACACUGUAAAAAAAAUUUAAAAAAAAUUACAAAGCUUCUUAUACUAGAAUAUGAGCAACAAUAUAAAUAAUAAACAAUAAAGUUAUGAUAGCACAGCAUACUCAUUAAAGUGCUUCUUUUUUUUUUUCAGCAAGAAAUUACUACUGAAUUAAAGAAUUGGCUUUGCAUUAAGGUUUGCCUUCAAUAACUCAACUCCCCACUUGGGUUUUGUCGUUUUCUUAAAAUCUCUGCUCAAUCAAUUUAAAGAUCCAUUUUUUUUUUCUUUCCAAAGAUCUAAAAGCAAUGUCUUUUAUUGGUACCCAACAAAAAUGCAAGGUCUGUGAGAAGACAGUUUGUCCAGUUGAACAGUUAUCUACUGAUGGGGUUGUUUAUCACAAGUCUUGCUUCAAGUGCUCUCACUGCAAAGGCACACUCAAGCUAAGCAAUUACUCAUCCCUGGAAGGUGCUCUUUACUGUAAGCCUCACUUUGAGCAGCUUUUGAAGGAGUCGAGUAACUUCAACAAGAAUUUCCAAUUACCUGCAAAGUCAGCUGAGAAGUUAACUCCUGAGCUGAGAAGGUCGCCUAGCAAAGUUGCCAGCAUGUUCUCUGGGCCCAAUAAAAAUGUGCUUCUUGCAGUAAAACAGUGUGUCCGUGGGAGAACGUAGCAGCGGAAAACCAAGCCUCUCACAAGACAUGUUUCAAGUGCUCACAUGGUGGUUAUUCCAUUAGCCCGUCAAAUUACGCAGCCCUAGAAGGCAUCUUGUAUUGCAAACAUAAUUUCUCCCAAUUGUUCAAGGAAAAAGGCAGCUACAACCACCUUAUAUAAAAUCUGCUUCCAUGAAGCGUGCUGCAGUCUCUGUUCAAGAAGCUUGAACAUGUUAUGUUAUCUUCCAUAAAUCUUAUUUGGCGUGGGUUUUCUCUGGCUUGAGGGUGUGCUUUCUAUUUUGAUCCCUCUUGUUGUUUUUGCGGGGAACUACCAAACCUUCGGUUCCCUCUGCUUCUUUGGAUCAUCUUUGUUGGGACAAAUUUCAUGUAAUUAGAGAUACUGAUUUAUGGGAGGCAUAAUCCCAUGGUCGUAAAUUGACCAUUUUCUGGCAAUGUUCUUUUUAAAAAGAGAUGAGCAGUUGUUUAACAAAAAAAAUAGCUGGCCUUCAUCAUGGUAUGUUACCAAACUGCUAUGUAUAGCUGCUAACUAUGAGCAUCCGAAAAUAUGGUGCAUCGUGAUUCAUGUAGUGCAAUAUGGCUACCAACGCAUCCUAAAUGGAGUAUUACUCAGUUAGUCAGCAAAAUAAGACAACAUAACUGAUAUUAAAAAAAUAAAAAAACUACAUUAAUAAGUGGGCAAGAUCAUGCCAGUUUAACUUUUCGCGCGUCGCUGCUGGAGAUAAUCAAAUCGGGGCAGAGAAAAGGAGAAUGGAAUCAGAGGCUAAGAUUAAUAAGUGGGCUUCUGCUUGCUUUGCCCCUCUUUCUUAAACGAUUGGUAGACUGCUGCUUCCACCGAUUAACCGGGUCUUCAACCACUGCUUUUACUGCCUGCCAUCUUGUUGUUUGUCGAAGGGAUGAAUUCGAGUCGAAAAGAGAAAGCGCGCUGAAAAAGAUAAAUCACUAGUGGUUAACUGCUUACUCAGCCAAGUGUUGGCUUCACUUGAUUCACCGAUUGAGGUUAUUUUGUCUUCUAUCUAAUGCAGCGAAGAAGCUUUGCUGCUUAACAUGCUGCAAUGCAACUUUAUCCUUUGAAGUUCACACUUCAGGGCUGCGCACUUUAUGUAAUCCUAUGAGUAAAAAGAAUUUGUUUUCAAAUGUGAAAAAAGAAAAUGUAAGGUAGUAACUAAAUAUUUUAUAGCAUCAAAGCAAUAUUUGAUAUGAAUUUAGUACAACAAAGAACAUCAAAUCUGUGAUUCCUUGUCUAGUGUCACCAUCGAGCAACAAAUUUAAAAGCCUACCUAUCAAAUACACGAGGCAAUAAACGGAGAAAAAGUUGAAUUACAAGAACAAGUUUACAAUUCUUGUCAAUGGUUAAUGAUUUGUGAACUGAGACAGCUUUCAAGAAUCCAAUUUCAAUACAACAACGUAAAAGAUAAACAGAUGAUGAAUUCUAUGAGAUAAAGAAGGAGAUCGUGUUUUAUCGUAUCUCUAUUUUCUUUCUUUUUAAAUUUAAAAUAAGCUUUUCAACCGGUUUGUUAACCGGUUAUAAUAUUUUUUAAAAUAAUUAAAUAUUUUCAUUAUUAAAAAUAAUGUGUACCGUUGAUUACAUCUAACGGUAUAUAUUUCUUACACUACUAAUAUCGUAAAAAAAAAAUACAGCAUCAUAGAGGGACCCUUAAAACAUUUUCAUUUGAAAUUAUUUGGUGAAGUGAAAAAGUUAAGAAAGAAAUAGUUGUCCCUUUGGUCAUUUCACAAAAAUGAAAGCCCCAUAUAACAUGGACUUGAAUGGAAGCCCAAUUGUUGUGUUUGAUUUCAAGCUUUAUCGGACCUUUGGACCUGGAUACUUUACUGCGGCCUCUAAGCGCUACAAAUUUUUUUUUUGGGAUAAAAGGCGCUUCAAUGAAAAAGCACUUUAAAACUUUGGAUUUUGCCAAAACUUCAAAGCGGUUGGUCCGGUUACGGUGUUAUGCUAACGGGUUUAAAGGUUCUGAUCCAAUGAGUUAGGGUGGAAUAUGAAUAUAUAAAUUCCAUAGCAUGUGAGGACUAGGAUUUGUUUGUUCAUAUCAAGAAAAAAGAUCUGAAAAUUUGAUGAUCAGAAGAUAAAAACACUUAAACACGUUUAUUACAGAGAAACAAACGACAACACGAUACUAGUAGUAGUUAUUCUUUUCAUCCGAUAUAUUACAUGGUAAUAUCACCACUCGUUCCACUGGUUUCAUAUACACCAUCGACCAGCAACAUGAUAAUUUUGUGUCAGUUCAUUUUGUUUGUAGGAAAGAGCAGUAUCUUUUUUAGAACUUGAAAAUAAUAAAAAGAUUUUAAAAUAUAAAUUGCAUAUUUGUUUAUUGCUGUUGUUUGGUCUAAUUUCUUACGUAGAAUUGCUUGUCAUUCUUUGUACGUUAUUGAUUAUAUUUUUGUCAGACUUGGCGUAUAUAUUCACAUAUGUUUUAUUUUGUCAUUUUGUAGAACAUUUUUACAUGCCAUAUUAUCACGACUCUUCUGUGUCUGAAUAAGAAGAAAGCAUAAUGCGACCCUCCAACAGCUUAAUCUAUGGAAUUAUCGUGUUUUGUAAGUUGAGGUCCAAUGGCGUUUUGGCACAUCAUAUGAUAGACCACUAUAUUGCGUUGCUUUACAAAAGAUUAAUAUUUUUAAAAUUAUUAGGUAAGUUUAGGCUCAGUGGCACUUUAACUCAUGAUAUGAUAGUCCAGGUUUUCAUCAGCCUGAACAUGGACCUGUCGCCAUGGAUAACUCAGGUUUUUUUUUUUUUAAUCAACUACGUCAUCUUUUCCACUGUUUUGAAACUCUUAAGAUUAAACUUUAGUAAAGUUAUUUUAGUUAUCCAUGUAAUCAAGCUGAGGAUACUUAGCUGCCUAUUUAGGCAAAUGUCAGAAUUUAGUUUGUUCGCUGGGAACUGGUGUGGUGACAGCGUCCUGGCAAAGGAUGAUGAGAUAGUUUUUUGAUUGAGUAAAUUUUGGGAGCUUGAGUGUAUUGGGAUUUGCAAUUACAAUCAUCCUCUGCCUCAGGUGAUUUCUUCUCCUGCCCUGUCGUUGUUUGUUCUCUAAUUCAAAAUUAUAAAAUUUUUCAAUCAAAUUUUAUGCCAGGAAUAUGCAAAAGUUUCUAAUAUUUUAUUUCCAUCUGUUUGCCUUGAUAACUUUGCGGCAUAUGUACUAGUUAAAUCCCUCAAAACGUAAACAAAACUCUGUUGGUAUUGAUUCCUAAGGUGGACCAUCCUACCAGUUUAACGAUGUUUCGGCCUAUAAGUUUAUGCACUGUCGCCUAUAAGACAGUGACUAAAAUUAUUGCCACUCGUUUACAAGAACUAUUACCUGAGCUGAUCGGGCCUCAUCAGACAAGUUUUGUUCCCGGACGACACAUUGUGGACAACAUUGUUAUUGCUCAGGAAGUGGUUCACUCCAUGCGCAGAAAAACUGGUAAAAGAGGGCUUAUGGCUAUUAAGGUGGAUCUCGAGAAGGCAUAUGAUCGGCUGAACUGGUCGUUUAUUUUUGAAACUCUUCAAUUGACAGGGCUCCCGAUUCAAUUAUCUCGGCUCAUCAUGGAAUGUGUUAAAUCAGCUAGCAUGAAUAUUUUGUGGAAUGGCGAGGUAACUGAGGAGUUUUUUCCGGGAAGAGGUAUUCGGCAGGGUGACCCUCUAUCUCCGUAUAUUUUUGUGCUCUGCAUCGAGCGUUUGAGCCAUGGAAUAUCCCAAGCUGUGGGGGAUGGAAGUUGGAAGCCAAUUCGGCUGGCUAAACAUGGCACUCCCCUUACCCACCUUUUUUUUGCUGAUGAUUUGCUUUUAUUUGCAGAAGCUUCGAUUGAUCAAGCUCAUAUCAUUGAUGCGGUUUUGGAGAAUUUUUGUCGAAGUUCUGAAGUAAAGGUUAACAAAGUGAAAACUACAAUUUUCUUUUCGAAGAACGUUGCUGCAAGAGAGGCCAAGCUCAUUGGUGCUGCCUUGGGGGUUUCGAUUACUCAUGAUCUGGGAAGCUAUCUUGGAAUGCCGUUACUUCAUUCGAGGGUGAAUAAAGCUACGUAUCAAUCUAUUUUAGACAAGGUAGACAUAAGGCUCAGUGGCUGGAACGCGGCUCAUUUAUCCUUUGCUGGUCGUGUUACUUUGGCGCAAUCGGUGAUUCAAGCUAUGCCAAUUUAUGCAAUGCAAACGACCAUGCUUCCUGCUUCGGUGCGCCAUAGAAUUGAUAAGAGCUGCCGUAGAUUUAUUUGGGAUGGGAAGUCGAAGAGUCCUAAGAUGUGCAUGGUGGGCUGGGAUAAAAUCUGCUUGCCGAAAUCAAGUGGUGGCUUGGGGUUUAAGAACUUAGAGGUGAUGAAUCAUGCCCUGUUGAUGAAGAUUAGUUGGGGCAUUAUCUCCAACUCAGAUAAGUUAUGGGUGCGGGUUCUCUGUUCCAAAUAUGGAUUGGACCCAUGCAAUUUGCCGUCUUCCCUCCCUGACAAACAAGGUUCGCGUAUCUGGUCUGCUAUAAGAAAAACGUGGAAUGCAACCAUGCAUGGAGCUCGCUGGGCAGUGUGUGAUAGUGCUCGAAUUCGUUUCUGGCUGGACUGUUGGGUGACGAAAUAUGAGCCUUUGAUUCACCUAGCUCUCCAACCGAUCCCUCAGGCCUCUCUCAAUGCUACGGUUAGCGAAUUUACUAAUGAUUAUGGUGGCUGGAGAUGGGCGAGCUUUGAAUUCCUACUGCCCCCUUCUGUUCUUAUGCAGAUUGCCUCGAUCAUGCCACCUGCGCCGCAUCUUGGUCCUGAUAGACUAUAUUGGAGUUAUAAUCCAAGAGGGUUGUUCACAGUCCGAACUGCUUAUGAGUCUCUUUGCUACCAUAACUUAGACACUCAAGAUAAAGUAUGGAAAUUGCCAUGGUCUUGGAAAGGGCCCCAAUCUAUAAAGCUCUUUAUUUGGCAGACUUUGCAUGGCAAAUUGAAGACCCACAGUGAGCUUAAUAGGCGUAAUAUCCCCGUUUCUGAAGUUUGUGUUAGGUGUGGGGUUUCGGCUGAGGGCAUUCUUCAUGCUGUGAGAGAUUGUAGUUGCAUUAAGAAUCUAUGGCUUAGUCUUGUUCCAACCUGUCAUCAACUUGCUUUCUUCCAAUCCAACUUACGUGCAUGGGUUGCUGCCAACAUGCAAAAUACGUGGAAAAUUGAUUCGGAGCUUCCUUGGGAUUGUAUUUUUGGAGUGGCUAUUUGGAGAUUAUGGUUUUGGCGUAAUCAAUUUAUUAUGGCUGGGAAUUUGGUAGAUAGCAAGACAAUAUAUUCGGAUAUUAUGGCCAGAGCUAGUGAGAUCCAUAGAAUUAAUAACUCACAUCUCAGCCCACAACCAAGGCGUAAGGAGAUUUUUAUUGGUUGGUUGCCUCCUCCAUGGCCAUGGUGUAAGUUGAACACAGAUGGUUUCUGUAAACAUACAGGAGCAACUGCAGCGGGUGGGGUUAUUCGCGACUCCGUUGGUAACUGGGUCUCAGGCUUUAGUAUGAAUAUUGGGGAAAGCUCAGUGAUUAUGGCUGAACUUUGGGGCCUGUAUCAAGGAUUGUCCCUCGCCUGGAAUGUUGGAAUUAGACAUCUUUUGGUGGAAGUAGACAGCCUCUGUGUAACUCAGAUGAUUUCUCAACAGAUGGUUGUGCCUAAUGUCUCCUACGCUUUAGUGGUGGCAAUUCGUGAUUUUUUAAACAGAAAUUGGCAGAUUAAUAUCUCGCAUAUCUACCGUGAAGCGAACUCAGCUGCGGAUUUCAUGGCAAAUAUGGCCCAUUUAAUACCGCAUGGUCUACAGUUAUUCUCUAACCCGCCUGUGGGUAUUUAUUCUAUUCUUUCACAAGACAUGUAUGGGGUUUGUCAACCCCGCAUUAUUCCUAUCUAGCUCGCCUUGAUGAGCCCCUUUUAAUAAAAAAAAAAAGAAGAACAAAUCGAAACAGAGCUCAGUUAAAAGUUUCUUCUGCCGUCAUAUUUGAAAAAUGAAACCAUUUCCAGGAAGCAAUGGGCAGCAAAUUCAUAUAAAGCGUAGACAAUGAUGAGUAAAAAGGUAAUUCACAAUUUCACUUUUUUUUUAAUGAAAUUAAUUGUUUGGUUGGAGAGGAUAUUGUUAGAAGGCCAUUGAGCUAACCUAUGUCACUACUUGCCUAGAUUGCAGGGGGUCAAAACUCAAAAGAGGCAUUGAUUUUAAAAGGCAUCCAAUAAUUCUUGUGGCCAUAUAUCAAUUCAUGUAAGUUUGAUUGUAAUUAUUGGUGAAGGGGUUUCACUUCCCGUCUCUAAAUAAAAAUACUGAUUCUUUAAGGUACAUGCCACUAGGGAUUGCGAGAUUAACGAGUCUUUGGACAUUGGAAGAGCUCCUUGUGAGUGGAGGAGGAGGUGUUGAUGGUAGCAAAGCAUGUGGGCAGUGGGCUUGAAUCUCUUAAAAACUCGGAACUCCUCCAAGCGUAAGUAUACGUAUACUGGGAAAUGUGUUAGAUGUGGAUGAGGCUAAGAGAUUAGAGCUUGACAAAAUGAAAUACCUCUUUCAUUGAGACUUAAAUUUGAUGGGGAAGAAGAAAAAGAAGAGGGAAGGAGGAAGAAUGAGGAUAAUCAACUUGUUCUUGAAGCCUUGCAACCACCUCUGAAUUUGAAGGAAUUAGAGAUUUGGUCAUACAGAGGCAACAUUUGUUUUCAAAUGUGAAAAAAGAAAAUGUAAGGUAGUAAUUAAAUAUAUUAUAGCAUCAAAGCAAGAUUUGAUAUGAAUUUAAUACAACAAAGAACAUCAAAUCUGUGAUUCCUUGUCUAAUGUCACCAUCGAGCAACAAAUUUAAAAGCCUACCUAUCAAAUACACGAGGCAAUAAACGGAGAAAAAGUUGAAUUACAAGAACAAGUUUACAAUUCUUGUCAAUGGUUAAUGAUUCGUGAACUCGGACAGCAUUCAAGAGUCUAAUUUCAAUACAACAACGUAAAAGAUAAACAGAUGAUGAAUUUUAUGAGAUAAAGAAGGAGAUCGUGUUUUAUCGUAUCUCUAUUUUCUUUCUUUUUAAAUUUAAAAUAAGCUUUUCAACCGGUUUGUUAACCGGUUAUAAUAUUUUUUAAAAUAAUUAAAUAUUUUCAUUAUUAAAAAUAAUGUGUACCGUUGAUUACAUCUAACGGUAUAUAUUUCUUACACUACUAAUACCGUAAAAAAAAAAUACGGCAUCAUAGAGGGACCUUAAAACAUUUUCAUUUGAAAUUAUUUGGUGAAGUGAAAAAGUUAAGAAAGAAAUAGUUGUCCCUUUGGUCAUUUCACGAAAAUGAAAGCCCCAUAUAACAUGGACUUGAAUGGAAGCCCAAUUGUUGUGUUUGAUUUCAAGCUUUAUCGGACCUUUGGACCUGGAUACUUUACUGCGGCCUCUAAGCGCUAUAAAUUUUUUUUUGGGAUAAAAGGCGCUUCAAUGAAAAAGCACUUUAAAACUUUGGAUUUUGCCAAAACUUCAAAGCGGUUGGUCCAGUUACGGUGUUAUGCUAACGGUUUUAAAGGUUCGGAUCCAAUGAGUUAGGGUGGAAUAUGAAUAUAUAAAUUCCAUAGCAUGUAAGGACUAGGAUUUGUUUGUUCAUAUCAAGAAAAAAGAUCUGAAAAUUUGAUGAUCAGAAGAUAAAAACACUUAAACACGUUUAUUACUGAGAAACAAACGACAACACGAUACUAGUAGUAGUUAUUCUUUUCAUCCGAUAUAUUACAUGGUAAUAUCACUACUCGUUCCACUGGUUUCAUAUACACCAUCGACCAGCAACAUGAUAAUUUUGUGUCAGUUCAUUUUGUUUGUAGGAAAGAGCAGUGUAUUUCUUAGAGCUUGAAAAUAAUAAAAAGAUUUUAAAAUAUAAAUUGCAUAUUUGUUUAUUACUGUUGUUUGGUCUAAUUUCUUAUGUAGAAUUUUCAGAAUCUGUAGGACGUUAAUUUAUAACUUUGGUAAUUUAAUUAUUUUCUUUUUAUUAAUGUCCGGACAAAAAAUUAUUAUAAAAGGGUAAUAUUGUAAAAGUAAGCCAAAAUAAAUAACAAAUAACGAUAAGAGUAUCAAUAUUUUAAUAGCAGGGAUAUUUCGAGAUAUUUUUAAAAAUACAGAGACUAACUGGACAUUAAUCUUAAAAUAUAAGGACUAAAUGAGCUUUUACCCUUUUUAUAAUCCACACCAUCCUGAUAUAAUUAAACACCAUUAAUAAUGUACCAGCCUUUUAAUAGUAAUUAAUUUAUUUAGUUGGCCACCUAAAAGAAUCCUGCAGGAAAUACUAGUUAAAAAAUUUAUUAAAUUUGAUUACCUCUGUAUCAUUAUAUAUAUAAAGACUGAAAUCCAAAUGAAAUAUUUUAUCAUUCAUUCAGCAAACACUUAUAAAACACAAAUAGUGAAUCUAUGCAUUGACAAUGUGGAUUAAGAAUUAUAACACAUGAAUUCAAACAUACCCUCGUGAAGUUAAGAAUAAGUUCAUACUUCAAAUGAUUUUUUUAGCUAAUAAAGCAAUCACUUUCAUUAAACGACAGUGUUGAAGGAAUUGUGCAAUUUUUUACGUUCUUUUCUAGACAGACGUUACAGAGAUGGGGAAAGUAGAGGACUGGCCUCAGAUAUCUCACAAUUAUUAUUCUUUUUCAUUGUUAUAAUAAUAAUUUUUUUCUUUUGACAGUUCUGCAGGACAAGUGAUCAGAGCUCAAUGAAUAUAUCCGUGGAGGGUGAACUUAGGUUGAUGUCAAAAGAGGUAAAUGAAUUGGCCUGUUUAUAUAUAUAUAUAUAUAUAUAUAUAUAUAUAUAUAUAUAUAUAUAUAUAUAUAUAUAUAUAUAUAUAUAUAUAUAUCAUAUAUAUAUAUAUAGAGAGAAAUGUUCCAGUCAGGAAUUUUAAAGUGCAGGAAAGUACGGGAAACCUUUAAAACCGCAUGGUUUUAAAGGCUUAAAACUGUAAGCCUUUAAAGCNNNNNNNNNNNNNNNNNNNNNNNNNNNNNNNNNNNNNNNNNNNNNNNNNNNNNNNNNNNNNNNNNNNNNNNNNNNNNNNNNNNNNNNNNNNNNNNNNNNNAGAAUUUCUCUGUUAAUAUAUAUAUAUAUAUAUAUAUAUAUAUAUAUAUAUAUCAUAUGAUGCAGGCCACAGCAGAGCAGGAUUAUGAAAAAGAGAAGCUUAUUAAUAAGUGUUUACUUGCUUUUGAAAUAUAUAUAUAUAUAUAUAUAUAUAUUUCAAAUUCAAGUUUACUUGCUUUUAUAUAAUAAGUGUUUUGGCCGAUUUAUCUAAUUCACCAAAUGUCAUUUCCGGUACAUAUCUCCAUUGGUAUCAAGAAGAGGCAGAACCCAAAGAAACGUUUCUUGCAUCUUCAUAUUUAUGCGAAUUCAUCCUUUCAUUGAGAAUAACCAUUUCCAGCCGGCAGUUGGCAAUCAAUACGCACGUCGAUGCUAUUCAUAGAUAUUAAAGACAAUGAUGAACCAAAGGUGAUAAAUCAUAAAUGUAUAAUUACCAAACAUCCAUCCUUCUCUCAUUAUGAUUUGAUUUUAAAUGAAUUAUUGCUUGGUAACAUUAUUUCCAACCAUUGCAAGAUUAUUAUUAUUAUUUUUUUUUGGGAGAAAUUUCAAUUGAAAGUGAAACCUUUAGACAUUUACCUAAUGAAGUUAGUUACUCGGGAGGGUGGAAAAAAAAAAGUUGACGCAAGUCAAUACACAAUAAUUAAUUAAAUCCGGAGUGACUAAAACAGAGCCACUACUUUUUCAAAAAUAUCUGCAUUCAUCACUUUCUCCAGCAGCUAGUCAGCUACACACGAAUCAAUUUCUCUCCUCGUUUGUCAUCCAAAAUUAUUCACCAAUACCAUGGUUGAUGCCGUCGUUUCCACUAUCUUGGAGCAGCUGAUUUCCUUCGCUGCUGAAGAGAUAAAACAACAGGUGAUCGAAGUUACACCCCUCAUAUUACAAAUACUUCCAAUGAUUUUAAUAAAUUUUGUUUUUAUCAAAAACAUUAUAUAUUUUUGCUUUAUUUUAUUUAUCUGGUAAUUUUAGAUUUUGAAAUUUGAAUUGAAUUUAAUUAAAAGGUGAUGUAGUUAGUAACCACUUAUUUUUAUUUUAUUUCAUUUAUAUUCUCAAUAACUACUCAUAUUUUGGUAACUUACUAUAACUUUCAUAUCUAAGAAAUGAUCAAAACCCACAAUUUUAACUCAGCACGAAUAUUCAACGUUGAGUCAUUAAUUCUAAACUCAGCACUGAAUCCCAUAGCUAUUACUUAGACUCUAUGAAAAAUUUCAUAGUUUUCUUACGUUCUUUGAGUUUGGUAAGUGAUUUCGUAUAAUUUCUUUUCAAGUUAAAUUUUAAUUUGGUUUAUGAUAUAGUCUCUGUGCCGAAUUGUAUCUUUUAUGAUUCUUGGAUUUUGGGCUUCAACUUUUUAGGAUUUGAUAGUCAUAUAUUUAUGCCAUGCUCAGAUUGAUUUUCAUGAUUUUUAGUAGCCGUUAAGUGACUUACAAUUUGACGAAAGUUUGAAAGGAAAAAUGUUUCAGGAUUCUGUUUUAAUUUACCUUUUAGUAGAAAUAGGAUGCUUAUAACUUAAUGUGGAUGGUUCGUAAAAUCAUGAAAUUUGGAUAGGAUUCACUAGAAAUAUGUACAAGACUCUCCAUAAAGUUUCAUAAUUUUUCAUUCGGUAUGGGGUGGUACAGGUGAAACUUGUGGUUGGUGUUGAAAAAGAAGUGAAAAGCCUUACCAGCCACCUUGAAGCCAUUCAAGUUGUGCUCGAUGAUGCAGAGGAAAAGCAAGUGAAGGACAAAGCUGUUAGUCUUUGGCUGGGUAGGCUCAAGUACGCAUCCUACGACAUUGAAGAUGUGUUGGAUGAGUGGAUCACAGCAAGACGCAAAUUGCAAAUUGAGGGUGGCGUUGAUGAAAAUGCUCUUGUUGUUCCUCAUAAGAAAAAGAAGGUAUGUCUCUGCUUUCCCGGCUCUUGUUUUGGAUUCAAACAAGAAGAAUUUGGUUUCAAACAAGUCUUUCUCCGUCAUGACAUUGCCGACAAGAUCAAAGAAAUCAAUGAAGAGCUACAUGAUAUUGCCGCUCAAAAAGACAUGUUUGAUCUUGUUAAGAGUGGCAAUAAAAGUAGUGAAAGACCAAGGCGUGUACAGAGUACCUCCUUGAUUGAUGAGGAAGAGAUUUGUGGUAGAGUUGGUGAGAGGAAUGAACUCAUAAGCAAGCUGUUGCGUGAGAGUAGCGAGCAACAAAAAGGCCUCCAUAUCAUCUCAAUUGUUGGUAUGGGAGGCAUAGGGAAAACUACUCUUACACAACUAGCUUGUAAUCAUGAUGAGGUGAAGAGAAAGUUCGACAAAAUUCUGUGGGUGUGUGUAUCAGAAACUUUUGAGGAGUUUAUGGUAGCCAAAGCGAUCGUUGAAGUUUUGGAUGGUCGUGAAUCUCAUUUAGCUGAAUUCCAUUCUCUUCUUCAACAUAUUUAUGAAUCAAUUGCAGGGAAGAGCUUUCUUCUUGUCUUAGAUGAUGUGUGGGAUGGAAAUUACUUGAAAUGGGAACCAUUCUACCGUUGUCUAAAGAAUGGUCUCCAUGGAAGUAAAAUUUUAGUUACCACACGUAGUGGGUCUGUUGCAUCCACGAUGGGAUCCACAGAUAUUAUCUCCGUCAAGGAGUUAGCUGAAGAGGAAUGUUGGUUGUUGUUUAAAAAGAUAGCAUUUUUUGAUCGGUCCAUCGAGGAACGUGAAAAAUUAGAACAAAUUGGGCAAAGAAUUGUAGGCAAGUGCAAAGGUUUACCUCUUGCAGCAAAGACAAUAGGGAGUCUCAUGCGUUCUAAACAAACUGAAGAAGAGUGGAAAAGAAUUUUAAAUAGUGAUUUAUGGAAAGUAGAAGAGAUUGAGAAAGAUGUUUUGUCCUCUUUAUUGUUGAGUUAUAAUGAUUUGCCAUCUAGAGUAAAAAGAUGUUUUUCAUAUUGUGCUGUCUUUCCAAAAGACUACGAUAUAAAAAAAGACGAACUAAUCACAUUAUGGAUGGCUCAAGGUUAUCUUAGUGCGGAACAAGAUGAAGAGAUGGAGACAGUAGGUGAAGAGUAUUUUGGCAUCUUAGCUUCUCGCUUGUUUUUUCAAGAGUUUAAGAAAAGUUAUGAUAAUCGUAUUAUAGAGUGCAAGAUGCAUGGUAUGGUACAUGAUUUUGCCCGAUUUGUAAGUCAAAAUGAAUGUUUUUCGAUGGCAAUUAAUGGUAGUGAAGAACCAAACGCCACAAACUCUCUUGAUGAGAAGGUCCGUCAUUUAAUGUUAAUCUUUAGUAAAGGGGCUUCAUUACCUGUUUCCACUCGUAGAGUUAAAAGAAUGCGUACCCUCGUAAUUAACGAUAGUAGAUCAUUAAAUGGCGAGAUCCUAGAAGAAUUAUUUAGGGAAUUGACAAGUUUAAGGGCAUUAGAUUAUGGCGGAUCGCCCCACUCAAGGCCGUUGUUGACUGCGGAGGUUCCAAGAAACAUAGAAAAGCUGGUACAUUUGAGAUACCUUAAUUUGUCUUUUCAGAAAAUAGUGAAACUACCGGAGACAUUGUGCGAGUUGUAUAAUCUAGAAAAGUUAGAUAUUAGUUGUUGUUUGUAUCUUAGAGAAUUACCUGAAGGGAUUGGGAAGUUAAUAAACAUGAAGCAUUUACGAAAUAGAGGUACUAGUUCUUUAAGGUACAUGCCAGUAGGGACUGGGAGAUUAACGGGUCUUAGGACCUUGGGUCAGUUCCAGGUGAGUGCAGGAGGAGGUGUUGAUGGUAGGAAAGCAUGUAGGCUUGAAUCUCUUAAAAAAUUGGAACACCUUCAAGUAUGUGGUAUACGUAGACUGGGUGAUGUAUCAGAUGUGGGCGAGGCUAAGCGAUUAGAACUUGACAAAAAGAAAUACCUCUUCAGUUUGACCCUUGAGUUUGAUAAGAAGGAAAGAGGAGGAGAAACGAGGAAGAACGAGGACGAUCAACUUCUUCUUGAAGCCCUGCGACCACCUCUGGAUUUAAAGGAAUUAGUGAUACGGUACUACCGAGGCAACACUGUUUUCCCCAGCUGGAUGACGUCAUUAAUCAACUUAAAGAGUUUAGAUCUCUCUUCCUGCGAAAAUUGCGAGCAGCUGCCUCCUUUGGGAAAAUUGCCGUCCCUUGAAAAACUCGGCCUAUCGGACAUGAAGAGUGUGAAAAGAGUGGGUGAUGAAUUUUUGGGGAUAGAAAGUGAUCAUCAUGGCUCAUCUUCAUCUUCAUCGGUUAUUAUUGCCUUCCCCAAAUUGAAAUCACUCUCAAUUGAGUUUCUGCGCGAAUUGGAGGAGUGGGAUUAUGGGAUUACAAGAACGGGAAACACCGUCAUCAACAUCAUGCCACGUCUUUCUUCAUUGACAAUUGUUGAUUGCACCAAAUUAAAGGCACUGCCCAACCACAUUCAUCAAACGACAACGUUGAAGGAAUUGUGCAUUGUGGAUUGUGAGCUUCUGGAAGAACGUUACCGCAAGGGGGAAGGAGAAGACUGGCCUAAGAUAUCACACAUUCCCAACAUAGAUAUUUUUUAAGAAGGAUUUGCGCAUUCGAGAUUUGGCGUUGACAAGUAAUUUCUUCUCUUACUCUGAUUUGCUUUGUUGUUGUUUUUAAUCUAAUUAAGAAGCGUAAAUAGCAUUUUGAAUCAAACUCUAUAUCCGAAAUCUGCAAUACAUACUUUCUAAUAUUCUGAUUUUCAUAUCCUACCAUUUUUAAUUUGUGAGAUGGGUAACGUUACUGUAAAAGAUUAUUAAUGGAACAUGAGUAAUUCUUUUGCAGGACAAGUGACCUACAUUUAGUUUGGCUUUGGAGUUGAAUAAUAACCUUUCAAGGCCAGGACCCAAAAGCAGGAAAAACAAAAAAAGGAACGAAGCUUAAUUUUGCCACAGAUUACAUGUAUUGCCAUUAUUGACAAGUUUCUGGACAAGUGAUCAAGGGUGAGAGUGGUGCUACAACAUUGAAUAAAGCAGUCGUGACUGAAUUUAGGUUGUGUCAAAAGUGGUAAAUUAUUUGCAUGUGUAGCUAAUUUGACCAUUUCCUGAUCUAUAAGUCUAUAUUAAUUUUGAUUUUUAGUUGAGUGAUUACAUUUCAAGGUUUGCUUACUUAACAGGGCGACCAAUUUCUUUUAACUAAAUGUAUUAUAUGAUGCAGGAAGCAAGGCAGGAUAUGAAAUAAGAAGCUUAUUAAUGGCAGUUGGCAGUGAAUGGAGGCCCUUGACUAAAUUCUCAAGCGGUUGCACUGCAAUUACGCUUAUCCGUAGCCUCAGGUAAUUUCUUCUUCUGCAUUUUUGUAAUUUGUUAUCUAAUUAAGGGGCGUGAGCUAUUUUGAAUCAAAUUCUAUAUCAGGAAUAUAUGCAACAUUUUUUAAAAUUUUGAUAUGAGAGUAAUGAUGGUAAUUUCUCUUUUUUGUCUGUCAUCGAAUGUUAAAUAACAUUCACUAAGACUCUUGAGAGUCAUUUUUUGACAAUUGCAGGACAAGCGACGAAGAGUGAGAAUGGUGUUAGAUUGGGGAUUGAGGCAAAAGGAGGUAAAUUAUUGGCAGAGAAUUUGGGAGCUUGAGUGUACAGGGAUUUGCAAUUACAAUCUUACUCUGCCUUAGGUGAUUUCUUCUCCUGCUUUGUCAUUGGUUGUUCUCUAGUUGAAAAGCAUAAAGUAUUUCAAUCAAAUUCUAUACCAAGAAUAUGCAAAACUUUAUUUCCAUCUGUUUGCAUUGAUAACUUUGCGGCAUAUGCGCUAGUUAAAGAACAAACAGAAACAGAGGUCAGGAACAAGUUUCCUCUGCCGUCAUAUUUGAAAAUGCAACCAUUUCCGGGAAGUAGUUGGCAGCAAAUUCAUAUAAAGUGUAGACAAUAAUGAGCAAAAAGGUGAUUCACAAUUUUAUUUUUUUUAAAUUAAUUGUUAGGUUGGAGUUGUUAAAAGGCCAUUGAGCUAACCUAUGUCAUUAGUUACCUAGAUUGCAGGGGGUCCCGAGACUCCAAAGAAGCAUUGAAUUUUAAAAGGCAUGCAAUAAUUCUUGUGGGCGUAUGAGUUUGAUUUAGAAUCAAACUCUAGAUCAGAAAUCUGCAAUGCAUAUUUUCUAAUAUUCUGAUUUUCAUAUCCUACUAUUUUUAAUUUGUGAGAUGGGUAACGUUACUGUAAAAGAUUAUUAAUGUAAUAUGAGUAAUUCUUUUGCAGGACAAGUGACCUACAUUUAGUUUGGCUUUGGAGUUGAAUAAUAACCUUUCGAGGUCAGGACAACAAAAAAAUGAAUCUUAAUUUGCCACAGAUUGCACUUAUUGCCAUUAUUGACAAAUUUCUUCACAAGGGAUCAAGGGCGAGGAUGUUGAUAGAAUAUUGAAUAAAGCUGCCGUGACUGAACUUACGUUGAUGUCAAAAGAGGUAAAUUAUUGGCAUGCCUGACUAUUUUGACCAUUACAUGAACAUGAGUUUACAUUAAUUUUGAUUUUGAGUUGAGUGACUUUUUAAGGUUUGCUUACUUAACCGGGUGAUGUGAUGCAGGAAGCAGGGCAGGAUAUGAAAUGAGAAGCGUAUUAGUGGAAGUAUUGCCAGUAACAGAACCCAAAAAAAAGUGGAACCAUUUUAAGGCAGCAGUUGGCAGUUGGGAGUGAAUGGAGGCCCUUGACAAAAUUCUCAAGCAGUUGCAAUGCAAUUACGAUCAUCCUCAGCCUCAGGUAAUUUCUUCUCCUGCUUUGUUGUUAUUUGUUACCUAAUUAAGAAGCAUAAAGUAUCUUGAAUCAUUUUCUGUAUCUGGAAUAUAUGCAACAGUCUCUAAAAUUUUGAUGACUGUAAUGAUUGUAGUUUCUGCUUUCUGUCCGACAUCGAAUGUAAGACGACUUUAUUAAGACUCUUGAACCGAGACAUUUUUGACAAUUGAAGGGCAAGUGCUGAAGAGUGGGAAUGGUGCUAGAUUGGGGAAUAAAGCAAAAGGAGGUAAAUUAUUGGUAGUUUCUGCAGCCUUGUUUUCUUUGAAUCAGCACCUGAUUCACAAGACUCCAUUAAUUUGGCUUUUGAUGAGCUGAGUGAUAAAUUUUCAAUUUCUUUGGUGCUAAAUGUAUGUGUGAAGCAGGUAGCAGGGCAUGACUGUGGAAAAGAGAAGAUUUUAGUGAAAGCUGAAACUCAGAUAAUUCUACAUUUAUCUAAUUCACGAAAUUUUAUUUCCAUCUGUUACAAGAUCAAACUGAAGCAGAACUCAAAGAAAGUAAUCUACUUCUUGCGGCAAUCUUGCCUUCGCUCAGAUUAUGAAACCAUUUCCAUGCACCAAAUUCAUCCAAAAGUUUGAAUAAGUUUCAUGGUUGGACACUGUUGGCUUCUUUUUCUUUUGGGGUGCAUUUUGGUGCUACCAAGUGACAGCUGCAAGUAUGAUUGCACUAACCUGCUGCUGGGAAAUUUGAGGUUUUGAUGGCUGCCCAUGUUAUUGUCAAGAAACUCCUCAUGUAAGAAGCUGUGGUUCUUUUCAUCAGCUUGAACCUGAAACUGUUGCUAUGGAUAACUCACGUUUUUAUUCUCAACUAUAUCAUCUUUUUUAGUGUUUUGAAACUCUUAAGAUUAAACUUUGGUAAAAUGUUUUCAGUUAUCCAUGUAAUCAGGCUGAGGAUAAUUUAGUAAAGUUGUUUCCGCUAUUCAAAUGAAAAACCCCAUUGAUUUUAACCAUGAUAAAGCUAAUGUUCCCAAUGAUUACUGCAGGUGAGACUUGUGAAGAGGGUGAGUGAGGCAACUGCUAAAAUUCCUGGCUGGGAUACAGUAACUAGAGGCUGAGAUCAGGUGGUGGAAUUUUUUGUUCCGUGGAUGAUACCAGAAUUGUCCAGAAAAGAUUUGUUGAUACUAAUUACAGAUGAUAGAAAGAGGUAUAGGUGGAGAAGAGAAAUCUGCGAGUCAAAUUAGGGAUAAUUGAUUCUGAUACUAGUUAUAUUGAAAAUAAUAAUAACAAUUGCAUGAAGAUAGUCAAUAUUCUUCUCUAGAUAUAUUGUAUGGACUUCCUUGCUGCCUUUAUCUAUGUGCAUGUUGACUAAAGCUAAUCUAGAAUCAAUAGAGAGGGAUAUUUAUCUAUUUUGUUUAACAUAAGAGUGCUGUAUAAUUUUUCACUAAAUACACCUACAACAAACUAUUAAUAAUAAAGUGAUAGAAGAAUGCCUAAAAUAUAGGUAUUAAUGUCAUAAUAAGCCCAUGUGGAUCUCAGUGCCGCAAGUUCGAUAAAUGGCUAUCAAGGAUUGCUUAUUAAGUCAAAAUAUUCAAAGGACAAAAUGGUAAAACUAUAAGGGUGGAGUAAUAUGGCUAUCUUGGGUUACAUAGUAAGUCAACUACAUUCAAAGUAUAAAAUAUUAGAACCUGAACGGCGGAGUAGUCGUCGUUAGAACCUGAACGGCGGAGUAAUCGUCGUUAGAAUCUGAAUGAUAUGUCUAAGACGUUGCAUGCAUCUAGAAAAUUGCAGAUGAUUAGACCUUGCCAUCUAUGCGUUGUAUGAGGUUAUAGCAACUAUCUAUCUGGUCACCGUUUUCAAGUCUCAAUUGGUAGUCCAAACUCCAAAGAAAAGAAUGAUUCUACAAUAGCAUUAAGUGUUAAUUGGACACAAAAAGAAAUGUUUUAACCACUUUAAGGAAAGUAAAUGUAAUUUUGUGUCCUAAAGAAAAGGUAAAUGUAUGCACUGUCAAUUAAUCUUUGGUCGACCAGCAACAUCAUAAUUUUGUGUAGGUUCAUUUUUGUUUCUUAGAGUUUGUAAAAAGAAUGGGAAGAUUUUAAAAUAUAAAUUUCAUAUCUGUUUAUUACUGUUGUUUGGUCUAAUUUCUUAUGUAGAAUUUUCAGAAUCUGUAGGACAUUAGUUUAUAAUUUUGAGAUUUUGCAGCCAUAAAUGUUUUUUUUUUCUUUUUUCUUUCUUUUUUUUUUUGUUGGCAUUUUAUUUUGCUCCUUUAUCUAUGUGCAUGUUGACUGGCUGCAGUGAGUGAAAAUUUACCCAUAUAUGCUGGCUAUUCUUGGACAAUAUUAGAGAAAAUAAUCAUAUUAUUUCGCUUGAUGUGAACUUCCAUAACUUAUCAAUUGAAUUGCUGUAAAAUAUUAAAUAGUUUUAUUUUUCUUUUAUCGUGUAACUUGGACCAAAAAAGGAAAUGAGUUUAACACGACCCUCAUUCUGCUUCUUGCUUUGGUUUCAAACAAGUCUUUCUCCUUUAUGACAUUUAUUGUAAUUUCAUUUGGAGACAUAUAUCUGUCGUUCAAAUAUAUUUCAUACGUAAGCUGUUAAUAAUUCUGCUUGCAGAAAGCCUACAAAGCAGCUGUGUGAUGUAAUAGAAGACCAUAGUCUCGUCAAUUUUUCAACAUUAGAUAUUCAGGUCAUCAGCUUCUCAUGAAUUCUUUCCUGAGUUUCUUUGAAUUAUUUGUGAUGUAAUAACUUGUGCAUUUGAGAAACUGUUCUCAUGAAUUCUUUCCUGAGUUUCUUUGAAUUAUUUGUGAAUAAGUUCCUAAUCGGCUGCUUCUCCUCAGGAUAAGGAAAGUGUUGCAAACUGGUGAAGCAGCUGAUAGAUAAAAGCAAUGGGUACAUCUUUGCUGGCAUGGAUCGAUGCCAGUGCGGUUGAAUUCAGCAAGACUGCCGUUCGUGAUGUUGUUGAUUGGGAUUACAUUAAGGAUGAUGACAACAUUGAUUAAAAUGGGACGUGAAGAUAUAUGGUGUGCAAAUUAACCCAACCCAACCAAACCCGUACAUUUUAUCAACCCAACCCAACCCAACCCGUAAAAAAUCACACGGAUUAGGUUGGUUUCACGGAUUGGGCGGGUUAAUUCUAAUUUCUUUAUAAGUUUACCAAAAUUAGAUCUGCUUACCUUUGUUCAUUCAGCAACAACACUUACAAUUCACAGCUAGAGAAUCUAUCCAUUGACAAUUGUGGAUUAAAAUUAUAACACCUGAAUUCAAACAUAUCCUUAUGAAGUUAUGAAUUUGUUCAUACUUCAAAUGAUUUUUUUUUUCCAAGCUAAUAAAGCAACGACUUUGAUCAAACGACGACGUUGAAGGAAUUACGUAUUUUCAAUGUCCUUUGCCAGACAGACGCUGGAGAGAGGGAAAGGAGAAGACUGGCCUAAUUAAGAUAUCUCACAAAGAUUAUUAUUGAGUUAAAAUGUUAUUGUAAAAGAUGUUUAAUACAAUAAUAGUACUUCUUUUGCAUUGUUAUAAUGAGGCUGGCGGGUUUCCUCAGAGGAUGGAUCUGGCUCGCUAGUAUGCAUUUGGGAAGCUGCUAAUUAUCGGCCAUAAAAAGUCAGGGGGUUGUGGCUCGUCCGUCGCCCAGAAAUUCCUAAACUCAUAUAUCAAACUUCAGAUGAACUUGGGCAUUAUGUAAAUAUGUAUUUUUGAGAAUUAAACUAGUGCGUUAGAAAAAUUUUGAGCCAUUGUAAUCAUUUUAUUUUGCUAAGAGAAAAUUUUACUCUGUGUUUCGCUUUGCCUUUUGUUUUUUCUGUGAUAAUAUGAUUCAUACGAAUGUGAUUACACACUAUCAUGCAUCUAUUUUCAUUUGCUUGUCAUGAAUGAUCAACAUGCUCGAAAUAUUUAUUUAGGUUGGAAAUAUUUAAAUCUAUUAAAAUACUAUACACACCCAUUUAAAAAUAAAAAUAUGAUUAUCAUAAUGAUCGCGAAGAUAACACGAUAUCAUACAUAAAAUAAAAUAUUUCGCAAAAAAGAAAAGAUACACUUGAAUACAUUGGUAUAAAAAAUAUUUUAGUGGAUUCAAGUAGCACUAAUGCCCCCUUAUCAAAAAAUAUAUAAAGAUAACUAAUCUGAUUGGGUAUACCGUGUGUGUGUGUAAUAUUUUUUGAUAUUAUUAUAUAAUAUUUUUUAAAAAGAAGAGAGUGGGCAAAGUCCAAAUCAAUUUUCUAAUCCCUAUCUCCUUUAGGAUUUCUAGUCAAAGAGGCUAAAUUGCACGAAAUUGUGCUAGCUUAUUUGAUUUUAAAAUUUUCCAAUGCACUGUAACACACUCUCAUGCUUGUACAUAGCUCGAAAAUCUCUAGAAUUUACCAGAGUAGUGUACCAUGUAGCUUGUACAUAGGUUUUUCUGGAACACUCCAAGCGUUACUAAGCAUAAGAGCUUUGAGAACUCUCUAGACAUAAAACAUUCAAGGGUAGGCCUACCCUAAAAAUAGGGCAUGAUGAUUGCCAUUUGAGCAUACAAGAAGUAAGAACAAAUCAAGUAUAUUUGUAAGCUCCCAAACUCUCUCGUACACACUCUUGUGAAUAAUAUGCUUUCUCUUUGACUACAUUACUCUCUCUUCUCUCUAGUUUUUUUCGUAAGUAUCAUAGCUUAGCUAGUCGAAAAGUUCAAGUAGGAAUGAUAAUUUUUCCUGACAGGAUGUGGGAUCCCAUCUCAUUUGGGACGGGAUUGGGACACAUUUUUAUCCCACAAAAAAAUAUAGGGACGGGAGUAGAAAUUUUUUUAUCCCACUUGUAUAUAUGGGACAGGACUGAGAUUAACAAAUUCAGUCUCGUCCCGUCCCGUCUCAUUACCAACUAGGGAUGGAAAUUUUUCCAAUUGGGAUGGGCUCUCGCAGAAUCCCAUUUAUUUUGGGAUGCAAUUGAGACAUAUUUUUAUCCCAAAAAAAUAUAUCGAGAGUGAGACUUUUUUUUAUCCCACUUGCAUAUUCGGGACGAGACUGAGAUUAGUAAAUCUCACCCUAUCCCAUCCCAUUGCCAACCCUAAGUUCAAGGCUUACUUUGCAAUUAUCUCAUAAAAGUUGUUUUAAGUACCACAGGAGUUUGUUGUGCAAAAUACUCAUCCCGUGACAUUAGCUAAAUAAAAUUAUUUGAAAGCCACUUACCCAAACUAUUAAACAAAUAUUAUUCUUUUAAUAUGUAAUCUUUUAAUAUAAAACUUUUGUCUUAAUUUUCUAUCUCCUACAAUAAAUUUUAUGAUUUUAAAAAUUGAAAAAAUUAGUAACUUUUAGAUAGAGCAUUCCUUACUGUGAAAAGAAAUAUGAAUGGUAAUAUAAAACUUACUUAUUAUAGUAUAAUGCUUUUAGUUUUUUGAAAUAUAGGUUCUUAUUUUUUUCAAGAUAAAGUUCAAAGAAAACAAGUUAAAUGUUGUGGAAAAUCUUACGCACAUACAAUAAAUUAUGACAGCUAAAUGCAAACCUGGCUGAAGUAUUAGUUGUUUUAUUACAGAGACAAAAGGACAAUAUCACUAUCCAAGUCAAAAGCAACUCAAUGUGAGUCUUAGGGCACUCGCAGUGAAUCCCAAGAUAAACUAAUUUCACUAGCAAGUUGGAUACCAAAGAGUAAGGCUUCAGCCUCAAUUAUAUUAACAUUAGCUGAGUAAACAUUAAAUACCACAAUCAAUCUCAGAAAUCAUAAUUAAACUAUCAUGAUUAAAAAUAAAGUUUUUUUUUUAGAUAUCCGUUUGUAGUAUCUCUUUAGAUGACAAGUAGGAGAUAAAGUAAAUAAAUAUUGGUUGCGUAAAUAAAAAUAAAUAAAUUUUUUAACUGAAAAAAAAAUUCCUAAAAACUAAAUAGUUCAAACUUUUUUUAACAUGAAAUAAAUAUUUGAUGCGUAAAUAAAAAAAAUUUAACUGAAAAAAAUUCCCAAGAACUAAAUAGAUCAAACUUUUUGUUUAACAUCAUGGGUUUUGUAUAUUCAAUUGAACCGAACAACUAAAUUAAAUCGAAAUUACCAUGUUCGGUUCAAAUGAAUAGACGAAAACCGAACAGUUUAUAUUUUUAUGAACUGAUGGUGCGUUUACUUCAUGAAAUGAAAAUAUGGUGGAAUGAGAAUGUGUUAAAAUGAAAAUGAGGAAUGAGAAUGAGAUUCUAAUGUUUAUUUAGUAAAAAUAAAGGGAAAUGAGAAUGUGCUGGAAUGUCAUUGAUGUGUUUAUUUGACAAAAUAAAUGACAAAAGUAUCAAUUCGGAUCCUGCUAAUGAUAGUUUGCCAUAUCCUUUGUCAUUGAACUUUCUUACAAAUGCUGUGGUUUGUUGUAGUAUAAUUAGUUCAAUCAGAAACUUCCUUGAUGUUAAUAUAGAUAUGAGUGUGCUGUGAAUAUUGAGGACUUCAUUAGACUAAGUGAUGUGAUGAUGGAGCAUUCACUUGGUCCCAAUGGAGGUUAGUCAGCCCAUUGUUGUUUACUCUUUCUUGCUUUAUCACGCAAUGAUAUUCCUUUGCUUCACAACAAAUUUCAUGAAAUUAACUUCAAUCGAGUGGCUAUGUUCAUACGCUAUUGAGAUUUUAUGGACAAUGAUUUGGUAGACUUUAUAUGCCGUCUUCUUUCUUUUUGCAGUGAUAUGUUUGUAUGCAAUGCACUUGUACUUGUUCUAUGGUUUCUAAAGUAGGCGUUUUUAUGAUAAACUAGGUCUUGGGUAUUGUAUGGACUAUCUAGAGAAGAAUAUUGACUGGUUGCAGUCGAAAUUGGAACCACUUUUGAAAGGUAAGAAGUGGCCAUUUUCCUUCAUUCUAAUGCCAAUAAUGCUGUCAUGAGACUCAUAAAAAUUGUUAAAACGUUAAUGUUUUUGGUAUUUUGCAGAUCAUUAUCUUCUGUUUGAUUUUCCUGGCCAAGUUGAAUUAUUUUUUCUUCAUUCCAAUGCCAAGAAUGUUAUAAUGAGACUCAUAAAGAAGUUAAAUCUCAGGGUAUUGUUACAUCUUACGUCUAUGAAGGGACUCAAAGAGUUGAGAUGAAUUCAUCAUUAUUAUUUUGAUGCCAGAAUUGUGCAAUUCUCAGUUGCUUCCUUUCACAUGCAGUUGACUGCAGUGCAUCUAGUUGAUGCGCAUCUUUGCAGUGACCCCGGGAAGUAUGUUAGUGCUUUGCUUCUCUCGUUGUCGACGAUGCUACAUCUGGAAUUUCCCCCAUGUCAAUGUCUUGUCUAAGAUCGGCCUGAUUGAGAAUUAUGGAAAGCUAGGUGUGGUUUUAAGUGUAGCUCUCCUACUUGUUUGUUUAGAUUGAGAUAUCAGAUAUUGUCACAAGCUCCUAUCUGCUACAUUUCCUCACCAAUCAAUUACUUUGGGUAUGUUGCAGCUUUUAAUCUCGAGUACUAUACGGAUGUGCAAGAUUUGUCAUUUUUACAGCAUGCUCUGGGUCAGGACCCUCGUUCUGCUAAGUAUAGGUUUGAAUUCUAGCUGAAUCAAUGAUGCAAAUUAUGUCCAUUGCUAUUUCUGACUGUCGUUUCUAUCAUUUUCAAUUGUUACCUCCCCUUGCCAUCUACUGCCAUACUGCAAUGCCCACACAAAUGUUAUGAAAUUUGUCAAUGGAAAUGACAUUCUAUUUGUCCAGAGACAGCUCUUAGAUGCAAGUGAACAAUUUUUGGCUUUGGCCGUAGUACAGCCUUAGAUUUCAACUUGCCAUAUCUUGUCUCGGAAGUCAAAAGAAAGCAUAUAUGUUAGCCAAAUUUUAUUUGAAUUUCUUGUGUAACAAUGAAUGGGGAAAAAAAACAGUUCCUCUUUUGUUUUGAUCAGACUCAAUGAAUAAGUGGUUAAAAUGUGCCUGUACUAGAAAUAUAGAUGUGUGGUUUCAUAAAAUUUUCUUGAUCUUAAGAAAGAGUUAUCUUGAAAAGAAGAUAACAUGGGGAAUUGAACAACUAUACAGUCAUAUUGAUGUCUGUCAACUUGGGUCAUAUGGUGUCGUUUGGAUGGAGAUGUUAGGUCCCAGAUGGUAAACUUGUUAUCGAAUUCCAGUCUACUUCAUUCAUGCUUUGAUGACAUAUGUGGUGCAGCUUCUUAUCUAAGACCUGCAUAUGUUACAGUCAACAUUCUGUUCUGUAUUUGGCUGCCAUUCUUUUCAAUGAAUUCAAACCACUUUCUGAAUACUUGGAAAUUCAUCCAGUGUUGUCAUUGAGAUGCCAAUAUGAAAAGAAGCCAUAAUUGCCCUUGAUAGUAUGCUUAUUGAUUGCCUCUUGCCUCACUCAACCUCAGGAAUCUGCUUGUAUGGUGUUCUUCUAAUUUCAAUUGGAGAUAAAUAAUAUCUGUUGUUCAAAUAUAUUUUAUUUACAAGCUGUUAAUAAAUCUGCUUGCAGAAAGCUUACAAAGGAGCUGUGUGAUGUAAUAGAAGUCUACAGUCUGGUCAAUUUUUCAACCUUAGAUAUUCAGGUCACCAGUUUCUCUUGAAUUCUUUCUUGAGUUUCUUUGAAUUAUUUGUGAAUAAGAUCUUAGUUGACUGCUUCUCUUCAGGAUAAGGAAAGUGUGGCAAAACUUGUGAAGCUGAUAGGUAAAAGCAAUGGGUACAUCUUUGCUGGCAUGGAUGCCAGUGCAGUUGAAUUCAGCAAGAUUGCCGUUCGCGAUGUUGAUUGGGAUUAUUUCGGAUAUCCUUCUUUUCACCUAUUUUCAAUCUUGUUAUUCUCAUAUUCAUAAAACUUUUUGGUUAUUUAAUUAUGGUUCAUCAUAUGCAUCUGCAUCUUCUAACUUGUUCGUUUGAGAAACUAAUUUUGCCGUUAGGUAGGCUUCGAGCUUGAUGAGUUGAUUCAUGCUUUUUCAUAAAUGUACCAAAAUCAUGGAAACUUCUUUUUCCCAGAUAUUGUAUCCACACUUUUCCCAUAUAAUUGGGUCAGACAAGUUUUGCUUAACAAAGAUAUCUACAGUAGCCGAAGUGCAGGAGAAGUACAUUAAGGAUGAUGACGAUGUUAACUAAAAUGAGACGUGAAGAUAUGUGGUGUGCAAACCGUAAGCCUGCCUCUUAAUUUUGUGCAUGUUUACUUGCUUGUGAUUCACGUUUGUUAAUCUAUUUUGCUCUCUUGCAGGAGUUAUAAAGUUUUCAAUCAAUCAAACAUUUAACUCAAGUCCUUAGCUCUUCACGGCUUGAAUGGGUCAGAUAGGACAAGCGCCGAAGAGGUGGUUUUAAUCAAACCCCUCCUAAUUAUGAUGUAUGGUCCGAAUCUCGGACUUUUUGUACAAUAUCAAGCGAUUUUUUUUUGGUUGAAUCGGCUAGUGUACGCAAAUGUCGAUUAUUGAUUUUUCUCCAGUAUUGUUUGUAAUUACAAGAAACGAAGUAAUGAAAUUUAUCACUGCGUUCAUAGUUAUGCUUAAGCUCAAAGAUUACCGUCAAGAUCAUUUUGGGCCCUCAAAGAAACAUGAUGUUGACACAUGUAAAAUUAUGAAGCUUGUGAUUAAAAUACUUUUCACAUAUAUAUGUUAAGUUCUAUUAAUAAUUAAAUAUAUGAAUAAAUAUGGUCAAUGAGGAGAGGAUAAAAUAAAAUGGUUUCAUUUUUUGAAUUACCCAUCCGCUUCAAACUUCUAAGAAGUAGAUAUACAAUCAGUGGAAUACUGAAUUGAGUACGAGCUGCGGAUAACUUAUAAAAUUGGGAUACAAGCUUCAAGGAAAGUGUAUUGCUAUUCAAAUGUAGAUUUCAAAUUAAGAAGAUAUGCCAACAAAUUAUUCUAAAUGAUGAAAUGAGCUAUCUUGAUCAAAAGGUCAAGAACCUACCUUACUUCUCUUAGAGAUAACUUGCAUCAACCGUUGUGGUAUUGAUACUUGUCUUCAGCUAGUAAAAGUGAAAGUUUCACAAUUGAAAUAAAGCUAAGGGAAGAUGCUAUGCUCCAUUUAUUAUUAUUAUUAUUAUUGACGUGGUCGAGAAGUAAAGCCGUGCAUAUGAUGAAGUAUAAAUAAGAAUGCAAUAGCCCGGAAUUCAUUUACACAAACACUUCAAUAUCCUUUCGAUCACUUUUGCAAACAUCAAUUUGUCUCCUCUUGUAUUCACCAUGGUUGAUGCCAUCGUUUCCCCUCUCGUGGAGCAGCUGACUUCCUUCGCUGCUAAAGAGAUAAUACAACAGGUGAUCGAAGUUACACCCCCCAUAGUAUAAAUACUUCUAAUGAUUUUAAUUGGUUUUGUUUUUAUCGAAAACAUUAACUUUGCUUUAUUUUACGCAUUUAGGCAUUUUAAAUUUUGAAAUUUGAAUUGAAUUUAAUUAAAAUGUGAUUUAGUUAGUAACCACUUUUUUUUUUCAUUUAUAUUCUCAAUAACUACCCAUAUUUUGGUAACUUACUGUAACCCCCGUAUCUAAGAAAUUAUCAAAACCCACAAUUUUAACUCCACAUAAAUAUUCCAUGUUGAGCUAAGUUCGAUGUUGAGGUAAGUUUUUUGCAUAACAUUCAAAUUUGUCAAAUAGUCAUUAAUUUAAUGUUUAGUAAAAACUCAUCUCUGAAAAAUUUCAUAAUUUUCUUACAUUAUUUGAGUCUGGUAAGUGACUUCAUAUAAUUUCUUUUCAAUUUAAAUUUUAAUUUGGUUUCUGAUAUAGUCUCUUUACUGAAUUUAUAUCUUUUAUGAUUCUUGGAUUUUGGGCUCCAACUUUUUAGGAUUUGAUAGUCACAUUUUAUGGCAUGCUUAGAUUGAUGUUCAUGAUUUUUAGUACUCGUUAAGUGACUGAGAAUUUGACAAAAGUUUGAAAGGAAAUCCGUUUCACGAUUCUUAUGUGGAAGGUUCGUAAAAUCAUGAAAUUUGGAUAGGAUUCAUUAGCAAUAUGUACAAGACUGUCCAUAAAGUUUCAUAAUUUUUCAUUCGGUCGGGGGUGGUACAGGUGAAACUUGUGGUUGGUGUUGAAGAAGAAGUGAAAAGCCUUACCAGCCACCUUCAAGCCAUUCAAGCUGUGCUCAAUGAUGCAGAGGAAAAGCAAGUGAAGGACAAAGCUGUUAGACAUUGGCUGGGUAGGCUCAAGUAUGCAUCCUACGACAUUGAAGAUGUGUUGGAUGAGUGGAUCACAGCUAGACACAAAUUGCAAAUUGAGGGUGGCGUUGAUGACAAUGCUCUUGCUGCUCCUCAAAAGAAAAAGAAGGUAUGUUUCUGCUUUCCUGCCUCUUGUUUUGGAUUCAAACAAGAAGAAUUUGGUUUCAGACAAGUCUUUCUACGUUAUGACAUUGCCAACAAGAUCAAAGAAAUGAAUGAAGAGCUACAUGCUAUUGCUACUCAAAAAGACAUGUUUAAUCUUGUUAAGAGUGGCAAUAAAAGUGGUGAAAGACCAAGGCGUGUACAGAGUACCUCCUUGAUUGAUGAGGAAGAGAUUUGUGGUAGAGUUGGUGAGAAGAAUGAACUCAUAAGCAAGCUGUUGCGUGAGAGUAGCGAGCAACAAAAAGGCCUCCAUAUCAUCUCAAUUGUUGGUAUGGGAGGCAUAGGGAAAACUACUCUUGCACAACAAGCUUGUAAUGAUGACGAGGUGAAGAGAAAGUUUGACAAAAUUAUGUGGGUGUGUGUAUCAGAAACUUUUGAGGAGUUUAGGGUUGCCAAAGCAAUGGUUGAAGCUUUGGAUGGUCGUGAAUCUCAUUUAGGUGAAUUCCAAUCUCUUCUUAAACAUAUUGAUGAAUCCAUUGCAGGGAGGAGCUUUCUUCUUGUCUUGGAUGACGUAUGGGAUGGAAAUUACGUGAGAUGGGAACCAUUCUAUCGUUGUCUAAAGAAUGGUCUCCAUGGAAGUAAAAUUAUAGUUACCACACGUAGUGGGUCCGUUGCAUCCAUGAUGGGAUCCAUAGAUAUUAUUCCCAUUAAGGAAUUAGCUGAAGAGGAAUGUUGGUUGUUGUUUAACAAGAUAGCAUUUUUUGGUAGGCCUAUCGAGGAACGUGAAAAAUUCGAACGAAUUGGGCGAAGAAUUGCAGGCAAGUGCAAAGGUUUACCUCUUGCUGCAAAGAUAUUAGGGAGUCUUAUGCGCUCUAAACAAACUGAAGAAGAGUGGAAAAUAAUUUUAACUAGUGAUUUAUGGAAAGUAGAAGAGAUUGAGAAAGAUGUUUUGUCCUCUUUAUUGUUGAGUUACAAUGAUUUGCCAUCUAGAGUAAAAAGAUGUUUUUCAUAUUGUGCUGUCUUUCCAAAAGACUACAAUAUAAAAAAAGACAAACUAAUUACAUUGUGGAUGGCUCAAGGUUAUCUUAGUGCAGAAGAAGAUGAGGAGAUGGAGACUAUAGGUGAAGAGUAUUUUAGCAUCUUAGCUUCUCGCUCUUUCUUUCAAGAGUUUGAGAAAAGUUAUGAUAAUCGUAUUAUAGAGUGCAAGAUGCAUGAUAUGGUACAUGAUUUUGCCCGAUUUGUAAGUCAAAAUGAAUGUUUUUCGAUGGAAAUUAAUGGUAGUGAGGAACCAAACACCAUAAACUCUCUUGAUGAGAAGGUUCGUCAUUUAAUGUUAAUCUUUAGUAAAGGGGCUUCAUUACCUGUUUCCACUCUUAGAGUUAAAAGAAUGCGUACCCUCUUAAUUAACGAUAGUAGAUCUGAUCAUUCAUUAUUAAAUGGUGAGAUCCUAGAAGAAUUAUUUAGGGAAUUGACAAGUUUAAGGGCAUUAGAUUUUGGCGGAUCGUACACACAUUUUUCUUUGACUCUGGAGAUUCCAAGAAACAUAGAAAAGCUGGUACAUUUAAGAUACCUUAAUUUGUCUUGUCAGAAAAUAGUGGAGCUACCGGAGACAUUGUGCGAGUUAUAUAAUCUACAAAAGUUAGAUAUUAGUGAUUGUUUUAAUCUUAAAGAAUUACCUGAAGGGAUUGGGAAGUUAAUAAACAUGAAGCAUUUACGAAAUAGAAGUACUAGUUCUUUAAGGUACAUGCCAGUAGGGAUUGGGAGAUUAACGGGUCUUAGGACCUUGGGUGAGUUCCACGUGAGUGCAGGAGGAGGUGUUGAUGGUGGGAAAGCAUGUAGGCUUGAAUCUCUUAAAAACUUGGAACACCUUCAAGUAUGUGGUAUACGUAGACUGGGUGAUGUAUCAGAUGUGGGCGAGGCUAAGCGAUUAGAACUUGACAAAAAGAAAUACCUCAUCAGUUUGACCCUUGAGUUUGAAAAGAAGGAGGAAGGAGGAGGAAGGAGGAAGAACGAGGACGAUCAACUUCUUCUUGAAGCCCUACAACCACUUCUCAAUUUAAAGGAAUUAGAGAUACAGUACUACCGAGGCAACACUGUUUUCCCCAGCUGGAUGACGUCAUUAACCAACUUAAAGAGUUUAGAUCUCUCUUUGUGCCUAAAUUGCGAGCAGCUGCCUCCUUUGGGAAAAUUGCCGUCCCUUGAAAAACUCAGCAUAAUGUUUAUGCCUGUGAAAAGAGUGGGUGAUGAAUUUUUGGGGAUAGAAAGUGGUCAUCGUGACUCAUCUUCAUCUUCAUCGGUUAUUAUUGCCUUCCCCAAAUUGAAAUCACUUUCAAUUGAGUCUCUGGACGAAUUGGAGGAGUGGGAUUAUGGGAUUACAAGAACGGGAAACACCGUCAUCAACAUCAUGCCACGUCUUUCUUCAUUGGAAAUUAAUUACUGCCCCAAAUUAAAGGCACUGCCCGACCACAUUCAUCAAACGACAACAUUGAAGGAAUUGCGCAUUUGGGGGUGUGACCUUCUGGAAGAACGUUACCGCAAGGGAGAAGGAGAAGACUGGCCUAAGAUAUCACACAUUCCCAACCUCCAUAUUGGGCUUUGACAAGUAAUUUCUUCUCUUACUCUGAUUUGCUUUGUUGUUGUUUUUAAUCUAAUUAAGAAGCGUAAAUAGCAUUUUGAAUCAAACUCUAUAUCAGAAAUCUGCAAUACUUACUUUCUAAUAUUCUGAUUUUCAUAUCCUAUGAAUAUACGAUUUUUAAUUUGUGAGAUGGGUAACGUUACUGUAAAAGAUUAUUAAUGCAAUAUGAGUAAUUCUUUUGCAGGACAAGUGACCUACAUUUAGUUUGGCUUUGGAGUUGAAUAAUAACCUUUCGGGAACUGGUGUGGACUGGCAAAGGAUGAUGAGAUAGUUUUUUGAGUGAGUAAAUUUUGGGAGCUUGAGUGUAUUGGGAUUUGCAAUUACAAUCAUCCUCUGCUUCAGGUGAUUUCUUCUCUUGCUCUGUCAUUGUUUGUUCUCUAAUUCAAAAGCAUAAAAUAUUUCAAUCAAUUCUUAUACCACGAAUAUGCAAAAGUUUCUAAUAUUUUAUUUCCAUCUGUUACAAGAUCAAACUGAAGCAGAACUCAAACAAAAGUAUGCUACUUCUUGCGGAAAUCUUGCCUUUGUUCAGAUUAUGAAACCAUUUCCAUGCAGCAAAUUCAUCCAAAAGUUUGAAUAAGUUUCAUGGUCGGACACUGUUGGCUUCUUUUUCUUCUGGGGUGCAUUUAGGUGCUAUCAAGUGACAGCUGUAAGUAUGAUUGCACUAAGCUGCUGCUGGGAAAUUUGAGGUUUUGAUGGCUGCCCAUGUUAUUUUCAAGAAACUAUUGAUGUAAGAAGCUGUGGUUCUUUUCAUCAGCUUGAACCUGAAACUGUCGCUAUGGAUAACUCAGGUUUUUGUUAUCAACUAUAUCAUCUUUUUCACUAUUUUGAAACUCUUAAGAUUAAACGUUAGUAAAGUUGUUUCAGCUAUUCAAAUGAAAAACUCAUUGAUUUGAGACUUCCUUCAUUAUUGUUUCUAAUUACAAUGCUAACGAUCCAGAUAAGAUAAUAUUUAAUCGGCGAAGGUGUCCCUUGGAAGUACAUCCUUCUUUUUCUUUUAUUAUAUAAAUUCUUGCAAUGAGCUUAGUGAAGCUGUUGUGCUAAUCAUGCCACUGCAUAAUUUGGCCCCUAAUGUGGGUACUCUGUUACAUUGUUCUGCAAAUUCUCCAGAAGUUAAAAUCAAUAAAUUUUCUAUUAGCUCUAGUGCUUUGACCUAAAUGCUAUUCUAUAUUCUGAUUACAAUGUUUUAACCUUUAAAUUAACUACCCCUAGAUGUUGGAUUUUCUAGAACUUCAAAUUAUAUAUAACCUUUAAAUUAUAUAUUUCUGUGUCUCUAUUUAUAGAUGACAUUUAAGCAUCCAUAAACCGUCAGACAGAGGAAGGGGGUUCAGUGCAAAGAUUCUGUUGACCUAGGGUUGACUGCAUAUGUCACUUGUUCGCAAUCUAAUAUUUAUUUUAUAUUUUGAAAAAUUUAAUGGGUAAUCCUAAUUGUUUGUUUUGGCAGGUAUGUGUUGUUAUCUCCUUCUAUCUUACAGUCGUACCUAAAUAGCAUAGUUUCAUCUGUGUUACCAUGUGAUGUACAUAAUUUCACAUUUGCCUCAGAUUAAGCUUAAUUUCCCACAGAAUAGAGCUGUCGCGACUGGACUUAGUUUGAUGUCCAAAGAGGUAAAUUAUUGGCAUGCCUAGAUAAUUUGGCCAUUUCCUAAUUCAUAAGUCUACAUUAAUUUUGAUUUUGAGUUGACUGAUUUCUUUUCAAGGUCUGCUUCCUUAACGGAGUGACCAAUGUUUUUCAACUAAAUUUAUCAUAUGAUGCAGGAAGCAGGGCAGGAUAUGAAAUGAGAAGCUCAUUGGUGGAAGUAUUGCCAGUAGCAGAACCCAAUGAAAAUGAAACUAUUUCAAGGCAGCAGUUGGCAGUUGCAAGUGAAUGGAGGCCCUUGACAAAAUUCUCAAGCAGUUGCAAUGCAAUUACGAUCAUCCUCAGCCUCAGGUAAUUUCUUCUCCUGCUUUGUUUUUAUUUGUUAUCUAAUUAGGAAGCAUAAAGUAUCUUGAAUCAUUUUCUGUAUCUGGAAUAUAUGCAAGAGUUUCUAAAAUUUUGAUAUGAGUGUAAUGAUGGUAAUUUCUGUUUUCUGUCUGUCAUCAAAUGUUAGAAAACUUUCAUUGAGACCCUUGAACCGAGUCAUUUUUGACAAGUGAAGUGCCGAAGAGUGAAGAGUAAGAAUGGUGCUAGAUUGGGGAAUAAAGCAAAAGGAGGUAAAUUAUUGGCAGCUUCUUCAGCCUUAUUUUCUUUGGACCAGUGCCUAAUUCACAAGUCUCCAUAAUUCGGCUUUUGACCAGUUGAUAGAUAAAAUUUUAAUUUCAUUGGUGCUAAUGUACCCGUGAAGCAGGCAGAGAAGGACUGUGGAAAAGAGAAGGUUUUUAGUGAAAGCUUAAACGCAGGUAAUUCUAUAAAUUAUAUGUUUUUGCUGAUUUAUCUAAAUCAGGAAAUUUUAUUUCCAUCUGUUACAAUAAAACAGAAACAGAACACAAAGAAAAAUAGUCUACCUCUUGUGGCAAUCUUGCCUUCAUUCAGACUAUGAAACCAUUUCCUUUCACCAAUUUCUUCCAAAAGUUUGAACACGUUUCAUGGUUGGACAUAGUUAGCUUCUUUUUCUUUUGGUGCAUUUAGGUGCUAUCAAGUGACAGCCAUAAGUAUGAUUGCAUUAUUGGGAAAUUUUAGGUUUUGAUGGCUCCCCAUGUUAUUGCCAAGAAAUUUUAAGUCCUCAUGUCAGAAGCUGCGUUUCUUUUCAUCAGCCUGAACCCGAACUGAGGUUUUUGUCAUCAACUAUAUCAUCUUUUUCACUGUUUUGAAACUCUUAAGAUUAAACUUCAGUAAAGUUGUUUCAGUUAUCCAUGUAAUCAGGCUAAGGAUAUUUAGCAGCUUAUUUAGGCAACUGCCAGAAUUCAGUUUGUUUGCUCGAAACUUGUAUGGUGACAAGGAUACUGGCAAGGAUAGUGAGAUAGAUUUUUGUGUGAGUGAAUUUUGAAAGCUUGGGUGUUCUGGGAUUUGCAAUUGCAAUCAUCCUCUGCUUUAGGUGAUUUCUUCUCCUGUUCUGUCUUUAUUUUCUCUCUAAUUGAAAGCAUAAAGUAUUUCAAUCAAAUUCUGUACCAGGAAUACGAAAAACUUACUAAUAUUUUAUUUCCAUCUGUUUGCAUUGAUAACUUGGCCGCAUAUGUACUAGUUAAAGAACAAACAGAAGCAGAGUUCAGGAAAAAGUUUCUUCGGCCACCAUAUUUGAAAAUGAAACCAUUUCCAGGAAGCAGUUGGCAGCAAAUUCAUACAAAGUACAGACAAUGAUGAGCAAAAAGGUGAUUCGCAAUUUCAUUUUUUAAAAAUGAAAUUAUUUGUUAAGUUGGAGCUGAUAUUGUUAGAAGGCCAUUGAGCUAACCUAUGACACUACUUGCCUAGAUUGCAGGAGGUCAAGACUCAAAAGAUGCACUGAAUUUUAAAAGGCAUGCAAUAAUUCUUAUGGCCAUUUGUCAAUGGUGGAAUGCUUUUAGCUUCUUUUCCUUUCGUGCAUUUUGGGGUUCUAUCAAGCGACAGCCGUAUGCAUGGAUGGAUAUAGCCGCUGCGUUGAUUUCUAAUGCGUUGUAUGAUGUUAUAGCAACUAUCCAUCUGGUCAAUGUUUCAAAAGAAUAAAACACAGGGAAAAAGAGAAAGCAAGUGGCCAAUCAAGUAUUCAUGUCCCAAAGAAAAGAAUGAUUCGACAAUAGCAUUAAGGGUUAAUUGGACACAAGAGAAGUGUUUUAACCACUUCAAGGAAUGUAAAUGUAAUUUUCUAUUCUGAAGAAAAAGUAAAUAUAUGCACUGUCAAUUAAUCUUUGGUCAACCAGCAACAUUCAUAAUUUCGUGUAAGUUUCAUUUCUGUUUGUUGGAAAUAGCAGUGUAUUUCUUAGAGUUUGUAAAAAAUGGAAAGAUUUUAAAAUAUAAAUUUCACAUCUGUUUAUUACUGUUGUUUGAUCUAUUUUCUUAUGUAGAAUUUUCGGAAUCUGUAGGACAUUAAUUUAUAAUUUUGAGAUUUUGUAGCCAUAAAUGUUUUUGUUCUUUUUUUCUUUUUUUUGUUGGCAUUUUAUUUUGCUCCUUUAUCUAUAUGCAUGUUGACUAAAGCUAAUCUAGAAUCAAUAGAGAGGGAUAUUUAUCUAUUUUGUUUAACAUAAGAGUGCUGUAUAAUUUUUCACUAAAUACACCUACAACAAACUAUUAAUAAUAAAGUGAUAGAAGAAUGCCUAAUUUUUCGUACUUUUUAAUUUCUUUCAGCCCUAAAAUAUAGGUAUUAAUGUCAUAAUAAGCCCAUGUGGAUCUCAGUGCCGCAAGUUCGAUAAAUGGCUAUCAAGGAUUACUUAUUAAGUCAAAAGUAUUCAAAGGACAAAAUGGUAAAACUAUAAGGGUGGAGUAAGAUGGCUACCUUGGGUUACAUAGUAAGUCGACUACAUUCAAAGGAUAAAAUAUUAGAACCUGAACGGCGGAGUAGUCGUCGUUAGAACCUGAACGGCGGAGUAAUCGUCGUUAGAAUCUGAAUGAUAUGUCUAAGACGUUGCAUGCAUCAAGAAAAUUGCAGAUGAUUAAACCUUGCCAUCCAUGCGUUGUAUGAGGUUAUAGCAACUAUCUAUCUGGUCACCGUUUUAAAAGAAUAAGACAAAGGGAAAAAGAGAAAGAAAAGAAUGAUUCGACAAUGGCAUUAAAGUUCAACGUACCCCAAGAUCUUGUAAUAAUGCCAUUAAUCAUUCUCUAGCUAGGCUAGCCUUAGAGAAAAGUGAAACUGUUGCACAGGUAGAAUCACACCCCUCAGAGAUAAUGUAUUUAUUCAGCUCUUCGAAUGAAUGAAGUUUAUUUUCUCGUCAAAAAAAAAAACUGCUCGCUCCGCUGGUUUCAUACAAUGUCAACUAGAAACAUCAUACUUUCGUGUAAGUUCAUUUCAGAAUAUUUCUUAGAGUUUGUAUAAAAUGAAAAGAUUUUAAAAUAUAAAUUUAAUAUUUGUUUAUUACCGUUGUUUGGUCUAAUUUCCUCGGGAGAAUUUUCAGAAUUUAUAGGACAUUAGUUUAUAAUUUUGAAAUUUUGUAACCUAAAUGAUUUUUUUUUCGGUUACCAUUUUGUUUUCCUGCUUUAUCUACGUGUAUGUUGACUAAAACUAAUCUAUUUUGUUAAACCUUUACCACUCUAGACAUUGCACUAAAUAUGAGUUCGUGAUGCUUGCAUUUUAUUGAUGCUGAUGAUUCGUUGAAUGUUUUAUGUUUUUGAUUUUUAAGUAUUCCGGAUCGAAGUUUGUGUCUACGCGGAAAUUGUAAAGGCAGCAUAUAAAGUACUCGUCGUUCUUUAGAUUUUAUUGAGUACACUUUUGUCACAUUUAGCGUAUGCUAUACACUACUGAUUUGCGCAUUGACAUAUAUCUUUUUUUUUUAUGAGAGGGGGCUCGUCAAAACGAGCUAAACAGGAACAAACCGGGGGUUAGAAAUCCCAAACAAGUCUUGCGAAAUGAUAGAAUAAACACCCAUAGGAGGGUUAGAGAACACAUGGAGGCCAAGAGGAGCUGAAUGAGCCAUAUUAGCCAUGAAAUCCGCAGCUGAGUUUGCUUCGCGAUAAAUAUGGGUGAUAGCAGUCUGCCAAUUUCUACUUAGUAAUUCCCGGACAGCUGAUAAUAAAGCAGUGAACGCAUUAGGAACAACCACCUGCUUAGAAAUCAUUUGUGUAAUACAAAUACUAUCCACUUCCACCAACAACCGUUUUAUGCCUACAUCCCAAGCAAGAAUUAGGCCCUGAUACAGCCCCCAAAGCUCAGCCAUAAGCACUGACCUGUCCCCAAUUUUCAUACAAAAGCCGGAUACCCAAUGACCAACUGAGUCUCGAAUAACACCUCCCGCUCCUGCUUCCCAAGUAUUUUUACAGGAGCCAUCUGUAUUUAAUUUACACCAUGGCCAAGGCGACGGCAGCCAAUGAAUAUAAAUCUCCUGUCUCCUCGGCUGCUGGCUUAGGCAAGAAUUAUUUACUCUGCAAAUUUCUUUAGCUCUCGCCAUAACAUCCAUAUAGAUUGUUAGACUAUCCACCAGCUUUCCCUCAAAGAAAAAAUGGUUCCUCCAGAACCAUAGCCUCCAAACUACCACACCAAAGAUACAAUCCCAGGGGAGGGGAGACCCAAUCUUCCAUUUAUUUUGCAGGUUCCCAGCAAUCCAUUCUCGUAAGUUCGAAUUGAAGAAAGUGUUAUGACUGGCCAUCGGAACAAGCUUCCGCCAAACCUGCUUGAUACAGCUGCAGUCUCUCAAUGCAUGGAGGAUAUCUUCAACCGCACCCCCACACCUAUCACAAUCCUCAGGAACAUUAAUAUGGCGCCUAACAAGUUCAUCACGAGUCUUGAGUUUCCCAUGCAUAAGCUGCCAAAGAAAAAGGCGGAUGGAUUGAGGCCCCUUCCAACUCCAUGGAAGCUUCCAAUUUCUGUCAUGAACAGCAGCUUGAUGAUAGCAAAGUGAUUCAUAAGCUGACCGAACCGAAAACAUGCCGCUUGGAUCAAAGCCCCAGUAAAUAAUAUCAGCCCCAAGAUGAGGAGCCGGAGGCAAGACUGAAGCAAUCUGCAUGAGAAUACCAUGCGGCAGAAGAUGCUCAAAGCUCGACCAAUUCCAUCCCCCAUGCCCAUUCGUAAAGUCACUCACAGUGGCAUUGAUAAGCUCGUGAGGAAUCGGCAAGAUGGCAAGGCUGAUCAGAGGAUAUUUCGUAGCCCAACAAUCAACCCAGAAUCGAGUUCUAACACCAUCACGAACUGACCAGCGAGCUCCCUGCACUGUUGCCAACCACGUGCUACGAAUAGCCCUCCAAAUCUGAGAACCCGGUUUGUCUGAAAGAGACAUUGGUAGGUUGCGAGACUCCAAACCAUAUUUGGAGCAGAAGACUUGCACCCACAGUUUAUCCGAAUUGGAAACAACCUCCCAGCUCAAUUUCAUCAACAUCGCCUGAUUCAUUUCGUCCAUUUUUUUGAAUCCCAGGCCUCCAUGUUUUUUCGGCUUGCAAAUUUUGUCCCACCCCACCAUACUCAUCUUGUGACUCUUUGAAUUCCCAUCCCAAAUAAAUCUUCGACAAGCUUUGUCUAUUUUAUGUCUCACUGGAGAAGGAAGUAAGGUCGUUUGCAUGGCAUAAACAGGCAUUGCUUGCAGGACUGAUUGAGCCAGAGUGACGCGUCCAGCAAAAGAUAGAUGAGCCGCGUUCCAACCAGUUAACCGCUUAUCCACUUUAUCAAGGAUGGAUUGAUACGUGUAUUUAUUAACCCGCGAAUGGAUUAAGGGCAUUCCAAGAUAAUCACCCAAAUUAUUUGUGGCCGAAACUCCCAAAGUCGAGCCUAUGAUAUUGGCAUCCCGAGAAGCGACAUUUUUUGAGAAGAAAACUUUAGUUUUCAUUUUGUUGACUUUUGCUUCCGAACUCCUACAAUAAUUAUCCAGAACAGCAUCUACGACAUAAGCUUGAUCAAUUGAAGCUUCCGCAAAUAAAAGCAAAUCAUCUGCAAAAAAGAGAUGCGUUAAAGGAGUUCCAUAUUUGGCCAACCGGAUAAGCCUCCAUCUCCUCUCCAUCACCGCUUGGGUUAUACCAUGGCUUAACCGUUCAAUGCACAGAACAAAAAGAUAAGGCGAGAGGGGAUCGCCCUGACGGAUACCCCUUCCCGGAGUGAAAGCUUAUGUCGCCUCGCCAUUCCACAAAAUACGCAUACUAGCUGAAGUUACGCAUUCCAUGAUUAGUCUAGAUAAGUGAAUUGGAAUACCAGUCUGGUUAAGCGUAUCAAAAAUGAAAUCCCAACUGAGCCGGUCAUAAGCCUUCUCAAGGUCGACCUUAAUGGCCAUAAAUCCUUUCCUGCCAGUUUUUCUGCGCAUAGAGUGAACUACUUCCUGAGCCACUACAAUAUUAUCUACUAUAUGCCUCCCAGGAACAAAGCUCGUCUGAUUGGGGCUUAUUAGAUUGGGCAGCAGUGUUUGCAAUCGAGUGGCUAUAAUUUUAGUCACCGUCUUGUAGGCCACUGUGUAUAGGCUUAUGGGCCUAAACAUCUUUAAGCUAGUGGGGUGCUCCUCUUUAGGAAUCAAAACCAAGAGGGUAGUAUUUAUCUCUUGCGGCACCUUCCCCGUUGUAAAAAUAUCAUGAAUAAACCUGCAAAACGACGGACCAACCACAUGCCAUUGGGAUUGAUAAAAUAUAGCGUGCAAACCAUCCGUACCUGGGGCUUUCAGCGGCUUCAUGCUAAACACAACGUUCCGAAUUUCCUCCCUCAAAAUUGGGGCUGCAGCCCCAUCUACGUCAUGAGAAUCCAAGGCUGGGAAAAAGUUUGGAGCAUGGUAAUUCCGAUAAGUUGCAUUAUCACUUGUAAAUAGGUCAGAAAAAUACCCCACUACAUGCCUCCUUAUAUCCUCCUCAUCAUAUAGCCAAUUCCCCGAACAGUCUCGGAUGGCCUCAAUUCUAUUCCGCCGCCUUCGAGCAAUGGUUUUUUGGUGGAAAAAAUUCGUAUUUCUGUCCCCAUGCAGAAGCCAAUCCUUUCGAGAUUUCUGAAGCCAAAGAAUUUCCUCCGAUUCAUCACCAUUUCGAGCUCAUUUUGCAUGCGGGCUUAUAAGCGCAACAAACUGUUAGAGCUAUAAUUCUCUAGAGUAGCUUGAAUUCCAUUAAUCCGAGCCAUAAGCCGGCGUUUUCUCUGAAAGAUAUUCCCAAACACAUCUCGAUUCCAAGCUUGAACCUCCUGGACAAAAUGAGAGGCUGCUGCACUAUAAUGGAUUUGCGGAUUCCACACCCGCUUAAUAAAGUUAUGAAAAUGCUCGUGAGUUAACCAAGCAGCCAAAAAGCGGAAAGGCCUGUUCCUCCUGUGACCGGCCACAGCUCUCUCAAACCGAACCAGCACCGGCCUGUGAUCCGAGGCAACCUUCGGGAGGUGGAGGACAGAAUUAUUCGGAUACUUAUGUAGCCAAUCACUAUUGCACAGAGCUCUAUCAAGCCGUUUAAAGAGCAAUCCACGUGACCAAGUAAACCUUGGACCUUUAAACUUUAAAUCAAAAAUUUGGUGCCCAUCAAACCAUUUCCGAAACAGAUUACACACUCCUGGGUUCCUGGCCUCACCCCCCUGCUUUUCAGAGGCAUAUAAGAUAGAAUUGAAAUCCCCACCUAUCAGCCAAGGGCCUCGAAUUGAAGGCGCAAGGUUCUCCAUAUGGCUCCACAACUGUCUCCUUAGCAUUGGAUUUGGGCUGGCAUACACAGCCGUUACCCAAGACACAAAGGUCUUAUUCAUACAAAAUUUAAAGUGAAUGAACUGCCUAUGAUUAAUUAAGACUUCCACCUCUAUGGAAUUUCGCCAAAGAAGCCAAAUUCCUCCAGAAAAACCCACAGCUUCCACCCGGUGCGAAUACUCAAAUCCACUUUUCUUUAUAAAGUCAUCGGCUUUAGCACCACUAGUGCGAGGUUCCAUUAACACCACCAUCGAUGGAUUGUAGUUUUUAAUAAUUGUUUUAAACGAGCGCCUAAAUACCCCCGAGGCUGCCCCUUGUACAUUCCAGAACAUGAUACUAGCUGACAUAAUAAAAAUAACAGGAGAGAAACAAACGUCUACUGCUGCUGUCCAAGGACUUCCUCCAUCCACGCCAAUGGCGUUUCUUGAACCAUCUCAACUUCAUUCUCAACCAUCCCAUCGCCAUCAACACCAUUUAUAGGUACAACUGGAUGGUUAUGAGCACUGUCACCUUCAUUCACCCGAUGGAUGGUUUGAUCAUCUGGAGGGUCUGCUACUUGUUGUGGAUCCGGACCUUGCCUCUCUAUGUGUUCCGCGGUCACGUCCCUUUCAUCACCAUUAGGAAGGGUUUGGGAGGAGCAAACAAACACUGUGUGUUUAGAGGGGUCCAGGGUGGUUGCGAAUGGUGCCACGAGUUGAUUGCUAGAAGCUUUCUGAGGGAAAAUAUGGGGUUCAAAGCUUCGGUUUGCAUGAGGUAGGAUGGAUAUUUCCUUCUCUCUGGUGCUGAAGACACUAGGCUGGAGAGGGUUACAGGUAGGAGUUACUGGGACGUUUGGUUUCCUGCUCUGAUUCCUUGCUGCCACGGCCUUAUUUUGCGGCUUACGACGAGCCAUAGUCUUUGCUGAGGUAUCUGCUCUGGCUGUGAAAGUAUGGUUUGAUGCGGGCAUGAAAGGUUGCCGUGAGGUGGAAGGGAAGUCUGGGCAAGCCUCAUGCACAUGGUUUCCACCUUCAUCCGAGACUUUGGAUAAUAUGUGAAACCGUGAGGUACCAGCUCCAGUAAACUCCCUAUUACGGUUUGAGUCUCCAGUGUUCUCCUUACCAAUAUUCGGCUUCCUUCCUCUCCUAGUGGCAAUCAUCCAGGGUCCGAAUAGUUCCACAUUAUUAUCACCAUUACUACCUACAGCCUGCUGGCCAGGAGCCUCAUUUUCCGGCACUGCCUGUUGGGGUUGACCAGCAUCUUCAGGGCUUGUCGAACUCUUAGCAUCCUUACAGUUGCUGCUACUAUGCCCGUAAGAUUCCACACUUAUAACAAAUUACUGGCAAUCCCUCGUAUUCCACCUUCUGGAUCUUCCCAUCCAAUUCAAACUGAGAUACCAGCGGCCUUGUUAACGAGAUACUUACUGCAAGACGUGCAAAUCUUCCACGAGAUGAGGAGGCUGUAUUCGAAUCGAUUUUAAUCACGUUACCCACUAACUGACCCAGCUUCUGUAGAACUUUUCGAUUAUAAAGAUGAACCGCAAGGCCUGGUAAACAGAUCCAUACCGUGACUUGAUCAAGAUCCGCAUUUGUGAAAUCAAAAGAGGGUGUCCAUGGCUGCACAGUUAAAUAUUGACCCAUUAUAAGCCACGGUCCCUUAGUUAAAACAUCCAUAGCAUCCCCUACCGAUCUGAAACGAACCAGAUAAUAAUUGUUUUCCAAGUCAAUCACGGAAAAACCCAUGGCUGAUUUCCACAUGACAUUUAAUCUUGCACACAUAGCUCUAUAGCCAAUUGUGCGGCCAAGCAACUUCACAACCACCGAGUUCUUCCAAGGCUCACUUAACUUAGCAUGAACCCUAGCCGAAAAAGUGAUGGAUGGCAUGGGUCCCUCGUUAGUUUCAAUAAUGUCUCCUUCCUCAAAAUCCCAGUCCUCUAGUCCACCUCCAAUUCCUUGCUCCAUCGCUUGUGUUGCAUUCACUAGGGUUUCUUUGUACGAAAACUGUACAGUGGUAUCCCCAGCAUGUUCUUCAUCACGAAAUCUUGCUUUUUUAAUCGUUCUAGCCUCCCUAAACGGCGGGGGAAAAAUCCCUCCGGAGUUAGGGUUUCCUUCACGUCCGAGGUUUUCGGAGCCUUCCAUAUGGUGUUGAUCUUUUUAAGUCACUCGUUUCAAUAUUUCAUUUAUUUCCUUUUCAAGCUAACAAUUAAUGUAUAUGAAUGUGCGGAUGCAUUGACAUAUAUCUUAUUUUAUCAUUUUGAAUGAAUUGCACGGCGAGGCUUAUCAACUUUGGAUGAAUCCUCCAAUUGUCGCAGUCCAAGACUGGCUGCAGUGAGUGAAAAUUUACCCAUAUAUAUGCUGGCUAUUUUUAUUGGCGACGAAUUCGUUGUAGUUGGUCCAUCUUGCUAUUCUCGGACAAUAUUAGAGAAAAUAAUCAUAUUAUUUCGCGUGAUGUGACCUUCCAUAACGUAUCAAUUGAAUUACUGUAAAAUUAUUGUGUAAGUUUAGGCCCAAUGGCACUUUAGUUCAUCACAUGAUAGCCUGGAUUUAAAAGGAAAACUAUAUUGCAUUGCUUCAAAAAAAAAAUUUAAUGUUUUUAAUAUGAAUAUUUUUAACUAUAUUCAGUUAAAAUAAUAUAUUCUUAAUAUUAAUAUUCAUAGAUGAAAUUCUUUUGCGGAUUUAAGAAUAAAAUAUCAAAUAGUUUUAUUUUUCUUUUGUUGUGUAACUUGGACCGAAAAAGAAAAUGAGCUUAACAUGACCCUCCUUCCGGCACUAUGCAUGUUUUUCUUUUAUUUUUCUUGUAUUGAUGACAGUGCUCUUGGUGCUUCUCAUCUGCUUCUUGCUUUGGUUUCAAACAAGUCUUUCUCCGUCGAGACAUUUAUUGUAAUUUGAUUUGGAGACAUCUGUCGUUCAAAUAUAUUUCAUAUGCAAGCUGUUGAUAAUUCUGCUUGAGAAAGCCUUCAAAGCAGCUGUGUGAUGUAAUAGAAGACUAUAUAUGCAAGCGGGUACCGAGCUCGAAUUCUUUCUUGAGUUUCUUUGAAUUAUUUGUGAAUGAGUUCUUAAUCGGCUGCUGCUCUUCAGGAAAAGGAAAGUGUUGCAAACUGGUGAAGCUGAUCGAUAAAAGCAAUGUACCAUCUUUGCUGCCAUGGAUCGAUGCCAGUGAGUUUUUUAAUUUGUCAACCUUUUUAAUAAUGCAUAUGUGUUUCUUCAACUUGAAGCGGCAUUUAAGACGAAAGAAGUGAUCUUUAAAGCAUUCUAUAGCAUUAUCCUUUCCUAUUAUAUAUAUCCAAUUGCUCCAAAUUAUUUGUAAAUUACUGAACACGAAUGCUGAUGAAUAAACUGAUGGCUCUAUGUAUGUAUGCACAUGCAUGGAGAAAUUUUAAGUCAGACAUUCCCAUAUAUAACUCGUGCUACCAAAUCAUUAAAUAAUCUUGAAAUCAAAGUAAUAAUUAAAUACAAAUAAAUUGCUCGAAUUGUACAUAUAUCUGAAUCAUGUAGUGAAGAAAAUACAACAACAACAACCAAUGGCUCAAAUUCCCCAUCAACUUCUAAUCUCAACACUUUUGAGUGUCAGAAGCAUUACUCUGCUACCAGUUAACAAACAUAUAAUUAGUAAUUUGCCAUUCACUUCCCUUUUAGGCCUAACACAUUUUCUAUAAAGGAGCCACAGAGUGAACUCAGCAGGAAACACUCAAUUUCAACCUACGUAGGACCAGGAAUUUCAACCAAAAAAAAAGUGUGCAAUUGCUUAUCCUAUCCUAUUGCUACUAGAAAGAAAGUGAACAAUUAAUUUCAGUGAAUAAAUUAAAAAAAAUUACUUCUGCAGAUACUCAAGCUAAGAACACAUUAACCCAUUAAAGACUCCAAAUUGCAUCAAACAAAUUGUUGUUAAACAAGUAAAACAAAGAAAGAGAGUUAAGGAAGCUGACCUAGUAGUAGGGGAGCUGAAGAAAGACUGCCAGUGAAUGUAAGAGAAAAUAAAAUGCAAUAAAUGGUGAAGUGCAGCUUUUCAUGUCAACUUGAAAUUGUUUCUUCUGUUUUUUUUUUUUUUAAUCUUUUGGAUUUUUAAAACAAAGAAAAUGAGGAGCAACCAGGGAGAUAAAAAGGGCGCCAAGGCAACUGUGUGUUGGGUUUAGAGCCCAAAAAAAAAGGAGGAUAAGACAUCGUGUUCUUGUGGAGACCAGACCUAUUACGUAACGUCCCCUUCAAUACCACUUGUUCCGUAUCUGGUUUUUUCUUCGUCUUUUACAUAUUUAUCCUGUGAUUUUACAAUAACUAAAUAAUCCCCGCAUAGUUUGCAAUUUUAUUCAUUUGAGCCCUACAGAUUUCAGUAAUAGGUAGAGUUGGCAAAACGGGUCAUCGGGUCGUGUUCGUGUCAUGUCAAAUUUAAGUCGACCCAAACCCGACCCAUUUAAUAAUCGUGUCAAAAUAUUGAGACCUAAAUCCGACACGGAAAAAUAAUCGGGUUACCCAAUAACUCGUUUAAUAUCAAUAUAUUGAACAAAAGUUACAUCAAAUAUUUACACACUAUCAUACAUACAUACAUAAUUUAUCGAUAUUAUAAAAUAUAUAUAUCUACUAAUAUAUUACACAUUUACACUAUUGAGGUUUUAAUUAUAUAUAUAUAUAUAUAUAUACCUACGAUGAUUGUUUAAGCCGCGGUAAACGCUUCUAGAACGCCCUCUGGCAGGAAGGAAGGUACUCAAAGAAAGUGGAGAUGAGGGAAACUCCGCUGGAGUGAGGGGAUUUAUCGGAAUCUCGUUCAGAGUGAGGAGUCAAUGAGGGUUUGCUUGUACUUGUGGUUCUAUUGAUAGGUGUUUGCAAUGGGCUUUCGUCUCAGGUAGUUCAGUCUCCGGGGUUACGCUUAGUUUCAUAUAAAAUAAAUGAAGAAGACAGCUGGACUUCAGAGUGGGAUCCUCCUAUGUUGUCGGCUGUUUGUUUGUCCGCAGCUAUUACAGCUUGUGCUCGAAUAUAUAUGUAUCCAUAUAUUUCCAGAUAUUAUAUAUCAAUAUAUAUAUAUAUUAUUUAUCAAUAUUAUAAAAUCUACAUAUCUAUCAAUUUUUUCACAUUUACACUAUUGAAGCUCUAAAUGUAUUUAAAAUUUUAUAAAUAAAAUAUUAUGUUUAUAUUCACCCUUUUAAAGAAUAAAAAAGAAAAUCAUUACUAAUAUUUGAGUUUUAAUGAUAAGAAUAUGUAAAUUAUUUUAAAAUAGAAAAUAUAAUCGGGUCAUUGAUCGGGUAAAUGGGUCAAGAAUUUUAACUCUAACCCGACACGGAAAAAAAUCGUGUUGACCCGGACCCGACCCAUUUAAUAAUCGUGUUAAAUUUGACGACCCAUAUUCAUUUAUUUAUGUCGUGUUCGUGUCGAGUAAUCGGGUCGUGUCAAAUUUUGCCAGCUCUAGUAAUAGGAAUUAUUAAGGGACAAGAGCGCAAAACAAAAACUCUGUCCACUACUGAUGAUAUAACAACGAACCUUUGUUUUUUUCUUCUUUUUUUUUUACAAAAUAUCAUUAGAGAAAUGAAAAUAUUAACUAACAUCACCCUACUGAUGAUAUAACAACGAACCUUUGUAGUUUCUGCCUGUUAAUAUGAAUUGAUCAGGAGUGUUUCCUCACUUAAAAAUUACGAAUUUACAAAUAUGUAUGUAAGUAUGUAUGUAUGUACGUACGUACGUGAGUAUGUAUGUACAUAUAUGCAUACACCUAUGUAACAUUUACUUAUCCAUCCUUUUGAGUUUAAAACUUAAUACACAUUUUCAUGAAAUUUUUAUUUUAUUAAGUAUACAACUACAGUAAUGUAUAUAUUUUUUAUAUAAGACAUGCCGUCAUAUUAUUCAUAAGUAAAACAAUGUGUUGUAAAUAGUUUAAUUAUUAAAUAUCAUACAAUAUCUUUCAACAACCGGCAAUAGACCUUUACCCAUUUUUCUUUUUCGACCAUUAGAUUCAUUCAGUUUACAUCCAACGGCAGUUUAGGAUGGAGACAAAAAGUGUGGUACGUUACCACAGUGGUAACAUUGGAUUGGGAUUGUAUGUCGUGUUUAAUUUGAAUUGGUUGAUUCCUCUAAUGAAUUAUUUUGAUAAAUUUAGUAGCAGUAUUUGGCGGCAAAAGUAUCAUUAAUUUUUGGAAAUAUGAUUAUGUUAUUAAUUAUUUUAGCAUUCUAAAAAGUCAAUGGUUAUGUUGGAAAUACUCUAAGGUAGAAUAGAGUACAAAUCACAGUCACACAUACAAAAUGAUAAAUAAUAAAAAAUAUAUUAUAUUUUUGAUCAUAUGAUUAUGAAGACGUAUUUUACCUUAAAGAAGUUCUAAUAAGCGAAUUCUUCUAAAACAAUAUAAAAUUUCUUUUUUAUCAUACUCAACCGCUUCAAACUUCUAAGAAGUAGAUAUACAAUGAGUGGAAUACUGAAUUGAGUGCGAGCUGCGGAUAAUAUAUAAAAUUGGGAUACAAGCUUCAAGGAAAGUGUAUUGCUAUUCAAAUGUAGAUUUCAAAUUAAGAAGAUAUGCCAGCAAAUUGUAUAAAAAUGUAUAAAUUGAUCAGUAACAUUAAUUCCAAAUGAUGAAAUGAGUUAUCUUGAUCAAAAGGUCAAGAACCUACCUUACUUCUCUUAGAGAUAACUUGCAUCAACCGUUGUGGUAUUGAUACUUGUCUUCAGCUAGUAAAAGACUAAAAGUGAAAGUUUCACAAUUGAAAUAAAGCUAAGGGAAGAUGCUAUGCUCCAUUUAUUAUUAUUAUUAUUGAUGUGGUCGAGAAGUAAAGCCAUGCAUAUGAUGAAGUAUAAAUAAGAAUGCAAUAGCCCGGAAUUCAUUUACACAAACACUUCAAUAUCCUUUUGAUCACUUUUGCAAACAUCAGUUUGUCUCUUGUAUUCACCAUGGUUGAUGCCAUCGUUUCCUCUCUUGUGGAGCAGCUGACUUCCUUCGCUGCUAAAGAGAUAAUACAACAGGUGAUCGAAGUUACACCCCCCAUAUUAUAAAUACUUCUAAUGAUUUUAAUUGGUUUUGUUUUUAUCGGAAACAUUAACUUUGCUUUAUUUUAUUUAUUUAGGCAUUUUAAAUUUUAAAAUUUGAAUUGAAUUCAAUUAAAAUGUGAUGUAGCUAGUAACCACUUUUUUUAUUUCAUUUAUAUUCUCAAUAACUACCCAUAUUUUGGUAACUUACUGUAACCCCCGUAUCUAAGAAAUGAUUAAAACCCACAAUUUUAACUCCACAUAAAUAUUCCAUGUUGAGCUAAGUUUUUGCAUAACAUUCAAGUUUGUUAAAUAGUCAUUAAUUUAAUGUUUAGUAAAAACUUAUCUCUGAAAAUUUUCAUAAUUUUCUUACAUUCUUUGAGUUUGGUGAGUGACUUCAUAUAAUUUCUUUUCAAUUUAAAUUUUAAUUUGGUUUCUGAUAUAGUCUCUUUACUGAAUUUAUAUCUUUUAUGAUUCUUGGAUUUUGGGCUCCAACUUUUUAGGAUUUGAUAGUCACAUUUUAUGGCAUGCUUAGAUUGAUUUUCAUGAUUUGAGUACUCGUUAAGUGACUGAGAAUUUGACAAAAGUUUGAAAGGAAAUCCGUUUCACGAUUCUUAUGUGGAAGGUUCGUAAAAUCAUGAAAUUUGGAUAGGAUUCGCUAGCAAUAUGUACAAGACUCUUCAUGAAGUUUCAUAAUUUUUCGUUCGGUCUGGGGUGGUACAGGUGAAACUUGUGGUUGGUGUUAAAGAAGAAGUGAAAAGCCUUAUCAGCCACCUUCAAGCCAUUCAAGCUGUGCUCGAUGAUGCAGAGGAAAAGCAAGUGAAGGACAAAGCUGUUAGACAUUGGCUGGGCAGGCUCAAGUAUGCAUCCUACGACAUUGAAGAUGUGUUGGAUGAGUGGAUCACAGCUAGACACAAAUUGCAAAUUGAGGGUGGCGUUGAUGACAAUGCUCUUGCUGCUCCUCAAAAGAAAAAGAAGGUAUGUUUCUGCUUUCCUGCCUCUUGUUUUGGAUUCAAACAAGAAGAAUUUGGUUUCAGACAAGUCUUUCUACGUUAUGACAUUGCCAACAAGAUCAAAGAAAUGAAUAAAGAGCUACAUGAUAUUGCCACUCAAAAAGACAUGUUUAAUCUUGUUAAGAGUGGCAAUAAAAGUGGUGAAAGACCAAGGCGUGUACAGAGUACCUCCUUGAUUGAUGAGGAAGAGAUUUGUGGUAGAGUUGGUGAGAAGAAUGAACUCAUAAGCAAGCUGUUGCGUGAGAGUAGCGAGCAACAAAAAGGCCUCCAUAUGAUCUCAAUUGUUGGUAUGGGAGGCAUAGGGAAAACUACUCUUGCACAACUAGCUUGUAAUGAUGACGUGGUGAAGAGAAAGUUCGACAAAAUUCUGUGGGUGUGUGUAUCAGAAACUUUUGAGGAGUUUAGGGUUGCCAAAGCAAUCGUUGAAGCUUUGGAUGGUCGUGAAUCUCAUUUAGGUGAAUUCCAAUCUCUUCUUAAACAUAUUGAUGAAUCCAUUGCAGGGAAGAGCUUUCUUCUUGUCUUAGAUGACGUGUGGGAUGGAAAUUACUUGAAAUGGGAACCAUUCUAUCGUUGUCUAAAGAAUGGUCUCCAUGGAAGUAAAAUUUUAGUUACCACACGUAGUGGGUCCGUUGCAUCCACGAUGGGAUCCAUAGAUAUUAUUCCCAUUGAGAAAUUAGCUGAAGAGGAAUGUUGGUUGUUGUUUAACAAGAUAGCAUUUUUUGGUAGGCCUAUCGAGGAACGUGAAAAAUUCGAACGAAUUGGGCGAAGAAUUGCUGGCAAGUGCAAAGGUUUACCUCUUGCAACAAAGACAAUAGGUAGUCUCAUGCGUUCUAAACAAACUGAAGAAGAGUGGAAAAGAAUUUUAAAUAGUGAUUUAUGGAAAGUAGAAGAGAUUGAGAAAGAUGUUUUGUCCUCUUUAUUGUUGAGUUACAAUGAUUUGCCAUCUAGAGUAAAAAGAUGUUUUUCAUAUUGUGCUCUCUUUCCAAAAGACUACGAUAUAGAAAAAGACAAACUAAUCACAUUGUGGAUGGCUCAAGGUUAUCUUAGUGCAGAAGAAGAUGAGGAGAUGGAGACUAUAGGUGAAGAGUAUUUUAGCAUCUUAGCUUCUCGCUCUUUCUUUCAAGAGUUUAAGAAAAGUUAUGAUAAUCGGAUUAUAGAGUGUAAGAUGCAUGAUAUGGUACAUGAUUUUGCCCGAUUUGUAAGUCAAAAUGAAUGUUUUUCGAUGGCAAUUAAUGGUAGUGAAGAACCAAACGCCACAAACUCUGUUGAUGAGAAGGUCCGUCAUUUAAUGUUAAUCUUUAGUAUAGAGGCUUCAUUACCUGUUUCCACUCCUAGAGUUAAAAGAAUGCGUACCCUCUUAAUUAACGAUAGUAGAUCUGAUCAAUCAUUAUUAAAUGGUGAGAUCCUAGAAGAAUUGUUUAGGGAAUUGACAAGUUUAAGGGCAUUAGAUUUUGACAAAUUGUACCACUCAAUUUGGUCUUCGACUCUGGAGAUUCCGAGAAACAUAGAAAAGCUGGUACAUUUAAGAUACCUUAAUUUGUCUUCUCAGAAAAUAGUGGAGCUACCGGAGACAUUGUGCGAGUUAUAUAAUCUAGAAAAGUUAGAUAUUAGUUUUUGUUUUGAUCUUAGAGAAUUACCUGAAGGGAUUGGGAAGUUAAUAAACAUGAAGCAUUUACUAAAUUAUGAUACUGAUUCUUUAAGGUACAUGCCAGUAGGGAUUGGGAGAUUAACGGGUCUUAGGACCUUGGAUGAGUUCCACGUGAGUGCAGGAGGAGCUGUUGAUGGUAGGAAAGCAUGUAGGCUUGAAUCUCUUAAAAACUUGGAACACCUUCAAGUAUGUGGUAUACGUAGACUGGGUGAUGUAUCAGAUGUGGGCGAGGCUAAGCGAUUAGAACUUGACAAAAAGAAAUACCUCUUCAGUUUGACCCUUGAGUUUGAUAAGAAGGAGGAAGAAGAAGGAGAAAGAAGGAAGAACGAGGACGAUCAACUUCUUCUUGAAGCCCUGCGACCACCUCUGGAUUUAAAGGAAUUAGAGAUACGGUUCUACCGAGGCAACACUGUUUUCCCCAGCUGGAUGACGUCAUUAACCAACUUAAAGAGUUUAAAACUCUCUUUCUGCGAAAAUUGCGAGCAGCUGCCUCCUUUGGGAAAAUUGCCGUCCCUUGAACAGCUCUUCAUAUCGUACAUGUCGAGUGUGAAAAGAGUGGGUGAUGAAUUUUUGGGGAUAGAAAGUGAUCAUCAUGGCUCAUCUUCAUCUUCAUCGGUUAUUAUUGCCUUCCCCAAAUUGAAAUCACUUUCAAUUGAGUUUCUGUGCGAAUUGGAGGAGUGGGAUUAUGGGAUUACAAGAACGGGAAACACCGUCAUCAACAUCAUGCCACGUCUUUCUUCCUUGACAAUUGCUCUUUGCCCCAAAUUAAAGGCACUGCCCGACCACAUUCAUCAAACGACAACAUUGAAGGAAUUGCACAUUUGGGAUUGCAGGCUUCUGGAAGAACGUUAUUGCAAGGGGGAAGGAGAAGACUGGCCUAAGAUAUCACACAUUCCCAACCUCCAUAUUGGGCAUUGACAAGUAAUUUCUUCUCUUACUCUGAUUUGCUUUGUUGUUGUUUUUAAUCUAAUUAAGAAGCGUAAAUAGCAUUUUGAAUCAAACUCUAUAUCAGAAAUCUGCAAUACUUACUUUCUAAUAUUCUGAUUUUCAUAUCCUAUGAAUAUACGAUUUUUAAUUUGUGAGAUGGGUAACGUUACUGUAAAAGAUUAUUAAUGCAAUAUGAGUAAUUCUUUUGCAGGACAAGUGACCUACAUUUAGUUUGGCUUUGGAGUUGAAUAAUAACCUUUCGGGAACUGGUGUGGACUGGCAAAGGAUGAUGAGAUAGUUUUUUGAGUGAGUAAAUUUUGGGAGCUUGAGUGUAUUGGGAUUUGCAAUUACAAUCAUCGUCUGCCUCAGGUGAUUUCUUCUCCUGCUCUGUCAUUGUUUGUUCUCUAAUUCAAAAGCAUAAAAUAUUUCAAUCAAUUUUUAUGCCAGGAAUAUGCAAAAGUUUCUAAUAUUUUAUUUCCAUCUGUCACAAGAUCAAACUGAAGCAGAACUCAAACAAAAGUAUGCUACUUCUUGCGGAAAUCUUGCCUUCGUUCAAAUUAUGAAACCAUUUCCAUGCAGCAAAUUCAUCCAAAAGUUUGAAUAAGUUUCAUGGUUGGACACUGUUGGCUUCUUUUUCUUCUGGGGUGCAUUUAGGUGCUAUCAAGUGACAGCUGUAAGUAUGAUUGCACUAAGCUGCUGCUGGGAAAUUUGAGGUUUUGAUGGCUGCCCAUGUUAUUUUCAAGAAACUAUUGAUGUAAGAAGCCGUGGUUCUUUUCAUCAGCUUGAACCUGAAACUGUCGCUAUGGAUAACUCAGGUUUUUGUUAUCAACUAUAUCAUCUUUUUCACUAUUUUGAAACUCUUAAGAUUAAACGUUAGUAAAGUUGUUUCAGCUAUUCAAAUGAAAAACUCAUUGAUUUGAGACUUCCUUCAUUAUUGUUUCUAAUUACAAUGCUAACGAUCCAGAUAAAAUAAUAUUUAAUCGGCGAAGGUGUCCCUUGGAAGUACAUCCUUCUUUUUCUUUUAUUAUAUAAAUUCUUGCAAUGAGCUUAGUCAAGAUGUUGUGCUAAUCAUGCCACUGCAUAUAAAUUCUCCAGAAGUUAAAAUCAAUAAAUUUUCUAUUAGCUCUAGUGCUUUGACCUAAAUGCUAUUCUAUAUUCUGAUUACAAUGUUUUAACCUUUAAAUUAACUACCCCUAGGUGUUGGAUUUUCUAGAACUUCAAAAUGAUUAAUGGAGAAAGAUCCCAUUAUCGUUAUUGCUAUAAGAAAUUGAUUUAUGCAUCCAAAGAUACAUUAUAUAUUUCUGUGUCUCUAUUUAUAGAUGACAUUUAAGCAUCCAUAAACCGUCAGACAGAGGAAGGGGGUUCAGUGCAAAGAUUCUGUUGACCUAGGGUUGACUGCAUAAUGUCACUUGUUCGCAAUCUAUUAUUUAUUUUAUAUUUUGAAGAAUUUAAUGGGUAAUCCUAAUUGUUUGUUUUGGCAGGUAUGUGUUGUUUUCUCCUUCUAUCUAACAGUCGUACCUAAAUAGCAUAGUUUCAUCUGUGUUACCAUGUGAUGUACAUAAUUUCACAUUUGCCUCAGAUUAAGCUUAAUUUCCCACAGAAUAGAGCUGUCGCGACUGGACUUAGGUUGAUGUCCAAAGAGGUAAAUUAUUGGCAUGCCUAGAUAAUUUGGCCAUUUCCUAAUUCAUAAGUCUACAUUAAUUUUGAUUUUGAGUUGACUGAUUUCUUUUCAAGGUCUGCUUCCUUAACGGAGUGACCAAUGUUUUUCAACUAAAUUUAUCAUAUGAUGCAGGAAGCAGGGCAGGAUAUGAAAUGAGAAGCUCAUUGGUGGAAGUAUUGCCAGUAACAGAACCCAAAGAAAAUGAAACUAUUUCAAGGCAGCAGUUGGCAGUUGCAAGUGAAUGGAGGCCCUGACAAAAUUCUCAAGCGGUUGCAAUGCAAUUACGAUCAUCCUCAGCCUCAGGUAAUUUCUUCUCCUGCUCUGUUUUUAUUUGUUAUCUAAUUAAAAAGCAUAAAGUAUCUUGAAUCACUUUCUCUAUCUGGAAUAUAUGCAGCAGUUUCUAAAAUCUUCAUAUGAGUGUAAUGAUGGUAAUUUCUGUUUUUUGUCUGUCAUUGAAUGUUAGACAACUUUCAGUGAGACUCUUGAACCGAGACAUUUUUGACAACUGAAGGACAAUUGCUGAAGAGUCGGAAUGGUGCUAGAUUGGGGAAUAAAGACAAAGGAGGUAAAUUAUUUGCAGUUUAUUCAGCAUUAUUUGCUUUGGACCAGCGCCUGAUUCACAAGUCUCCAUAAUUUGGCUUUUGACCAGUUAAUAAAUUUUUAAUUCCAUUGGUGCUAAAUGUACACGUGAAGCAGGCAGAGCAGGACUGUGGAAAUGAGAAGGUUUUUAGUGAAAGCUUAAACUCAGGUAAUUCUAAAAAGUACAUGUUUUUGCUGAUUUAUCUAAAUCAGGAAAUUUUAUUUCCAUCUGUUACAAGAUAAAACAGAAACAGAACACAAAGAAAAAUAUUCUACUUCUUGUGGCAAUCUUGCCUUCAUUCAGACAAUGAAACCAUUUCCUUUCACCAAUUUCUUCCAAAAGUUUGAAUAAGUUUCAUGGGUGGACCUAGUUAGCUUCUUUUUCUUUUGGUGCAUUUAGGUCCUAUCAAGUGACAGCCAUAAGUAUGAUUGCAUUAUUGGGAAAUUUUAGGUUUGGAUGGCUCCCCAUGUUAUUGCCAAGAAAGUCCUCAUGUCAGAAGCUGCGGUUCUUUUCAUCAGCCUGAACCCGAACCUGUCGUUAUGGAUAACUCAGGUUUUUGUCAUCAACUAUAUCAUCUUUUUUACUGUUUUGAAACUCUUAAGAUUAAACUUCAGUAAAGUUGUUUCAGUUAUCCAUGUAAUCAGGCUAAGGAUAUUUAGCAGCUUAUUUAGGCAACUGCCAGAAUUCAGUUUGUUAGCUCGAAACUUGUAUGGUGACAAGGAUACUGGCAAGGAUAGUGAGAUAGUUUUUUGUGUGAGUGAAAUUUGAAAGCUUGGGUGUUCUGGGAUUUGCAAUUGCAAUCAUCCUCUGAGUCAGGUGAUUUCUUCACCUGCUCUGUCUUGAUUUUCUCUCUAAUUGAAAGCAUAAAGUAUUUCAAUCAAAUUCUGUACCAGGAAUACGUAAAAGUUACUAAUAUUUUAUUUCCAUCUGUUUGCAUUGAUAACUCGGCGGCAUAUGUUCUAGUUAAAGAACAAACAGAAACAGAGUUCAGGAAAAAGUUUCUUCGGCCACCAUAUUUGAAAAUGAAACCAUUUCCAGGAAGCAGUUGGCAGCAAAUUCAUAUGGAGUGUAGACAAUGAUGAGCAAAAAGGUGAUUCGCAAUUUCUUUUUUUUUUUAAGUGAAAUUAUUUGUUAGAUUGAAGCUGAUAUUGUAAGAAGGCCAUUGAGCUAACCUAUGUCGCCACUUGCCUAGAUUGCAGGGGGUCAAGACUCAAAAGAAGCACUGAAAUUUAAAAAGCAUGCAAUAGUUCUUUUGCCAUGUGUCAAUUAAUGCAAGUUUGAAUAAGUUUAUUGGCUGAACGAUGUUAGCUUCUUUUCCUUUCGUGCACUUUGGUAUGCUAUCAAGUGACAGCCGUAUGUAUGGCUUGCAUAUAGCUGCUGCUGGGAAAAUUGACGAUUUCAUGGCUGGCCGUGUUAUUGUCUUAAAUUAGUUGUGAUAAGCUGUUGCUUGGAGAUUCUGUUGCCAAGAAUUUGCUCACAUCAGAAGCUGUGGAAUCUGAACCCUUCGAUUCUGUUGCCAAGAAUUUGCUCACAUCAGAAGCUGUGGAAUCUGAACCCUUCGUUAUGUAUCAUCUUUUUCAUUGUUUUAAAACAGUAAACUCUCAGGACACUGAGCAGGCAAAUGUUAUAACUCGGUUUGUUAGCCAAAAACUUGUUGAAGAUUCUUGACAAAGCUGCGUCGAGUGAAUUGUCGGAGCUCUGAGGGUGAGAGAAAUUAGAGGGUGUAUAGGGAUUUGGAUUUGUUAGGAAGUUAUCAUUUUUAUUUGUCCGAUUCAAAACUUGAUAUUCCAAUUAUAUUCAUAAGCUUCUACAGUUAUCUUCAAAAAGACAUUCCAAUUAUAUUCAUAAGCUUCUACAGUUAUCUUCAAAAAGACAAAUGGAAGGCUUUGAACGGCUUGGGUCUGAGUAUUGUAGUUUGAUUUAUUUUGAUGAAAGAACCUUUUGACAUUAAGAUUCUUUCAUGAGUUAAACAUUCUUUUUAAAACCAACUUAUUAAAAAAAAAGUAACGAACAUAUAUUAUUUUGUUAGUGCUUUUUAAAUCAAAUAUAAAAAAGAGAACUGUAAUUCUUAGCAACCAAUUUUUCAUUGAGUACACCUACAACAAAUUAUUAAAAAAUAAAGCGAUAGAAAAUGCCUGAUUUUUCGUACUUUCUAAUUACUUUUGGUCCUAAAAUAUGGCGAUUUGUGUAAUAAUAAGCCCAUGUAUAUCUUUAUGCCAUUAGUUUGAUAAAUAACUAUCAAGGAUAACUUAUUAAGCUAAAAAUAUUUGAAGGAUAAAAUGGGAAAACUAAAAGGGUGGAGUAAUAAAGUUAUUUAAGAUUACAUAGUAAGUUAACUAUAUUCGAGGGAUAAAAUAUUAAAACUUGAAUAGUUAUAUUAAAAAUAUCUCGGCUAUUAUACUAUUAAACCAUAUGCCGUAAUAAUGUUUUUUUUCAAACUUUAAAAAAUUCAGGAUUUUAAAUUAAAACAUGGAUUUCUUUAAGAUGCUAUAUGUGUUUUUACAGUAUUGAUAGUGGGAUUAGUGUGUACCCUUAUAUGAAAGAGUUUUAAUCUGAAUCAUUCAUUUAAUAUAAUAGAUAAUUAAAUAAUUAAUUAAAAUAUAGCAGGUAACUUAUAGGUUGCAGGUAAAAAAUUAAUUUUUUAAUUUUAAAUUAAAAUUAAUUUGGAACAAAACCAUCCACACCCCUAAGGUUUACUUAAAUGAUCAUAUAAAUCCCUUUAGUUUCUACAUAGUUAUACAGACCCUCUUAAUUUCAUAAAUUAUUAUUAUACUUUUAAUUAAAACAACCUAAAUGAAUAUAAAUAUAGUAAUAGGAUAGAAAUAAUAAAUAAAUAUCAGAUGAAACAAAUAAAAUAUUACAAUAAAUACAAUUAAUUAAAUAACAUGUAUGAUGAAAAUUUUAUUCAUAUUAAGUUAUUAUUAGUCUAUCCCGAUGGAUUUACUCAAAUCAAUUAAUCCAAAAUUUAAUUUUAAGAUUGAUAUUAAUAUGGACAUAAUUAAAUAAGAUGUUGUAAUAUAUACUACUUUGAAUGUUAAGUAUAAUUAUCUAAUAUUAUUAGUAUGUGAAAUAGAUUUUAAUAUUAUUAAAGAAUAUGACAAUAUAUAAUUUUGAAUUAAAUUUUUUAGUAUUCAUGAUAUUUUAUAAAUUUUAUGUGAUUUUAUAUAUUAUAUUUUUUAAUUUUAAUGUAUUAUAUAUGAUCAUUUAAGCAAAUUUUGGAGGUGCGGUGGUCUUUUCCCUAUUAAUUUUGUAGCAUAUUUAAAGUGUUAUAUCAUACAUGAUACAUCACACUUUUGUUAAAGUGUUAUGUUAUUAAAAAUUAAACUUUGCAUUUAUAAUAUACUACCAUUUUAAUGUAAAGGUAAUAGAAAAUAUGAAGAUAUUUUUAAGUAGUCAAUUGUAGCUUUCUUUUACAAAAUAGCAGUAUAGAAAUACAAUUGGUAAAAUGUAAUAAAAAUGGUAUGGAAAAAAGUUAGUAGAGGCAAUUAUUCUUGUAGUUGCUAAAACAUAUGAAGUGACACACACACACACACACAUAUCAAGUACUUGUAUGUUCCCCUAACUUUUAUUAAUGGGAAGGAAAUUAAAUUCGUAAUUUUCCCGGUGAAUUAUGAAUUGAUAAAUGAAAUAUAAAUAUUAGUAAAAAUUAAUUUGUCGACUAAAGAAGUAAACCAUAUUUUAUGGGCAUUUAAUACAUUAAUUUAAGGUCAAAUGAGAUAAUAUCACAUGAUAUUUGAUACAAGAGUCCAAUUUUCAACAUUUGCAUAUAGUUUCUAAGCUAGUAAUCUAAUAAAAUAUACCAAAUGAGAAAUUGAAGGCUAUUAUUUAUAUUUCACCAUUGGACAAACACCAUACAUUAGAAUAAAAAAAUCUCACAGUAGAGACGGCAUCUGUUUGCAUGUUUUGAAAAUAGAUUUUGAAAUUAGUUUAAUUACAUGAUAAUUAAAUUAUAUUAUAAAAUUAAGAAUAUGAUUUAAGUACUAUUUUAGCAAUUUUGAGUCUCACAUUGAGUAUUCAAGUUAAUUAAAUGUUGAAACUCUUUUCUAUUUGGCUUGAAAUCACUACUAAAUAAAAUUACAAAAAGUCAAUAAUGAAUGAUGUAGGACACAUAUGUAAAAUAAAUUUUAAAGUGUAAUUAAACAUUCCUAUCAAUAUUAGUUUUGCAUACAUAUUCAUAUAUUUUACCGAAACCAUAUAUAAUUAAAUUUUGUGUAAUUAAGUAAAAUAUAUUAUUCAAGUGAAUUUAUGAGAAUAUUUAAAAUUGUAGGGGUCGUCACUGAAAUUUGCCAAACUUGAGCCAACCGUGCAUGAUCCAAACAGUUUAUUUUAAUAAUUCUCAAUAUGUUAGUCUGUUUGACUGUUGGCAAAAUAAAUUCCUAUCAGCAAUGCAACACAAUUCAAAAUCAUAUCUGCAUACAACGAACAAUAUCUCAUGAAAGAUCAAAUUAUACAUUUUUUACACCAAACCAUAAAUAUCUAAAUUGUCCCUCUUCAACUCACCAAGCUCAUACCUAACAACAGCAAGAUUAAAUGUCAUUUGAUCCAUCUUUUUUAUUAAGCUUUAUCAAUUCUUCUCAUGGUUGCAAUUUUGAAAGCUCGCUUCGCUAUUUCCAUUUGCUUUUAUGCUUUGUUUGAGCUCCAUCUUUUCUCUCCAUCUACAUUUUACACUGUAAAAAAAAUUUUAAAAAAAUUACAAAGCUUCUUAUGCUAGAAUAUGAGCAACAAUAUAAAUAAUAAACAAUAAAGUUAUGAUAGCACAGCAUGCUCAUUAAAGUGCUUCUUUUUUUUUUUUUUCAACAAGAAAUUACUACUGAAUUAAAGAUUUGGCUUUGCAUUAAGGUUUGCCUUCAAUAACUCAACUCCCCACUUGGGUUUUGUCGUUUUCUUAAAAUCUCUGCUCAAUCAAUUUAAAGAUCCUUUUUUUUUUCUUUCCAAAGAUCUAAAAGCAAUGUCUUUUAUUGGUACCCAACAAAAAUGCAAGGUCUGUGAGAAGACAGUUUGUCCAGUUGAGCAGUUAUCUACUGAUGGGGUUGUUUAUCACAAGUCUUGCUUCAAGUGCUCUCACUGCACUGCAAAGGCACACUCAAGCUAAGCAAUUACUCAUCCCUGGAAGGUGUUCUUUACUGUAAGCCUCACUUUGAGCAGCUUUUGAAGGAGUCGAGUAACUUCAACAAGAAUUUCCAAUUACCUGCAAAGUCAGCUGAGAAGUUAACUCCUGAGCUGAAAAGGUCGCCUAGCAAAGUUGACAGCAUGUUCUCUGGGCCCAAUAAAAAUGUGCUUCUUGCAGUAAAACAGUGUGUCCGUGGGAGAAGGUAGCAGCGGAAAACCAAGCCUCUCACAAGACAUGUUUCAAGUGCUCACAUGGUGGUAAUUCCAUUAGCCCGUCAAAUUACGCAGCCCUAGAAGGCAUCUUGUAUUGCAAACAUAAUUUCUCCCAAUUGUUCAAGGAAAAAGGCAGCUACAACCACCUUCUAUCAAAUCUGCUUCCAUGAAGCGUGCUGCAGUCUCUGUUCAAGAAGCUUGAACAUGUUAUGUUAUCUUCCAUAAAUCUUAUUUGGCGUGGGUUUUCUCUGGCUUGAGGGUGUGCUUUCUAUUUUGAUCCCUCUUGUUGUUUUUGCGGGGAACUACCAAACCUUCGGUUCCCUCUGCUUCUUUGGAUCAUCUUUGUUGGGACAAAUUUCAUGUAAUUAGAGAUACUGAUUUAUGGGAGGCAUAAUCCCAUGGUUGUAAAUUGACCAUUUUCUGGCAAUGUUCUUUUUAAAAAGAGAUGAGCAGUUGUUUAACAAAAAAAAUAGCUGGCCUUCAUCAUGGUAUGUUACCAAACUGCUAUGUAUAGCUGCUAACUAUGAGCAUCCGAAAAUAUGGUGCAUCGUGAUUCAUGUCGUGCAAUAUGGCUACCAACGCAUCCUAAAUGGAGUAUUACUCAGUUAGUCAGCAAAAUAAGACAACAGUAAGAUAUUAAAAAAAUAAAAACUACAUUAAUAAGUGGGCAAGAUCAUGCCAGUUUAACUUUUCGCGCGUCGCUGCUGGAGAUAAUCAAAUCGGGGCAGAGAAAAGGAGAAUGGAAUCAGAGGCUAAGAUUAAUAAGUGGGCUUCUGCUUGCUUUGCCCCUCUUUCUUAAACGAUUGGUAGACUGCUGCUUCCACCGAUUAACCGGGUCUUCAACCACUGCUUUUAUUGCCUGCCAUCUUGUUGUUUGUCGAAGGGAUGAAUUCGAGUCGAAAAGAGAAAGCGCGCUGAAAAAGACAAAUCACUAGUGGUUAACUACUGACUCAGCCAAGUGUUGGCUUCACUUGAUUCACCGAUUGAGGUUAUUUUGUCUUCUAUCUAAUGCAGCGAAGAAGCUUUACUGCUUAACAUGCUGCAAUGCAACUUUAUCUUUUGAAGUUCACACUUCAGGGCUGCGCACUUUAUGUAAUCCUAUGAGUAAAAAGAAUUUAUUUUCAAAUGUGAAAAAAGAAAAUGUAAGGUAGUAACUAAAUAUAUUAUAGCAUCAAAGUAAGAUUUGAUAUGAAUUUAGUACAACAAAGAACAUUAAAUCUGUGAUUCCUUGUCUAAUGUCACCAUCGAGCAACAAAUUUAAAAGCCUACCUAUCAAAUACACGAGGCAAUAAACGGAGAAAAAGUUGAAUUACAAGAACAAGUUUACAAUUCUUGUCAAUGGUUAAUGAUUCGUGAAUUGAGAUAGCAUUCAAGAAUCCAAUUUCAAUACAACAACGUAAAAGAUAAACAGAUGAUGAAUUUUAUGAGAUAAAGAAGGAGAUUGUGUUUUAUCGUAUCUCUAUUUUCUUUCCAUUUAAAUUUAAAAUAAGCUUUUCAACCGGUUAUAAUAUUUUUUGAAAUAAUUAAAUAUUUUUAUUAUUAAAAAUAAUGUGUACCGUUGAUUACAUCUAACGCUACAUAUUUCUUACACUAUUAAUACCGUAAAAAAAAUCAUAGAGGGACCCUUAAAACAUUUUCAUUUGAAAUUAUUUGGUGAAGUGAAAAAGUUAAGAAAGAAAUAGUUGUCCCUUUGGUCAUUUCACAAAAAUGAAAGCCCCAUAUAACAUGGACUUGAAUGGAAGCCCAAUUGUUGUGUUUGAUUUCAAGCUUUAUCGGACCUUUGGACCUGGAUACUUUACUGCGGCCUCUAAGCGCUACAAAUUUUUUUUUUGGGAUAAAAGGCGCUUCAAUGAAAAAGCACUUUAAAACUUUGGAUUUUGCCAAAACUUCAAAGCGGUUGGUCCAGUUACGGUGUUAUGCUAACGGGUUUAAAGGUUCCGAUCCAAUGAGUUAGGGUGGAAUAUGAAUAUAUAAAUCCUAGUCAUGUAAGGACUAGGAUUUGUUUGUUCAUAUCAAGAAAAAAAAUCUGAAAAUUUGAUGAUCAGAAGAUAAAAACACUUAAACACGUUUAUUACAGAGAAACAAACGACAACAUGAUGCUAGUAGUAAUUUUAUUUUUCUUUUAUUGUGUAACGUGGACCAAAAAAAAGGAAAUGAAUUUAAUAAAACCGUCAUUCCGCAAUAAUAAUGUACCAGCCUGGUUUUUAUAAUCCAUACCAUCCUGAUAUAAUUAAACACCAUUAAUAAUGUACCAGCCUUUAAAUAGUAAUUAAUUUAUUUAUCUAAUUCACCAAAUGUCAUUUCCGGUACAUAUCUCCUGGUAUCAAGAAGAGGCAGAACCCAAAGAAACGUUUCUUGUAUCUUCAUAUUUGUGCGAAUUCAUCCUUUCAUUGAGAAUAACCAUUUCCAGGCGGCAGUUGGCAAUCAAUUCAUGCGCAAGUCGAUGCUAUUCAUAGAUAUUAAAGACAAUGAUGAACCAAAGGUGAUAAAUCAUAAAUGCAUAAUUACCAAACCUCCAUCCUUCUCUCAUUAUGAUUUGAUUUUAAAUGAAUUAUUGCUUGGUAACAUUAUUUCCAACCAUUGCAAGAUUAUUAUUAUUUUUUUUUGGGGAGAAAUUUCAAUUGAAAGUGAAACCUUUAGACAUUUACCUAAUGAAGUUAGUUAAUGGGGAGGGUUGGAAAAAUUCCCAAGCCGUUGCACAGCAAUUACGAUCAUCCUCGGCCUCAGGUAAUUUCUUCUCCUGCAUUUUUGUUAUUUGCUAUCAAGUGACAUUCGUAAGUAUGAUUGUAUUAAGCUGCUGCUGGGAAAUAUAAGGUUUUGAUGGCUGCCCAUGCUAUUGUCAGAAGCUGCGGUUCUUUUCAUCAGCCUGAACCUGGACCUGUCGCCAUGGAUAACUGAGGUUUUUUUUUUUUUAAAUCAACUACGUCAUCUUUUCCACUGUUUUGAAACUCUUAAGAUUAAACUUUAGUAAAGUUGUUUUAGUUAUCCAUGUAAUCAGGCUGAGGAUACUUAGCUGCCUAUUUAGGCAAAUGUCAGACUUUAGUUUGUUCGCUGGGAACUGGUGUGGUGACAGCGUCCUGGCAAAGGAUGAUGAGAUAGUUUUUUGAUUGAGUAAAUUUUGGGGGCUUGAGUAUAUUGGGAUUUGCAAUUACAAUUAUCCUCUGCCUCAGGUGAUUUCUUCUCCUGCCCUGUCGUUGUUUGUUCUCUAAUUCAAAAUUAUAAAAUAUUUCAUCAAAUUUUAUGCCGGGAAUAUGCAAAAGUUUCUAAUAUUUUAUUUCCAUCUGUUUGUCUUGAUAACUUUGCAGCAUAUGUACUAGUUAAAGAACAAAUCGAAACAGAGUUCAGUUAAAAGUUUCUUCUGCCGUCAUAUUUGAAAAAUGAACCCAUUUCCAGGAAGCAAUGGGCAGCAAAUUCAUAUAAAGCGUAGACAAUGAUGAGCAAACAGGUGAUUCACAUUAAUGAAAUUAAUUGUUUGGUUGGAGCGGACAUUGUUAGAAGGCUAUUGAGCUAACCUAUGUCACUACUUGCCUAGAUUACAGGGGGUCAAAACUCAAAAGCGGCAUUGAAUUUUAAAAGGCAUCCAAUAAUUCUUGUGGCCAUAUAUCAAUUCAUGUAUGUUUGAAUGUAAUUAUUGGUGAAGGGGUUUCACUUCCCGUCUCUAAAUAAAAAUACUGAUUCUUUAAGGUACCUGCCACUAGGGAUUGCGAGAUUAAUGAGUCUUUGGACAUUGGAAGAGCUCCUUGUGAGUGGAGGAGGAGGUGUUGAUGGUAGCAAAGCAUGUGGGCAGUGGGCUUGAAUCUCUAAAAAACUUGGAACUCCUCCAAGCGUAAGUAUACGUAUACUGGGAAAUUUGUUAGAUGUGGAUGAGGCUAAGAGAUUAGAGCUUGACAAAAUGAAAUACCUCUUUCAUUGAGACUUAAAUUUGAUGGGGAAGAAGAAAAAGAAGAGGGAAGGAGGAAGAAUGAGGAUAAUCAACUUGUUCUUGAAGCCUUGCAACCACCUCUGAAUUUGAAGGAAUUAGAGAUUUGGUCAUACAGAGGCAACAUUGUUUCCCCCCGGAUGAUGCAAAAAUUGAAGGAAUUUACCAAUCUAAGGAGUUUGACACUCUUUAAAACUGCAAAAAUUGAGAGCAGUUGCCUCCUUUGGGAAAAUUGUGAUCCUUUGAAAAUCUCAGCAUAUUGUACAUGGAGAGUGUGAAAACAGUGGGUAAUGAAUUUCUGGGAAUAGAAAGUCAUCUUCAUGACUCAUCUCCAUCUUUAUCAGUUAUUAUUGCCUUCCCCAAAUUGAAAUCACUUUCAGUUGAGGGAUUGAUGGAAUUGGAGGAGUGGGAUUAUGGGAUUAAAAGAACAGGAAACACCUUCACCAACAUUAUGCCACGUCUUUCUUCCUUGGAAAUUAGUGUGGGGUUAUGGGAUCGCACAACCACGUUGAAGGUAUUGCAGAUUGUGGCAUGUGGUACUCUAAGAAGACGUUGCAGACAGGGGAGAGCAGAAGACUGGCCUAAGUUCUCUCACAUUCUAGACAUCAUGAUUGUGUGAAAAGAGGCCCUUGACAAAAUUCUCUAGGCGGCUACAUGGAGUACAAUCAUAAAAUGCUAAUGUGGCCACCCUGGUUCUUAAUUAAGGUUGUGAAAUAUUAUUGUAAAAGAUGAUUAAUUCAAUUUGAGUCAUUCGUUUGCUUUGAUAAUGAUAGUAAUUUUAUAUUUUGACAAUUUGCAAGGUGAGAAUGGUGCUGAUUGGUGAUACAGGAUACGGUUCAAACACCAUUGAAUAAAGCUACGGACAUGGUGGCUCAACUUAGCUAUUGCUGUCAAAAUUGGUAAGUUGGCUUGUCAAUGUAUUGAUGCUUUUGUUUUCUCUCAACCCUAAUUACCUUACCUUCAUUUAGUUUGGCUUUGGAGUUGAGUAAUAACUUUCAAGGUUCUCAAACAGAGCAGGACAACCGAAAAAAAAAGCUUAAUUUGCUACUGAUCACGUGUUACCAAUUAUUAAGGUAAUUCUCGUUUACUUGCUUCUACACUAUAGAGUACGUGUUCUGGCUGGUUUAUCUAAUUCAUCAAAUGUUAUUUCCUUAUUGUUCCAUUGAUAUAUUUGUUAGAAAGUGAAACCAUUUCCAGGCAGCAGUUGGCAGUGAAUUCAUGCAAAUGUUGAUGCCAUUCAUAGAUAUUGAAGACAAUGAUGAGCCAAAGGUGAUAAAUCAUUAAUGCAUAGUUACCAAAACCUCCAUCCUUCUCUCAUUGUAAUUUGAUUUGAAAUGAAUAAUUUCUAGGUAAUUGAAGCCAAUAUUGUUAGAAACGGUGUUGAGCUACCCAAGCUAAGAAGUUGGCUGCCAAAAAAUGCAGGGGAUCAAAAGAAGCAUUGCAUUUGAAAAGGAAUGAGAUUCUGGUUGCUACAUGUCAAUUCGUAGAAGUUUCAAUAAAUUUAAUGGUUCAAGAUUUUAGUUUCUGUUUAAAUUUGUGCUACUGCAGUGCUGCAGUGCUGCUACUGGGAAAUUUAAAUCCCAUAUUAGACUUUCCUCACAUAAGAAGCUGUGGAUCUUCGGACAUCAGGUUUUUUCACAGUUCUGAAACUCUCAGGAUUAAACUCUAUUAAAGUUGUUGUAGUUGUCUACGUUCUCAGGUCAAGGAUUCUAAGCUGCCGAUUAAGGCAAAAUGUCAGAAUUCCCCUAUUAUUUUUUUUUUCAUGUAAAAUUAUGUUGUUGUCUUCGCCCAUGAAUCUUAGCUAAAUUCUGAACCAAUUGUUUGCUAUUAUAAAUUUCAUUGUUAAAUAUUAAUUGUGAUGUUGGUGUUGAGUUUCUUUUAAAGUCAGAGAAGCCUGACGAUUGAGUUCCAUGGGAUUCUGAGAAGCAGUAAUAUUUUGAACAAGUGAAGGUUCUUCGUUUUUACAGUAUGUGCAGAUGUCUAAGAGGCAGGAUUUUUAUUUCUGUAAUGCUAAAUUUCGCAAAACAAUAAAAAUAAAUAAAUGCAUGACAGUGACUUCAAGAAUUUAGAUUAUUGAAUUUGGUCAUUUUAAAAUUGUUGGAAUGUUGAACUUAAGUAAUUUUUAUAAACCAGAGCUCAGAAAUGUAGAAUAUAAAUAUUGGAGAUUUGGACUUCAAUCAUUAGACUUGAAGCUAAAGAGGUAAGCCAUUAAUUAUAUCAAAGGAUUUGGAAAAUGGAGGGAUUGGAAAAAGGAAACAUUUUCAUAAACUUCAAGAGGAACGUCACAGAAAGGGGUAAAGAGAAGAGUAGCCUAAGAUAUUAAAGACAAUGUUGAGCCAAAGGAAACAUAAAUCCCAACCAUUGCAUGUGAACAUGAUCACAAUAAGGUCAAAAACCAUUUUUUUGAGAAUUUUCAAUUGAAAGUGAAACCUUUUGACAUUUACCUAGUAAAGUUAGUUAAACGAGAGAAAUAAAGGGGAAAAGAAAAGUUGACUCAAGUCAAUACAGAAUAAUUAGUUCAAUCUGGAGUAACUAAAACAGAGCCACUAUAUUUUCAAAAAUAUCUGCAUUCAUCACCUUCUCCUCCAGCUAGUGAGCUACACACGAAUCCUUUCCUUUUAGCAUUUUUGCAGCAUCAAUUUCUCCCCUCGUUUGUCAUCAAUUUCUCCCUUCGUUUCACCAAUACCAUGGCUGAUGCAAUCGUUUCCCCUCUCUUGGAGCAGCUGAUUAUCUUUGCUGCUGAAGAGUUGAAACAACAGGGGAAGCUGGUGAGUGUUGGAUGAGUGGAUCACAGCAUGCGCCAAAUCGCAAAAUAGAUCAAUGCUCUUGGUGCUCCUUAUCUGAAGAAGAAGGUGCAAAUUGGGAGCUGCAUUUCACUGUCAUAACAUUUAUUGUAAUUUCAUUUGGAGAUAUGUAAUAUCUGUUGUCCAGAUACAUAUCAUACACCAGUUGCUAUGUAAUUUCGUUUAGGUUCAUUUUUGUUUCUUAAGAGUUUGUAAAAAGAAUGGAAAGAUUUUAAAAUAUAAAUUUCAUAUCUGUUUAUUACUGUUGUUUGGUCUAAUUUCUUAUGUAGAAUUUUCAGAAUCUGUAGGACAUUAGUUUAUAAUUUUGAGAUUUUGCAGCCAUAAAAAAAAUUUUUUUUUUUUGCCAUUUUAUUUUGCUCCUUUAUCUAUGUGCAUGUUGACUGGCUGCAGUGAGUGAAAAUUUACCUAUAUAUGCUGGCUAUUCUUGGACAAUAUUAGAGAAAAUAAUCAUAUUAUUUCGCGUGAUGUGAACUUCCAUAACUUAUCAAUUGAAUUGCUGUAAAAUAUUAAAUAGUUUUAUUUUUCUUUUAUCGUGUAACUUGGACCAAAAAAGGAAAUGAGUUUAACACGACCCUCAAUAUAACCUCCAUUUCAGCACAAUACAUGUUAAUUGUUCCCCAAGGACUUCUCCUGUUUCCCAUUCCCACCUCCAUGCUCUCGAGAGGAAUUUAGCACCCAUCAAUUUUUAUUUUUGAAAACUCGUAAUGGUCUGAUAAAAUUAAACAACAUCAAUAAUGUUACCAGUCUUUAAAUAGUAAUUAAUUUAUUUAAUUUGCCACCUAAAAGAAUCCUGCUGGAAAUAGAGGUUAAAAAUUUUAUUAGAUCUGCUUACCUUUGUUCAUUCAGCAAAAACACUUACAAUUCACAGCUAGAGAAUCUAUCCAUUGACAAUUGUGGAUUAAAAUUAUAACACCUGAAUUCAAACAUAUCCUUAUGAAGUUAUGAAUUUGUUCAUACUUCAAAUGAUUUUUUUUUCCAAGCUAAUAAAGCAACCACUUUGAUCAAACGACGACGUUGAAGGAAUUACGUAUUUUCAAUGUCCUUUUCCAGACAGAUGUUGGAGAGAGGGAAAGGAGAAGACUGGCCUAAUUAAGAUAUCUCACAAAGAUUAUUGAGUUAAAAUGUUAUUGUAAAAGAUGUUUAAUACAAUAAUAGUAAUUCUUUUGCAUUGUUAUAAUGAGGCUGGUGGGUUUCCUCAGAGGAUGGAUAUGGCUCGCUAGCAUGCAUUUGGGAAGAUGCUAAUUAUCGGCCAUAAAAAGUCAGGGGGUUGUGGCUCUUCCGUCGCCCAGAAAUUCCUAAACUCAUAUAUCAAACUUCAGAUGAACUUGGGCAUUAUGUAAAUAUGUAUUUUUGAGAAUUAAACUAGUGCGUUCGAAAAAUUUUGAGCCAUUGUAAUCAUUUUAUUUUGCUAAGAGAAAAUUUUACUUUGUUUCGCUUUGCCUUUUGUUUUUUCUGUGAUAAUAUGAUUCAUACGAAUGUGAUUACACACUAUCAUGCAUCUAUUUUCAUUUGCUUGUCAUGAAUGGUCAACAUGCUCGAAAUAUUUACUUAGGUUGGAAAUAUUUGAAUCCACUAAAAUACUAUACAAACCCAUUUUAAAAUUAAAAAAAUGAUUAUCAUAAUACUCGUGAAGAUAACACGAUAUCAUACAUAAAAUAAAAUAUUUCGCAAAAAAGAUAAGAUACAAAUCUUGAGUAAAUAGGUACAAAAAAUAUUUUAGUGGGUUAAGUAGCACUAAUGCCCCCUUAUCAAAAAAUAAAUAAAAAUAACUAGUCUGAUUGGGUAUACCGUUUAUAUAUAUGUACAUAUUCUUGAUAAUGUGUAAUGUACAUUAUAGACAAAGAUUUUGAAAGCAAUAUUUUUUAAAAAGUCGAGAGAAUAGGAAAAGUCUAAAUCAAUUUUCUAAUCUCUACCUCCUUUAUGAUUUAAACUUUAGUGUUUAGUGUCGCGAGCCACUCAAAUUUUCUAAUCAAAGAGACUAAAUUGCACGAAAUUGUGCUAGCUUAUUUGAUUCUAGAAAUUUCUACUACACUGUAACACACUCUCACGUAGGGAUGGCAAUGGGGAGGGGAGGGGAGGGGACCAAUCUCCCCAUAUCCAUCCCCGAUAUUUUACAUAUGUCCCCGUCCCCGUCAGAAUUGCUUGAGAGAAUCCCCAUCCCCUCCUCGAAUAAUAACAGGGGAUCCCCGAGGGUCCCCGGUCCCCGAAUAACUAAUAAUCUAAUACAUUUUUUUAUUUUCGAUUUUAAAUUAAUCAUAUUAAAAUAAACUCAUACCGCUAUUGUAAGCUCGUAACCAAUUUUGACAGCACAUUAAGGCCUCCAAUGUGCUUGGAUGAAGUCUGUUAUGGUAUGGGCUCACAACUCUACCACUAGUGUUAAAAGCUGAUUCAGAAGCAACUGUUGUAAUUGGAAUUGCCAAAAUAUCUCUAGCAAUUCGAGCUAAUGUAGGAUACCUAUUAGCAUUUGUCUUCCACCAACUCAAAAUAUUAAAAUCUUCCAUCCGAGGUAUAACUUUCUCAUCCAAAUAUGAAUCUAAUUCAUCUGCAACAACUGCACAAUCUCCAUUGUUUACAUAAUCAUCAAAACCUAUCAUCCAUUUGGUUGCUUUCUUAUAAGAAUCCCCUGUAGAUCUAGUAGAAGAACUACUACCAGUAUAAUCAAAGCAAUAAACAGUUGGUGAAAACUUCAAUUAAUACUCUUCAACUAAUUCCCGGCAAAGGAUGACCACUUUCCCAACAUACAACUAUUUUGAUAUUUAUUAUUUUUAACAAUAUUUAUAAUUUUGUUAUUUAUUUAUUAGUAAUUUUAAAAAUAAAAAUAAAAUUAAAAAUUAAAAUGGGGAAAUGGGUAGGGGAUGGGGAUUCCACCUCAUCCCCGUCCCCUCCCCGAAUAAAAAAUUGGGUAAAAAAUUUUCCCCGUCCCCUCCCCGAAAAAAAAAUUGGGUAUAAAAUUAUCCCCGUACCCUCCCCGAAUGGGGAAAAUCCCCGAGGGUAUCCGUCCCCGUGGGGAUUUUUGCCAUCCCUACUCUCACGCUUGUACAUACCUCGAAAUUCUCUAGAAUUUACUAGAGUAGUGUUGCAUGUAGCUUGUACAUAGGUUUUUCUGGAACACUCCAGGCAUUACUAAGCAUGAGAGCCUUGAGAACUCUCUAGCCAUAAAACAUUCUAGGGUAAGCCUACCCUAAAAAUAGGGCAUGAUGCUUGCCACUUGAGCAUACAACAAGUAAGAACAAAUCAAGCAUACUUGUGAGCUCUCAAACUCUCUUAUACACACUUUUAUGAAUAAUAUAUUCUCUCUUUGGCUAUAUUGCUCUCUCUUCUCUCUAGUUUUUUUCGCAAGCAUCAAACCUUAGUUAGUCGAAAAAUUCAAGGCUUACUUUAUAGCUAUCUCGUAAAAGUUGUUUAAGUACCAUAGAGAUUUGCUGUGCAAAAUACUCAUCACAUGACAUUAGCUAAAUAAAAUUGUUUGAAAGCCACUUACCCAAACUAUUAAACGAAUAUUGACUUUUGUCUUAAUUUUCUAUCUCCUACGAUAAAUUUUAUAGUUAAAAAUUGAAAAAAAUUAAUAACUAUUAGAUAGAGCAUUCUUUAUUGUUAAAAGAAAUCUAUAUAGAUAGAUAGAUGGUAAUAUAAAAACUUACUUAUUGUAGUAUAAUGUUUUUAGUUUUUUGAAACACAGAUUCUCACUUUUUAAAGAUAAAAUUCAAAGAAAACAAGUUAAAUGUUGUAGAAAAUCUUCCAGCCAUACAAGAAAUUGUGAUGGCUAAAUGCAAACCUAACUAAAGUAUUAGUUGUUUUAUUACAAUCUCCAAAAAGAUGAGCAAUUCCAAAAUCUUUUUUUGUGACAAUAAACACUACACGUCAGUAAUUAUCCAGGUCAAAAGCAAGCUACUCUAUUAAAAAAAAAAAAAACUUGCAGUGAAUUCGAAGAUAAACCAAUUUUACUAGCAAGUUGGAUACAAAAGAGUAGGGCUUCGGCCUCAAUUACUCAGUGUACCAACAACUCAAUCUCGGUGAGUUAAAAUCAACUUCCAUCAGUCUUUUAUUUGUUGAUAGAUCGAUUAAGGUACCAAAAAGAAUAAUUAAAGAUGUAUUAGUUCAAGUUAAUAAAUUCAUAUAUCUUGUGGAUUUUAUUAUUUUGGAAACUGAACCAAUUGCUAAUGAAUGCAAACAAAUUCCUGUUACAUUGGGUCGUCCAUUUUUAACUACUGCUAAUACAUUGAUUAAUUGCUGGAAUGGAGUAAUGAAUUUAUCUUUCGGCAACAUGACAUUGGAACUUGAUGUGUUCAACAUAUGUAAACAACCUCACCACCAGGAAGAUGAUGAUAAUGAGAAUUAGGAGAUUGAUUUCAUCGAGCCAAUCAUUGAGGAACACAUUCAGAAUAAGAAUUUUACAAAUUCUGUGGAAAUUUAUUCUUCUUGUUCUUUUGAAUCGAGUAAAGAAUUAAAUUAUGAUACUGCUAACAUAUAACCUACAAUUGAUUCUAUGCAGGUACAUGCUGACAAUGGCCAAUCAAACUUUAAAGAUACAGAACAACCUGAAGAACCAAACGAAGAGCAAGUACCAGAGCUCAAAUUAAAGCCCUUACUGGAAGAAUUGAAGUAUGUCUAUCUUGGAGAACAACAGAUUUAUCCUGUGGUAAUUUUUUUCCCAACUCACGCUUGAUCAAGAAGGUAAGUUGUUGUCUGUACUAAAAAGGCAUAAAACUGCAUUUGGCUGGACUUUAAAAGACAUAAAAAACAAUAAUUCUUUAAUCUGCACACACCGAAUACACUUAGAGGAAAAUACCAAAACAACCCAUCAACAUCGACAUUAUAUGUGUAAACAUUAAAUACCAAAAUCAACCCCAAAAACUAUAAAUAAAAUAUCAUGAUUAAAAUGAAGUUUUUUUUUAGAUAUUCGUUGUAGUAUCUCUUUAGAUCGCAAACAAGAGAUAAAAUAAAUAAAUAUUUGCUAUGUAAAUAAAAAUAAAUAAUUUUUUUUAACUGAAAAAUAUUCUCAAAAACUAAAUAGUUCAAACUUUUUUUAACAUCAUGUGUUUCUAGGGUUGGGCAUUCAGUUCGGUUUUUACCGAACCGAACAACUAAAUUAAAUCGAAAUUACCUGUUCGGUUCAAUUGAAUAGACAAAAACCGAAGAGUUUAUAUUUUCAUGAACUGAAUGAUUUGUGUUUCAGUUGAGUUCGGUUCGAUUCUGGACCUGAACCGAACCGAACCGAUCCGUGAAUCGUAAACUGCCCACCCUUACGUAGUAGUUUCCGUUAACCGACGUUGUAUUGCUCGUAUAAAAUUGUUCAAAUGUUCAAAUCACAGUCUCCCGCUCUCAGCUCAGUCAGAGUUUCCAGGUCCAGAGACUUCCCGCUGACUGAGAACUUUUUCGUAGCAGGUCUACAAAUAAUGGAGUAGAGCUGAUUUUAUGAUUAAUUUAUUUCCUUUUUCAAUUUCUCUUGAUUGCGAUUUAAUCUGGAAAGUUAAACGUGAAUUGUUUAGUGCGGAUUAAAUGUUCGACGAAUUUCCCACAAGAGUAUUAAGUUCAAGAGAAAAAAAGAAAACAAUUGAGCGUGAGCGUGAGCGAGAAUGGUGUUUGGGCAAGUGGUGAUUGGUCCGCCCGGCUCGGGAAAGACCACUUACUGCAAUGGCAUGUCUCAGUUUCUCAGCCUUGUUGGCAGGUAACUUCGUUUCUUGAUUUCAAGCAGCUUUAUCUUCGAUGACCAAAAAUAUUGAUUUGGGCUUUGCCAUUAAAUGAAUGUAAGAGCAGUAGGGAAUAACUGAGUUAUAGGAUUAGCUUUAAGUGAACAUUGAUGGUAAUGUGAAGGUUGUAUGUGUUCAGUGGCAAGCUGUAUGCCAAUUUGGUCUAUAUGGUUGCUUAGGUAGUAACUUAUUAAUUUUUAGGCAGGAAGGUUGCAGUCAUCAAUUUAGUUCCUGCUAAUGAUAGUUUGCCGCAUCCUUUGUCAUUGAACUUUCUUACAAAUGCUGUGGUUUGUUGUAGUAUAAUUAGUUCAAUUGGAAAUUUCCUUGAUGUUAAUAUAGAAAUGAGUGUGCUGUGAAUAUUGAGGACCUCAUUAGACUAAGUGAUGUGAUGAUGGAGUAUUCACUUGGUCCCAAUGGAGGUUAGUCAGCCUAUUGUUGUUUACUCUUUCUUGCUUUAUCACGCAAUGAUAUUCCUUUGCUUUACAACAAAUUUCAUGAAAUUAACUUCAAUCAAGUGGCAAUGUUCAUACGCUGUUGAGAUUUUAUGGACAAUGAUUUGGUAGAAUUUAUAUGCCGUCUUCUUUCUUUUUGCAGUGAUAUGCUUGUAUUCAAUGAGCUUGUACUUAUUCUAUGGUUUCUAAAGUAGGUGUUUUUAUGAUAAACUAGGUCUUGUGUAUUGUAUGGACUAUCUAGAGAAGAAUAUUGACUGGCUGCAGUCGAAAUUGGAACUACUUUUGAAAGGUAAGUAGAGGCCAUUUUCCUUCAUUCUAAUGCCAAUAAUGCUGUCAUGAGACUCAUAAAAAUUGUUAAAACGUUAAUGUUUUUGGUAUUUUGCAGAUCGUUAUCUUCUGUUUGAUUUUCCUGGCCAAGUUGAAUUAUUUUUUCUUCAUUCCAAUGCCAAGACUGUUAUAAUGAGACUCAUAAAUAAGUUAAAUCUCAGGGUAUUGUUACAUCUUACAUCUAUGAAGGGACUCAAAGAGUUGAGAUGAAUUCAUCUUUGUUAUUUUGAUGCCAGAAUUGUGCAAUUCUCAGUUUGUUCCUUUCACAUGCAGUUGACUGCAGUGCAUCUAGUUGAUGUGCAUCUUUGCAGUGACCCCAGGAAGUAUGUUAGUGCUUUGCUUCUCUCAUUGUCUACGAUGCUACAUCUGGAACUUCCCCAUGUCAAUGUCUUGUCUAAUCGAUCUGAUUGAGAAUCAUGGAAAGCUAGGUGUGGUUUUAAGUGUAGCUCUCCUGCUUGUUUGUUUAGUUUGAAAUAUCAGAUAUUGUCACAAGAUCCUAUUUGCUACAUUUCCUCACCAAUCAAUUAUUUUGGGUCUGUUGCAGCUUUUAAUCUCGAGUACUAUACAGAUGUGCAAGAUUUGUCAUAUUUACAGCAUGCUCUCGGUCAGGACCCUCGUUCUGCUAAGUACAGGUUUGAAUUCUAGCUGAAUCAAUGAUGCAAAUUAUGUCCAUUGUUAUUUCUGCUGUUGUUUCUAUCAUUUUCAAUUGUUACUUCCCCUUUCCAUCUACUACCACACUACAAUACCCACACAAAUGUUGUGAAAUUUGUCAAUGGAAAAAAAACAGUUCCUCUUUUAUUUUGAUCAGACUCAAUGAAUAAGUGGUUAAAAUGUGCCUGUCCUAGAAAUAUAGAUGUGUGGUUUCGUAAAAUUUUCUUGAUCUUAAGAAAGAGUUAUCUCGAAAAGAAGAUAACAUGGAGAAUUCAACAACUAUACAGUCAUAUUGAUGUCUGUCAACUUGGGUCAUAUGGUGUCGUUUGGAUGGAGAUGUUAGGUCCCAGAUGGUAAACUUGUUAUCGAAUUCCAGUCUACUUCAUUCAUGCUUUGAUGACAUAUACGGUGCAGCUUCUUAUCUAAGACCUGCAUAUGUUCAAUCAUCAUUCUGUUCUGUAUUUGGCUGCCAUUCUUUUCAAUGAAUUCAAACCACUUCUGAAUACUUGCAAAUUCAUCCAGUGUUGUCAUUGAGAUGCCAAUAUGAAAGGAAGCCAUAAUUGCCCUUGAUAGUAUGCUUAUUGAUUGCCUCUUGCCUCACUCAGCCUCAUGAAUCUGCUUGUAUGGUGUUCUUGUAAUUUCAUUUGGAGAUUAGUAAUAUCUGUUGUUCAAAUGUAUUUUAUAUACCAGCAGUUAAUAAUUCUGCUUGCAGAAAGCUUACAAAGGAGCUGUGUGAUGUAAUUUUUCAACCUUAGAUAUCCAGGUCAUCAGUUUCUCUUGAAUUCUUUCUUGAAUUUCUUUGAAUUAUUUGUGAAUAAGAUCUUAGUUGGCUGCUUCUCUUCAGGAUAAGGAAAGUGUGGCAAAACUCGUGAAGCUGAUAUAUAAAAGCAAUGGGUACAUCUUUGCUGGCAUGGAUGCCAGUGCAGUUGAAUUCAGCAAGAUUGCCGUUCGCGAUGUUGAUUGGGAUUAUUUCGGAUAUCCUUCUUUUCACCUAUUUUCAAUGUUGUUAUUCUCAUAUUCAUAAAAUUUUUUGGUUAUUUAAUUAUGGUUCAUCAUAUGCAUCUGCAUCUUCUAACUUGUUCGUUUGAGAAACUAAUUUUGCCGUUAGGUAGGCUUCGAGCUUGAUGAGUUGAUUCAUGCUUUUUUCAUAAAUGUACCAAAAUCAUGGAAACUUCUUUUUCCCAGAUAUUGUAUCCACACUUUUUCCAUGUAAUUGGGUCAGACAAGUUUUGCUUAACAAAGAUAUCUACAGUAGCCGAAGUGCAGGAGAAGUACAUUAAGGAUGAUGAUGAUGUUAACUAAAAUGAGACGUGAAGAUAUGUGGUGUGCGAACCGUAAGCCUGCCUCUUAAUUUUGUGCAUGUUUACUUGCUUGUGAUUCACGUUUGUUAAUCUAUUUUGCUCUCUUGCAGGAGUUAUAAAGUUUUCAAUCAAUCAAACAUUUAACUUAAGUCCUUACCUCUUGCUGCAAAGACAAUGGGAAGUCUCAUGAGCUCUAAAAAAACUGAAGAAGAGUGGAAAAUAAUUUUAAAUAGUGAUUUAUGGAAGGUAAAAGAGAUCGAGAAAGGUGUUCUAACCCCUUUGUGGUUGAGUUAUAAUGAUUUGCCGUCCAGAGGAAAAAGAUGUUUCUCGUAUUGUGCUGUCUUUCCAAAAGACUACAAUAUAAAAAAAGACAAAUUAAUUACUUUGUGGAUGGCUCAAGGUUAUCUUAGUGCAGAAGCAGCAGAACAAGAUGAGGAGUUGGAGACUAUAGGUGAAGAGUAUUUUGGCAUCUUAGCUUCUCGCUCUUUCUUUCAAGAGUUUCAGAAACGUUAUGAUAAUCGUAUUAUAGCGUGCAAGAUGCAUGAUAUGGUACAUGAUUUUGCCCAAUUUGUUAGUCAAAAUGAAUGUUUUUCGUUGGAAGUUAAUGGUAGUGAGGAACUAACCGUCACAAACUCUACAAACUCUCUUGAUGAGAAGGUCCGUCAUUUAAUGUUAAUCUUUAGUAAAGGGACUUCAUUACCUGUUUCCACUCGUAGAGUUAAAAGAAUGCGUACCCUCUUAAUUAACGAUAGUAGAUCUGAUCAUUCAUUAUUAAAUGGUGAGAUCCUAGAAGAAUUAUUUAGGGAAUUGACAAGUUUAAGGGCAUUAGAUUUUGGCAAAUCGUAUAACUCAAGUUGGUCUUCGACUGUGGAGAUUCCGAGAACCAUAGAAAAGCUGGUACAUUUAAGAUACCUUAAUUUGUUUUAUCAGGGAAUAAAGAAACUACCGGAGACAUUAUGCGAGUUGUAUAAUCUAGAAAAGUUAGAUAUUAGUUUAUGUUUUAAUCUUAAAGAAUUACCUGAAGGGAUUGGGAAGUUAAUAAACAUGAAGCAUUUACGAAAUAGAGGUACUAGUUCUUUAAGGUACAUGCCAGUAGGGAUUGGGAGAUUAACGGGUCUCAGGACCUUGGAUGAGUUCCACGUGAGUGGAGGAAAGCGUGUAGGCUUGAAUCUCUUAAAAAAUUGGAACACCUUCAAGUAUGUGGUAUACGUAGACUGGGUGAUGUAUCAGAUGUGGGCGAGGCUAAGCGAUUAGAACUUGACAAAAAGAAAUACCUCUUCAGUUUGACCCUUGAGUUUGAUAAGAAGGAGGAAGAAGAAGGAGAAAGGAGGAAGAACGAGGACGAUCAAGUUCUUCUUGAAGCCCUACAACCACCUCUCAAUUUAAAGGAAUUAGAGAUAGAGUACUACCGAGGCAACACUGUUUUCCCCAGCUGGAUGACGUCAUUAACCAACUUAAAGAGUUUAGAUCUCUCUUCCUGCGAAAAUUG
rnacentral:lncRNA from 1 species